rnacentral:lncRNA from 1 species
CAACUUCUUUGUUAUAUAUAUANNNNNNNNNNNNNNNNNNNNNNNNNNNNNNNNNNNNNNNNNNNNNNNNNNNNNNNNNNNNNNNNNNNNNNNNNNNNNNNNNNNNNNNNNNNNNNNNNNNNNNNNNNNNNNNNNNNNNNNNNNNNNNNNNNNNNNNNNNNNNNNNNNNNNNNNNNNNNNNNNNNNNNNNNNNNNNNNNNNNNNNNNNNNNNNNNNNNNNNNNNNNNNNNNNNNNNNNNNNNNNNNNNNNNNNNNNNNNNNNNNNNNNNNNNNNNNNNNNNNNNNNNNNNNNNNNNNNNNNNNNNNNNNNNNNNNNNNNNNNNNNNNNNNNNNNNNNNNNNNNNNNNNNNNNNNNNNNNNNNNNNNNNNNNNNNNNNNNNNNNNNNNNNNNNNNNNNNNNNNNNNNNNNNNNNNNNNNNNNNNNNNNNNNNNNNNNNNNNNNNNNNNNNNNNNNNNNNNNNNNNNNNNNNNNNNNNNNNNNNNNNNNNNNNNNNNNNNNNNNNNNNNNNNNNNNNNNNNNNNNNNNNNNNNNNNNNNNNNNNNNNNNNNNNNNNNNNNNNNNNNNNNNNNNNNNNNNNNNNNNNNNNNNNNNNNNNNNNNNNNNNNNNNNNNNNNNNNNNNNNNNNNNNNNNNNNNNNNNNNNNNNNNNNNNNNNNNNNNNNNNNNNNNNNNNNNNNNNNNNNNNNNNNNNNNNNNNNNNNNNNNNNNNNNNNNNNNNNNNNNNNNNNNNNNNNNNNNNNNNNNNNNNNNNNNNNNNNNNNNNNNNNNNNNNNNNNNNNNNNNNNNNNNNNNNNNNNNNNNNNNNNNNNNNNNNNNNNNNNNNNNNNNNNNNNNNNNNNNNNNUUGUAUAUAUAUGUGUGUGUGUGUGUGUGUGUAUAUAUAUAUAUAUAUAUAUAUAUAUAUGUUCAAAUGAGAACCCAAAAGAUUAAGAACUCUAAAAAUCUCAUUUAUGUUAUGAAAUAUUAGUUUAUGAAUGACCAUUGGAUUCCCUGUUUCUCUCAUAACUCUUUAUCAUUAUUUAGCAUUAGUAACAAUCAUUCCAAUGUGUUUUAUGAGUGUAAUAAUGCACCAUCAUAAUGUGCAUUCAUAUUUCAUCUUAUUUUGGUUGUAUAAAUAGUGAGCCAUAUGUAUUAGAAAGUUGAUCAUUUCAUCACAAGUAUUGGAAUAAAAGUUAUAUUCACUCUCAUGUCUUUCUUUACUCUAUAAUUUAUCUUGUUGUUUGAUCAUAUUUUAUAACACAUUAUCAACACGACUCUACCAUAGAGCUUUAACUCCUUAUUACUCUUGUCAUUUCCAGGUAUGUGUUUUUUUAUAAGUUUACAUGUACAAUGCUUACAAAUUAUUUUAUAAAAUUUCUUAACUAAGAUUGCUUAGCAUGUAAGUCUUUAUUUUGAUUAGUAUUUUCACUAUGGAAAACCAUGCUAGAGAAAACUUUCUCUACUGUUCAUGCCUCUAACAUGCUCCUGCAGCAACAAUAUGAUGAGAAAGGUUUAAAAAAAAUCUAAAUUAAUUUCAUGUCUUCCAGUGGCUAAACAAAACAAUGAACUAUUGAUGAAAAACCAUCAAUCACGCCUGACCGGUUCUAGUCUAUUUCUUGAAGUGAAUGCAACAUCAUAUAAUCAUAAUAAUCAUGGGUCUAACCGAGGUCGUGGAGAUCGUCAUAAUUAUUAUAACAAUAAUAACAAGAUUGCAAGUAACCACCAGAAGUUAGAAAAUAACAAAAACUCACAUCCUAAUGAUAAAAGUGGUCAACGCAAAAAGAAAAUUGAAAAUAUUUGUCACCGAUGUGGAAUGACUGGUCAUUGGUCUCGUACAUGUUGCUCUCUAAAGCAUUUUGUUGAUUUUAAUCAAACUUCUUUUAAAUCUAAAGAAAAAUAAAAUAUAGAAACAAAUUUUAUUAAGAGUGAUUUUCACAAAGAUCAACCAGAAAUGACACAUUUUGAUGUUGGCGAUUUUGUUAUCUACCCAAAAGGGAUAAUUGGUGUUAUGUAUAGUGAUGAAAGAAUAAUAUGUAGUUUUGGUUCAUGUCAUUUAUUACGUUUUUAUGUCAUAUUCAUUCCAUGAGAAAUGAUGUCAUCACAAUCUUCUCAAAGUAAUAAAAUAUGACUUUAUUUCUCUCAGUCGAAUGUUUCUUAUGUUUUAUUUAUUUAUUGAAGAGAAAUAUGGACAUUCGCAAAAAAAAUAUAUAUAUGUCUUGGAGACAGUGCAAGAACACAUAACAUUUUUAAUAAUGAAAACUAUUUUACUUACUUAUCAAUUAGAGAAGCAAAUGUUAAUACAAUAACGGGUAAUGCAAAAUUAAUUGAAGGCUCCAGAAGAGCGAAUAUAAUAUUACCACAAGAGACAAUAAUUACAACUGAUGAUGCAUUAUUUUCAUCAAAAUCACUAAGAAGUUUAUUAAUUUUUAAGGAUAUCCGGUCUAACGGAUAUCAUGUUGAAACAACUAAUGAUGGUAAUAAAGAUUAUCUCAACAUUACAAAAAUUAUAUCGGGUAAGAAAAGACUUUUGGAAAAAUUACUCGUAUUGUCCUCCAAAUUGUAUUAUACAAAUAUUAGAAUGAUUGAAUCUCAUGUUAUUGAAAAUAAAAGGUAUGAUAACAACUUCAAAGUUUUGCAUGCCUGGUUGGGCCAUCCCGGAUCAAUUAUGAUGUGUAGAAUAAUUGAAACUUCAAGUGGUUAUUCCUUGAAAAACCAGAUAAUUUUUAAAGCUAAUGAAUUGUCUUGUGUUGUAUGCUCUCAAGGAAAAUUAAUUUCCCAUCCAUCAUUAAACAAAACUGGGUAUGAAAGUCCUAGUUUUUUAGAAAAAAUUCAAAGGGAUAUAUGUGAACCAAUUUAUCCACCAUCUGGACCAUUUAGAUAUUUUAUGGUUUUAAUUGACGCAUCAACUAGAUGGUCAUAGUUAUGCUUGUUGUCUAGUCGUAAUCUCGUUUUUGCAAGAUUACAUGCACAAAUAAUCCGCCUAAGAACACAUUUUCCCGAUUACCCAGUUAAGAAAAUUCAACUUGACAAUGUUGGAGACCUUAAAUCACAAGCUUUUAAUGACUAUUGUAUGUCGAUUGGGAUAACUAUUGAACAUCAUGUUGCACAUGCUCAUACACAAAAUGAUCCAAACCGAGUCAUUAAUCAAAAGCCUUUAAUUAACUGCAAGACCAUUACUAAUGCAUUCUAAACUUCCAACAUCGACAUGGGGCAUGCAAAUGUACAUGCAACACCACUUAUACACGUCAGGCCAACUAGUUAUCACUAGUUCUCCCCUAAACCAAAUAUUUCCAUCUAAGGACGUUUAGAUGUGCAAUUUAUGUACCUCAAAGAAUAAUGAGAAUUUAUGUUGGAUAUGAAUCUCCAUUUAUAGUAAAAUAUUUAAAACCAUCAACUGGAGAUUUAUUUACAACUAUAUUUGAUUAUUAUUAUUUUGAUGAAUCAUAUUUUCCAACAUUAGGGGGAGAAAAAAAGAAGCUGGAAAAUAAUAUCUCUUGAAAUGAAUUAUCACUUAUAGUUUUAGAUCCUAUUUCAAGUCCAUGUGAACUUGAAAUAAAAAAGAUCAUUCAUUUACAAAAUAUAGCAAAUCAAUUUGUCAAAUGCAUUUACUGGCCCUAAAAGAGUAACAAAGUCGCAAAUCAAUUUGUCAUGCCUCUAGUGGUUCACAUCCAACACCAGCGAAGGAGAAUGAUUGAGAAGGAGGUGAGAGGCUCAAAUUUUUGGCUAGGUCUUCCAAAGAACAAAUGGCUGACAAAUAUAGGGUUUAGGUUGUUUAUAUAGUGCAGUCACAAAACCCUAGAUAAACCUUAAUCCAAGCUUAUCUUAAACCGAGCAGUUAUCCACUUUCCUGUUUAUCUACCGAAAACCAUUCUAGAAACCCUUAAGCCAUAAGAAAACCAUUCAAGGCCUAUGGAGGGUUCUAGAUUGCCUCUUGCUCAACUAUUAAACAAUUUCACUACAAUCCCUGCAUUUUUAAUUAAUUCUUUUAAUCCCAAAAUUAAUUUCAAUUAAUUCUGAUUAAAUAAUAAUUAAAUAUUACAAUUUCUAAUUAAUAUAUUAUUUUCAUAAUAUAUUAAUAAAUCAAUUACUUCGAUUUAUUAAUCAAAUAAUAAAUCAACCAUUUUCUCCAAAAUCAUCUUGUCUAGUUGCUAGUCUUGAGGGCAACCCAAAAUGACUCUGCUACUGAAAGACCCUCACUUUCGUAUUUAUGAAAGACCCAAACUUUCAUACUUGACAAUAUAGUUACUCCAAAACAUGCUACUUGCAUAUUCAUAAAAACAAUAUUUUACAUUGAUAAAGAGGUUACAAACUACUGGAUACAAACCGACUAUUUUAAAGUGUUAUAUAUUACAUAACUUCCCAUGAUUCUAUAGUUUUAUACAUAUGGGAGUGCAAAAUACAAUAGUUUCAAACUAUUCAUAAGCUUCUAUCGAUACAAUAGUUUCAAACUAUUCAAAAAUCUUCUACCAGUAUAUAGCUAUACUGGAUGCUUAUCUCCUGCAAUUUGUUAAACAUUGAGAGGGUAAGCGGUGACGCUUAGUGAGUUCAAUAAUAGAUACAAUAUAACGUUAUGUCAUAUAUAUACUUCAAUAUGGCAGAGGCAAAGAUGAACAAGGAACAACAAGGGCAUAUGUGAAUCAUGUGACAAACUUUCCAUAUCAAUCAUUGAUUUGAUUCAAAGAUAUACAAUCAAUGAGACAUAACAAUUUUCAUACUUAAUAUACAUCAAUAAAGCUUUGGCCCAAAUGGCACAGAAGACAUAUAACUUCGGAUUAACAUUUUGGUAGAUUUCAGGCUUAUAACCCUGUCUAACCUUCUGCCAAUACCAUAGAAUAGAAAUCAUUCUCUUACGGAGACAUGUUCUACAUGGCCGGAGGCUACAUACCAGUACCAACGUGAAUCUAAGUCCUUUCACUGAUCACAUGGUCAAAGGUAUUUCUUUGCUAUUAAUAAUAGCAAAUAAAAAUAACACGAGAAAAUAACCCAGAAUAAUAACACUAAAAAACACGUAGCACAUAGAACACAUAACAUACAAUUGUUCCUAUAUAUUUAACUCACCGUGUAAUAACCGGGGGCUAAAAAAUUAAUUUGGGUAGCACUUCGGCUCUAAAUAUCACUUUCUUCGUUGAAAACCGAGAGUUUUCUUGAUAACCGGCCUCUGCAAAGGUAGAGCUUCAAAACCGAAAAGAUAAAUUUUUUGGGAUUCUCGGGAGUCUCGGGGCGUGUUUUGGGUGCUAAAAAUGAUAUUGGGGCUUUGGGGGAUGUCGAGAUAGUAAAAAUAUCAAAAGGGGGGGUGAAAGUGGCAAAUUUCUCAAACUACCCAGGAAGGCUCGCAUGGCUGCUAUUUAUAGGGGAGGAGGUUCGAAGGCUCGGAUCCGAGGCAAUGCGAAGCAACCACGUGGCUCGCAUGCGAGGAGGCAGCUGGUGCGAAGGCCACGCAGCAGAAGGGCGAGGCUCGGACUUGGCAGCUAGCGCGCUUCGGAUUGGGCCAACACCUCGGUCGAAUCAGGAACCAACACGCGGGUCGGAUCAUGAGGGAAGCAUGCGAGAUCACGUGAGGACUUCGGACUCCUGUGUGACACGCGUCGCUUCUCGAACGCUCCACGCAGCAGCUACGUACACGUGGCCAGCUCAGAGCGAGGGUGAUGUGGCUGGCACUAUUCAUGCGAAUUUUCUUGAAAAAUGUGCCAAAUCUUGUAAAAUCCAUAACUUUCUCAUACGGGCUUCGUUUUUUAUGCUCUUUAUAUGCACGCAUAGGUAAAUUAUGCUCUACAACUUUUGUUUAGACUUCUUCAGAAAAUUUUGACUUUAUUUUUAUAUUAUUAUUUUUAACAGAUCGGGACUGGUAAAUCCGUUAAAAAAUCAUAACUUCUUCAUCCAACGUCCGUUUUCGUCAGAAUUUUUACCAUUGUACUACUAAUGAAGAUACCUUCAAUUCUCGUUUAGGUUGUGUCGGCUAAAAAUCACUCGAUCUAAAAUUCGAGUUUUUAGCUGUCUACUGCUAAGCUGAAACUUCAAAAAAUCAUAACUUCCUCAUACGAAGUCAGAUUUUGGCGUUCUUUUUAUCGAACUUCUCGAUUUAACGAAUACUACGACUUUCAUUUAGAUUACUAAGGCUAAAAAUUAGUUUAUCAAAAACUCACUUUUUACGUCACUCGGCGUCGUGCCGGUUUUGUCGCGGAUCUUCGAUUGGUCAUAACUUCUUCGUUAUAACUCGGAUUUCGAUGAGGUUUUUGCCUAAAUGUUUCUAACGAGAUUAUCUACAAGUUUCAAUAAUAAAUUUUUACUUAUUACAAUAUUUAUAUUUUCGUUAAAUUUCACUAUUUGACAUUUGAUUGGAAUCUCAUAAGACCUCCAAUACUUUCUGAAUGAUUCUAAGCGUAGUUUUACUUCAAUUUUAGUAAAAACUAUCCGUUAGAACUCAACAUUCAAAUUCACAUAAUAUUUCAUAAUAUUAUUUACUUAAAACACGAUUUCAAAACGUGUAUGUUACGGCUACUAUCAAUUUAAGUACAUACCAAUUAUAGUUGUGGGCUAAGACAUCUAAUCCAACAGUUCUCAUUUGGAUAAGUCUAAUAACUAUAAUUGUCAAUAUAUUCUUCUAAACUGAUUAGCAAAUUGCAGCUCUCAAAACUGUUGUCGAACUCUGACCUAGUCACUUACAUGUCCUAAGAUAAGUGAUCAUAUAAUCCUUCGUUCUGCAAGAUAUCAUGUAGACAUGAGACAUGCAACAUAAUCAAUCUCAUUUUCUAAUACUUUGUUUUCCCAAUUCCUGAUUUAUAAUGACAAAGAACUACAAAUCAAACACAUCAAUUUAGUCAUGGUCAGGUCCGACACUAUAACUCAACACCAAAUCAUCGAGGGGCCCAAAGAUAUCGCUUUUUCUCCCUAAGGAUAAAAAGGAACAUAUAAACUUUGGCUUAUAUGCUUGUAUUAUCUACUUAUAAAAUCAUGCACAAUAAUGCAUUAUUGUAACAUCCCAAAGUCAGUAUCAAGAGUUCAGGGGGUAAAAGUGUAAGUUGAAAGAAAGGAACUCGGCGAGUAGGAGCUGCAACUUGUCAAGUCUAAGCGGGUGUCGGGCACAUGUUAAGUGACCAGACUCGCCGAGUCAAAGGCUGGACCCGACGAGUCCGUGCUGGAAUGAGAAACCCUAAUUCAUGGGGUUUGCACCCUAUAUAAGGAACCUUAAGCCCCACCUCAGCCUCUUUAGCACCCCUUUGAUGUCCAGAAGCUUUCCCCAUCGUUUUCAAACCCUAAUUUGAGAGUGAUAGGGAUUUAAGUGUUUUUUGAAGCUUGGAGAAGAAGGAUACUUGAAGCAAGAGUUGGUGGGAUCAUAAAGGAGCAAAGUGGAUCUGAUUUCCUUGCUUGUUGGCAUCAGAUUAAAGGUAAAAAGUUGUUGCCUUGGCUUGGUUGUGCUUAGUUUGUUCACGAAUGAAGUUUUAAGGGCCAAAUUUUCAUAUAUGAGUCUCUUUUCGAGUUUUGGGUUCAGAUAUGUGGUUGCUACUAUAGAUCUAGACUGGUCUUGACUCAUGAAUCUGGAAAGUGAUAACUUUGCGGCUUGUUUGAGAGUGUACUUGACUUAAACCUUCAUUUUAGCUUGUUUAGAGCUUGUUGAACCUUGCAUGCACGUAAAGUUGGAAACUUUACGUGUGAAUCUGGCCCUAGGAGUCCAGAUCUAUGUAUUGGAAGCUUUGGAAUAGCCUGAAAUCGUCUGGAUGAAGAUGUCACGUCUGGACUCGGCGAGUUGGAAGAACAACUCGGCGAGUCUGUUCUUGGACUCGACGAGUUUGGUCGCAAGGUCCUAACCUUUUUGGUUGAGCGGUGAAUCGGUGAGUCGAGGGACGACUCGGUGAGUUGAGCAGGAAGUGACUCAGAGUUGGUUGGACUCAGCGAGUCUUCCGGCGACUCGGCGAGUCGAGUCGUGGAUUAGUAGUUUUUGAGUAUAGGGACUCGACGAGUCAGCGGGUUGACUCGGCGAGUAGAGUCAGUCAGGAAGGUUGACUUUGACCGAGGAGUUUGAUUUUGACCAAGAGUUGGCCAGUUGACUUCCAGGGGUAUUUGUGUAAUUAUUGGUAUUUAUUGAGUUCAGUCUUUUGGUAUUAUCAGUGGUGGAGUUCAUGUCGGAGGUUGGAGCUGCAUGAUCUUAUCUUUUCAGUCAGCAGUUGCGAGGUGAGUUAACCUCACUAUAUCAACAGGGUCUAAGGCACCAAGGUCGACCCUUUAUCGGAUGGAAAUCCAGGUAGUUGUUUGUUAUGUUAUUGCUCUGUUAUGUUCGCAUCCUGGUAGUUAGGAUGGUGUAUGUUAGAGAUCGGGUAGGGUCAGUAUCCUGGUUUAUAGGAUGAUGUUAUGCUAGUGACCGGUUAGGUCGGUAUCCUGGUUAGGAUGAUGUUAUGUUUGUGAUCUGCUAGAUCGGUUUGAUUGGAUGUGAAUUGUUAUAUGAUUGUAUGUUUAUGUGCACAUGGUUGUUGGACUGGGGUUGGGUUGAGGCGGGUCCUGCUUUGUGCUGUAGGCCAAUAUACCCAGGGCAGACCGGUUAUCCCGAAGUCCCAGCGAGCGGUCUGGAUAGGCUGUAGGCCCCAAGAGGGCGGUCCAGACGUGCCGAGGCUCGGGGAGUGGACCAGGCCGACUGAAGGCCCGGUGCGGGUGGACCAGUCAUACUGUAGACUCAGAGAUUGGACCAGGUGGAUUGAAGGCUCGGUGCAGGCGGACCAAUCACACUGUAGACUCGGUGUAUAUGGCUAGACUCGGAGGGUGGACCAGGUGGGAUGUAGGCCCGGUGCGGCGGACCAGUCACACAGUAGACCCGAAGUGCAUGGUUGUUCUGUUCUGUUAUGUUGUGAUAUGUUAUGUGUAUGGUAUAUGUGGUUGGUAUUUUGGGGGUAUCUCACUAAGCUUUCGGGCUUACAGUUGUGGUUUAAAUGUUUCAGGUACUUCAGGAGACCGUGGCAAGGCAAAGGCGUGAUCGUACCGCUCCUCAUGUUGAUGUUUUAUGAUAUGGUUCUGGGAAUACUCUGAUAAUAAAUGUAUUGAAAACCUUUUUGUAGUAACUUAAUGAAAUUGGGUGGUUUUUGAAAAGUUUAAAUUUGGUUGGAAUUUUUAGAGUGUUACAAGUUGGUAUCAGAGCCUUGGUUUGAGUGAAUUGGAGGAACAUUCGUGUGAAUCCAGUCUCAAAUCAAGGAGAGUUUUCAAAAAGAGAAUUUAAAAUUGUUUUCAAAAUAAGUAAAGGAGGAUGCGGAGGUACGAUCAGCCGGAGCCAGUAAGUAACCCCAAAAUACCAUACAAGUUAAUUGUUUAUGAGAUAUGAUAGAACAACAUGCUAGUACUAGGCUAGCGAUCUUCAGGAAUUGCAUGAUAGAGUUGCCUGAUUUAUGAUGCCUUCUAGCCUAGGGUUUCUUUCUGUAUGAGAUUUCCAGUGUUCCUUUAGGAGUGAGGGUUGAGUGCUUGUUAUGCAUGUUCUUCACUAGGGUGUUGUGGUGAUACUUGAUACAAACAUGGGUAGGUGUGGAAGGUAGUAUGGGCCCAUACUACUGAAAGCAUAGGACCCAUACGCGUAUCAAGGAAGUCACAACCCCUAGGGCUGGGUUGGGAGUUGGUUCUCGGGUUAGUGAGUAGCAUCUGAUGUUUUGCGGUAAUAUCAGUAUGGUGGUUUCGAGGCAUGCUGGGAGCAGAUCCGGGUCAAGAUUGGGAGCAGGAUGGGGAGGUCAUGGUGGAUCAGCACCACCCGAGGUUAUCGGUUAGAUGAGCACAGACGAGUUGGAUGCUAGGAUUCGUGAGAUCCUACAUGAUGAGGUUGCUGCUAUCUUCCGGGCCGAGUUGCCGGAACUGUUCGGGUCAAUCAAGACCGCCAUGGUCAAGUAUUUUGAUGAGCGCUAUGCAGCUCUUACAGAGACGGCUAUCGCGGCGGCUACAUCGGUUGUAGCAGUGGCAGGGGGAGGAGCCGGUAGAGGUUUUUAGUAUCGGGAUUUUGAUAAUACGAAGCCCCCUACCUUCGAUGGAGUUCAGGACCCGAUUAUUGCUAUGAGAUGGUUGUCAGACGUGGAGGGGUGUUUCUUCACGUGUUCAUGCCCUACUAAUCAGAAAGUGAGGUGUGCUCUGAACCUGUUGAGGCUCGGGGCGAAGGAUUAGUGGAGAUUGACCACGGGGUCAUAUUCGGAUGCGCAGCGGGUUGCGGUUUCUUGGGAUCAGUUUCAGGAGAUGUUCAGCACUCAUUAUGUCCCACGAGAUGAGAGAGAGAGGUUGGCUCAGGAGUUCCUGGAGCUGAAGCAGGAUUCAGAGUCGGUGACGGAGAUCACCAGGAUGUUCACUGAUGUGUUUACGUAUCAUCAGUGCACAACCAAUUCGUAAACAACAAGACUGUUGGAUUAGUGCCUAAGGCUAUAACUAUAUUUGGUAAGUACUUGACCCGAUUGUGCAUGGUUCUUUUGGGUUGCCUUCACCAUAGCAACUUGACAGGAUGAUUUGUUAAGAGAGAAGAGAUAUUAUUGUUAAUAUAUUAUGAGAAAAAUAUAUUAAAGGAAUAAUAAUGUUAUUUGAUUAAUAUAAGUCAUAUAUUAAUUGAGAAUUAAUCUGGUGACUUAAAGAGGUUAAUUGAAUAAAGGGGCAUAAAUUGUCAAAUGUGUGAUAUUUGUGUUUUGGGCUAUGUAUCCUUAUGGAUAUAAGGGUGGACGGAUUUUAGGGUUAGGAGACCAUAAAAUCAUCCAAGCCUAAUAUAUAGGAGGAUCUUGGAUUGCUUAGGGCCUAAGUUAUUCAAUUAGGGUUAAAGGUGAAACCCUAGUGGCUCAUAGUAUAAAUAGAUCCCUUGGGUGAGGGAAAUCAGCACCCAUGCAAGGCAAGGAACCCUAGAGUCGAUUUCUCACCCUUUUCUCUCUCUCAAGAUCAUCCUCUUGCUAGUUGGUGUUUGUAAGCCAUUAGAGGAGUGACAAUUGUGACUCUAAGCUCCAAGUAGAAGAAGUAUCAAGCAAGUAAUUCAAGGUAUAGUUCUAGAUCCGAUUUCAUAUGAUUAGAUUCAAGUGUUUUCAUUAGAUCUAGAAUUGUAAGUCUUGGAUACAAUGCAUGUUCAAUUAGAGAAACCUAGAUCCAAGCAUUAGGGUUUGCAUGUGCACAUAGGAAAGUUCUUAUGGAUCAACCCAUCAGUGGUAUCAAAUAUUUGAUUGAUUUCUAUUGAAUUGAUGCAUUGGUUGAUCACUUGUUGCUUGAAAAAUUCGAUUUUUGUUAUUCUGCCUGAUGAACUCGGCGAGUUCCAUUGUGGACUCGGCGAGUUCGAGCGUCAGAAGGAGGUAGUUUUAGGAUUUCUUGCUGUUUUUCUUGAGGAUACUUUCCUUAACUGUUUUGGGUCAUUAAAAUCUGAUUUUAAUCAUAUAUAUGAGUAUAUUCUUGACCAAACAAAAGAUAAUUACCAAUUAGUUGAAUAAUAAUUUCCUUAUAUGAUAAUAAUUGUUUAUUUGAAUUGAAUUGGUGAAUUGUCUUGCAAGUAAAAUUGAAUAAGAUCAAAUUGAGAUAAUCUAAUUAGUUGAUUUAUAUUAUUUGCUAUUUUAUCCUUAUGUUUUGAAAAAGUUUAAAACUUGUCCUCAAGUUUUGAAAUUUAAUUUUUGUGAUUAAAAGUUUAAUUUGAAAAUUUUAAAUUUCAAACCCUACAGUUUUACAAUUUUAAAAUUCAACACUAUACUAAUAUAUUAUUACAAGCUUAAUAUAUAUANNNNNNNNNNNNNNNNNNNNNNNNNNNNNNNNNNNNNNNNNNNNNNNNNNNNNNNNNNNNNNNNNNNNNNNNNNNNNNNNNNNNNNNNNNNNNNNNNNNNNNNNNNNNNNNNNNNNNNNNNNNNNNNNNNNNNNNNNNNNNNNNNNNNNNNNNNNNNNNNNNNNNNNNNNNNNNNNNNNNNNNNNNNNNNNNNNNNNNNNNNNNNNNNNNNNNNNNNNNNNNNNNNNNNNNNNNNNNNNNNNNNNNNNNNNNNNNNNNNNNNNNNNNNNNNNNNNNNNNNNNNNNNNNNNNNNNNNNNNNNNNNNNNNNNNNNNNNNNNNNNNNNNNNNNNNNNNNNNNNNNNNNNNNNNNNNNNNNNNNNNNNNNNNNNNNNNNNNNNNNNNNNNNNNNNNNNNNNNNNNNNNNNNNNNNNNNNNNNNNNNNNNNNNNNNNNNNNNNNNNNNNNNNNNNNNNNNNNNNNNNNNNNNNNNNNNNNNNNNNNNNNNNNNNNNNNNNNNNNNNNNNNNNNNNNNNNNNNNNNNNNNNNNNNNNNNNNNNNNNNNNNNNNNNNNNNNNNNNNNNNNNNNNNNNNNNNNNNNNNNNNNNNNNNNNNNNNNNNNNNNNNNNNNNNNNNNNNNNNNNNNNNNNNNNNNNNNNNNNNNNNNNNNNNNNNNNNNNNNNNNNNNNNNNNNNNNNNNNNNNNNNNNNNNNNNNNNNNNNNNNNNNNNNNNNNNNNNNNNNNNNNNNNNNNNNNNNNNNNNNNNNNNNNNNNNNNNNNNNNNNNNNNNNNNNNNNNNNNNNNNNNNNNNNNNNNNNNNNNNNNNNNNNNNNNNNNNNNNNNNNNNNNNNNNNNNNNNNNNNNNNNNNNNNNNNNNNNNNNNNNNNNNNNNNNNNNNNNNNNNNNNNNNNNNNNNNNNNNNNNNNNNNNNNNNNNNNNNNNNNNNNNNNNNNNNNNNNNNNNNNNNNNNNNNNNNNNNNNNNNNNNNNNNNNNNNNNNNNNNNNNNNNNNNNNNNNNNNNNNNNNNNNNNNNNNNNNNNNNNNNNNNNNNNNNNNNNNNNNNNNNNNNNNNNNNNNNNNNNNNNNNNNNNNNNNNNNNNNNNNNNNNNNNNNNNNNNNNNNNNNNNNNNNNNNNNNNNNNNNNNNNNNNNNNNNNNNNNNNNNNNNNNNNNNNNNNNNNNNNNNNNNNNNNNNNNNNNNNNNNNNNNNNNNNNNNNNNNNNNNNNNNNNNNNNNNNNNNNNNNNNNNNNNNNNNNNNNNNNNNNNNNNNNNNNNNNNNNNNNNNNNNNNNNNNNNNNNNNNNNNNNNNNNNNNNNNNNNNNNNNNNNNNNNNNNNNNNNNNNNNNNNNNNNNNNNNNNNNNNNNNNNNNNNNNNNNNNNNNNNNNNNNNNNNNNNNNNNNNNNNNNNNNNNNNNNNNNNNNNNNNNNNNNNNNNNNNNNNNNNNNNNNNNNNNNNNNNNNNNNNNNNNNNNNNNNNNNNNNNNNNNNNNNNNNNNNNNNNNNNNNNNNNNNNNNNNNNNNNNNNNNNNNNNNNNNNNNNNNNNNNNNNNNNNNNNNNNNNNNNNNNNNNNNNNNNNNNNNNNNUGCUCCUGUUUUGGCUAUUGGGCAGGGAAGGGGCAAGAAGAGGAAGGCUUCUUCAAAGAACCACCGCAAGGGAAAGUCCCAAGAUGGUUCCUCUUCUAGUGGGACCAAGGUUGAUCCUGCUAAGCCCAACCCAAACCCAAAGGAGGCAGAGUGUCAUCAUUGCCACAAAAUAGGGCAUUGGAAGAGAAGUUGCCCGGAAUAUCUGCAAGCCAUCAAGGAUGGGAAGAUCAAGCCAUCUUUCGCAGGUAUUUACACAAUCAAAUCUCAUGAUUCAUCUCAUGCUAUUUCUUGAGUUCUUGAUACAGGGUGUGGUUACCACAUUUGUUUUGAUUUGCAGGGACUAGGAAGAAAUAGGGAUGUGGAGCUUGGAAGAAUAAAUCUAAUCAUGGGGAACAGAAGAUCGUCGCCUGUUACCAAGAUUGGAGUGUAUUCUUUAGUGCUUAGUAAUGGAUUGAAUUUAGAUUUAAAUAAUUGUUGCUACUCGCCAGAUAUGGCAAGAAACAUCAUUUCUUUACAUGGUUUAUAUAGACAAUGAUUUAGAUAUUCGUUUAAUAAUGAGAAUGGUUCGAUUUAUGCUUAUCUAAAUGGUGUUUUAUAUUUUGAAGCAAUGCCUUGUAAUGGAAUUUAUGAAACUGUUAUGGUUGUAGAUAACCUAGGAUGUGUUGUGUAUGGAUUCUUCCAAUAGUAUGGAUAAAGCAUCUUUGUGGCAUUGUCGUCUUGUACAUGUCGACAAGAAGCACAUACCCAACUCCAAAAGGAUGGAGUGUUGGAGUCACUUGACCUUAGGGAAGAUGACACGUGUGAAUCUUGUUUACUUGGAAAGAUGACCAAGUCACCAUUCACUGGCACUUGUGAGAGGGGUGAGGGUUUAUUGGAUCUCAUACACACCGACGUGUGUGGGCCCUUUGGAUCCACCAAAGGAUGGGAACCGCUUCUACGUGACUUUCACCGAUGAUUAUAGUAGAUAUGGGUAUAUUUACUUAAUCAAGCACAUGUUAGAAACGUUUGAAAAGGUUUAAAGAGUUCAAGCAUGAAGUGGAGAAUUAAUUGGGCAGGAAAAUCAAGAUGCUUUGAUCCGAUCGAGGAGGAGAGUACCUAAGUCUUGAAUUCCACGACUAUCUCAAGGAAUGCGGAAUAGUUUCGCAAUUGACGCCACCUAGGACACCACAGUUGAAUGGUGUGGCAGAAAGGCGUAAUCGAACCCUGUUAGACAAGGUCCGUUUUAUGAUGAGUCGUGCUUCACUACCUAUCUCAUUAUGGGGGUAUGCCUUAGAGACUGCCGCCCAUAUCCUUAACCGAGUCCCUACAAAGAAGGUUGCCAAAACACCUCACGAGAUGUGGACAGGGAAAGCUCCCUCGUUGGCACAUAUCAAGGUUUGGGGCUGUGAAAUUUUCGUAAGACAAGAAAAUCACGACAAGCUCAAACCUCCUAGUGGCGAUGUAUUUUCAUCGGCUACCCGCAGAAAUGCUUUGGAUAUCUCUUCUAUAGACCGAGUGACAAUGUUGUCUUCGUUGCGAGGAGAGGGGUUUUCCGAGAGCGAGAACUCAUAAGCCAAGGGGACAGUGGGAGGCAAAUCGAUCUUGAAGAGAUUCAAGAGUCGAGNNNNNNNNNNNNNNNNNNNNNNNNNNNNNNNNNNNNNNNNNNNNNNNNNNNNNNNNNNNNUCCUUACCUCUUAGACGUUCCGAUAGAGUUAGAGUUCAACCCCAGUUUUAUGGUUUUCAUAUUACUACCGAAGGGGACACGUAUAUUAGUGAUGGUACACUAGUAAAUCUUGAUGAACCUAAUAGCUAUAAGGAAGCCAUGGCAGGCCCAGAGUCUGUAAAAUGGAAAGAGGCGAUGUAUAGCGAGAUUCAGUCCAUGUAUGACAACCAAGUUUGGAAUUUGGUAGACAAUGUGCCCGGACGUAAGAUGGUUGGAUGAAAAUGGAUCUUCAAGAAGAAGACCGACGUGGAUGGGAAGGUGCACACGNGCUGCUAGCUCAUUCACGCUAAUGAGCCUUUGUUAAAAAGUGACUUUCGAUGGAUCGAACUUUGGCGAAUGGAUAAGAUACAUUCUCACGAUCGCGCGUUAUGAGGACAAAGAGUAUGUUCUCGAUGAGAAGCUUGAGAAUAUCAAUCCAGAAACUGCUACUCCCAAAGAAAUGGUUGUUUUUGAGACCCAUGAGCAUGAUGCAACGAAAGUCCAUUGCAUCAUGAUAGCCACAAUGAACUCCGAAUUCCAAAAGUCCUAUGAGGACAUGUAUCCUUAUGAGAUGCAUCUAGACUUGUUGGAGAGAUAUCACCAAAGCGCGAGGCAAGAGCACUAUGAGAUCAUAACGAAUAUGAUCACUGCUAAAAUGGGAAGUGGAGAGUCUCUAACCGUGCACUUGCAAAAGAUGCAAAGGUAUGUUGAUCGUCUUCGCAAGUUGAAUGUCAACUUUGGGGAAGAUUUGGCUAUCGACAUUGUUCUUCACUCCUUUCCCUCAUGCUACAACCAAUUUAGGAUGACCUACCACGUGAACAAGGAAGAGGUCACCCUAAGCAAACUCCAGGGGCUCCUAAGGACUGCUGAGAGCAACCUUAAGGACAAGUCUGUUGCACCAACUCCCAAUCCACCCGUUGCUCCUGUUUUGGCUAUUGGACAGGGAAGGGGCAAGAAGAGGAAGGCUUCUUCGAAGAACCACCGCAAGGGAACGUCCUAAAAUGGUUCCUCUUCUAGUGGGACCAAGGUUGAUCCCGCUAAGCCCAACCCAAACCCAAAGGAGGCAGAGUGUCAUCAUUGCCACAAAAUAGGGCAUUGGAAGAGAAGUUGCCCGGAAUAUCUGCAAGCCAUCAAGGAUGGGAAGAUCAAGCCAUCUUUCGCAGGUAUUUACACAAUCAAAUCUCAUGAUUCAUCUCAUGCUAUUUCUUGAGUUCUUGAUACAGGGUGUGGUUACCACAUUUGUUUUGAUUUGCAGGGACUAGGAAGAAAUAGGGAUGUGGAGCUUGGAAGAAUAAAUCUAAUCAUGGGGAACAGAAGAUCGUCGCCUGUUACCAAGAUUGGAGUGUAUUCUUUAGUGCUUAGUAAUGGAUUGAAUUUAGAUUUAAAUAAUUGUUGCUACUCGCCAGAUAUGGCAAGAAACAUCAUUUCUUUUCAUGGUUUAUUUAGACAAGGAUUUAGAUAUUCGUUUAAUAAUGAGAAUGGUUCGAUUUAUGCUUAUCUAAAUGGUGUUUUAUAUUUUGAAGCAAUGCCUUGUAAUGGAAUUUAUGAAACUGUUAUGGUUGUAGAUAACCUAGGAUGUGAUGUGUUGUGUAUGGAUUCUUCCAAUAGUAUGGAUAAAGCAUCCUUGUGGCAUUGUCGUCUUGGACAUGUCAACAAGAAGCGCAUAGCCCAACUCCAAAAGGAUGGAGUGUUGGAGUCAUUCGACCUUAGGGAAGAUGACACAUGCGAAUCUUGUUUACUUGGAAAGAUGACCAAGUCACCCUUCACUGGCACUUGUGAGAGGGGUGAGGGUUUAUUGGAUCUCAUACACACCGACGUGUGUGGGCCCUUUAGAUCCACCACAAAGGAUGGGAACCGCUUCUACGUGACUUUCACCGAUGAUUAUAGUAGAUAUGGGUAUAUUUACUUAAUCAAGCACAAGUCAGAAACGUUUGAAAAGUUCAAAGAGUUCAAACAUGAAGUGGAGAAUCAAUUGGGCAGGAAAAUCAAGAUGCUUCGAUCCGAUCGAGGAGGAGAGUACCUAAGUCUUGAAUUCCACGACUAUCUCAAGGAAUGCGGAAUAGUUUCGCAAUUGACGCCACCUAGGACACCGCAGUUGAAUGGUGUGGCAGAAAGGCGUAAUCGAACCCUGUUAGACAUGGUUCGUUCUAUGAUGAGUCGUGCUUCACUACCUAUCUCAUUCUGGGGGUAUGCCUUAGAGACUGCCGCCCAUAUCCUUAACCGAGUCCCUACAAAGAAGGUUGCCAAAACACCUCACGAGAUGUGGACAGGGAAAGCUCCCUCGUUGGCACAUAUCAAGGUUUGGGGUUGUGAAGUUUUCGUAAGACGAGAAACUCAUGACAAGCUCGAACCUCGUAGUGAGCGAUGUAUUUUCAUCGGCUACCCGCAGAAAUCCUUUGGAUAUCUCUUCUAUAGACCGAGUGACAAUGUUGUCUUCGUUGCGAGGAGAGGGGUUUUCCGAGAGCGAGAACUCAUAAGCCAAGGAGACAGUGGGAGGCAAAUCGAUCUUGAAGAGAUUCAAGAAUCGAGCGAUGAAGGAACCUCUAACGCUGGCGCUCAACCCGAGGAGGAAACUCCGGUUGAACCGAUUGACGAGUCCUUACCUCUUAGACGUUCCGAAAGAGUUAGAGUUCAACCCCAGUUUUAUGGUUUUCAUAUUACUACCGAAGGGGACACGUAUAUUAGUGAUGGUACACUAAUAAAUCUAGAUGAACCUAAUAGCUAUAAGGAAGCCAUGGCAGGCCCGGAGUCUGCAAAAUGGAAAGAGGCAAUGGAUAGCGAGAUCCAAUCCAUGUAUGAUAACCAAGUUUGGAAUUUGGUUGAUUAUGUGCCCGGACGUAAGACCGUUGGGUGCAAAUGGAUCUUCAAGAAGAAGACCGACGUGGAUGGAAACGUACACACAUAUAAAGCGCGAUUGGUCGCGAAGGGCUUUACUCAAACUCCCGGAGUUGACUAUGAUGAGACCUUCUCACCAGUUGCGAAGAUAAAAUCUAUUAGAGUGAUGCUAGCUAUUGCCGCAUUUCAUGAUUAUGAGAUUUGGCAAAUGGAUGUCAAGACCGCUUUCCUUAACGGAAAGUUGGCUGAGGAUGUUUACAUGGCUCAGCCAGAGGGGUUUGUGGAUCCGAAGCAUCCGAAUAGAGUGUGUAAGCUUGAGAAGUCCAUUUAUGGACUUAAGCAAGCGUCUCGCAGAUGGAAUCUUUGCUUCGAUGAGAAAGUCAAAGAGUUUGGAUUUGUACGAAGCGAAGACGAAUCUUGUGUAUAUGUCAAAGCCAGUGGGAGUAUAGUAAGCUUCCUCGUUCUAUAUGUCGAUGACAUAUUACUCAUAGGAAACGACAUCCCGACUCUGCAGGAGGUUAAGUCCUGGCUCGGGAAGUGCUUCGCUAUGAAGGACCUCGGAGAGGCUUCUUACAUUUUGGGAAUAAGGAUAGUAAGAGAAAGAAGUAAGAGACUAAUUGGACUUAGUCAGAAUACUUACUUAGAGAAGGUACUAAAACGUUUUAGUAUGGAAAACUCAAAGAAGGGAGAACUACCGAUACAAAGUAAUGCCAAAUUGAGUAAGACUCAAAGUCCGAGUACCGAAGCUGAGAUAGCAGAAAUGAGCCGAGUACCAUACGCUUCCGCAGUUGGCUCAAUCAUGUACGCUAUGACUUGUACUCGCCCUGAUGUAGCCUUCGCUUUGAGCAUGGUUAGCAGAUAUCAAGGGAAUCCUGGCAAAGCACAUUGGAUUGCGGUGAAGAAUAUCCUUAAGUACCUUCGGAGGACGAAGGAAUGGUUCUUAGUCCUCGGAGGGAGUGAUGACUUGAAGGUGCGAGGGUAUAGUGACGCCAGUUUUCAGACCGACAGGGACAACUACCGUUCGCAGUCGGGCUGGGUCUUUACCCUAAAUGGAGGAGCAGUGACAUGGAAGAGUUCCAAGCAGGAAACCGUAGCUGAUUCAACGUGCGAAUCAGAGUACAUUGCAGCGAGCGAAGCGUCGAAGGAGGCAAUAUGGCUAAAGAACUUCAUCGGUGAUCUUGGAGUUGUACCUGCCAUAAAGGAGCCCAUGGAGAUUUUCUGUGAUAACGAAGGAGCGGUUGCCUUGACCAAGGAACCGAGGGAUCAUGGUAGAUCAAGACAUAUCGACAGAAAAUAUCACUUCAUUAGACAUCGUGUAGAAGAAGGACAACUCGUAGUGAAGAGGAUAUCAUCAGAAGAUAACCCAGCAGAUCCGCUUACGAAGGGACUGAGUAGGGUUAAGCACUUGCAGCAUGCUAGGAGUAUUGGGCUGAAGGAUGAUAUUAGCAUAGAUUAGAUAGUAUUAGAAACGUGUAAUAGAUAAAUGUAAUUAACAUUUGAUGAUUAAAUAAAGGAGUUUUAUUUAUGAGUAAUGUUACUAUCUUAUGUUAAUUGUUUAGCUAUUGUUUCACUUUGCAUGUUUUGACUUCCAGAAUAAUUGAGUUUAUUAGGAAUAAUCGAAUUGUUCAAAUGGUCCACAAUCGUUCAUAUGUUGGGAGUAGAUAUGAAUGAAGAUUGUCAUGAAUUGGUGUGUAGAAUGUCUAAAUGGUGUUAGACAUAGCAAAGGAUUGCUGCAACGUUCAUGAGUGCUUAUGAACUAGUUUUGAGCAUUGGAAUAAACCCGCGCUUGCUGGAAUCACCUUAUGGAAUACGAUAUAACAAGUGAUCGCAAGACGAUAAUAUCAUAUGGUCUUAAAACCAAGAUAUAUGGUUUAUUGUUUAUUAAUUGGUUGUGCAUUGACAAUGCGAAACCGCAUCAGUAAAUUGAUGUCAUAAAACGCAUUGUUGUGUAUAGUUGAUUAGUAAAUAGUAAAUGCAUAUAAGUCGAAGUUUAUCUGUUACUUUUAUCCUAAGAGGGUAAAAGCGAUAUCAGGGCCCCUCGAUGAUUUGAUUUGACUUAUGUGUCGGGCCCGGUCAGGACUGAAUUGAUGUGUUCAAUUAAGUUCUAUGUCAAAUGAAUCUGAGAUCGAGAAACCAACUGUUGGACAAUAAGUUCCAUGAGAUUGUCCGCACAAUAUCUAAACAGAGGACUGUACGAUCCCUUAUCUAAAGGACAGGAUACUGAUAAGAUCAGAGUUUGACAGCGUCUUUGAGAGCUACGAUUGCUAAUCGGAUUGUGUUUGCAUAUAUAGUUACUAGACUUAUCCAAGUGGGAGACUGUUGGAUUAGUGUCUAAGGCUAUAACUAUAUUUGGUAAGUACUUGACCCGGUUGUGCAUGGUCCUUUUGGGUUGCCUUCACCAUAGCAACUUGACAGGAUGAUUUGUUAAGAGAAAAGAGAUAUUAUUGUUAAUAUAUUAUGAGAAUAAUAUAUUAAAGGAUUAAUAAUGUUAUUUGAUUAAUAUAAGUCAUAUAUUAAUUGAGAAUUAAUUUGGUGACUUAAAGAGGUUAAUUGAAUAAAGGGGCAUAAACUGUCAAAUGUGUGAUAGUUGUGUUUUGGGCUAUGUAUCCUUAUGGAUAUAAGGGUGGACAGAUUUUAGGUUUGGGAGACCAUAAAAUCGUCCAAGCCUAAUAUCUAGAAGGAUCUUGGAUUGCUUAGGGCCUAAGUUAUUCAAUUAGGGUUAAAGGUGAAACCCUAAUGGCGCAUAGUAUAAAUAGAUCCCUUGGGUGAGGGAAAUCACCACUCAUGCAAGGCAAGGAACCCUAGAGCUGAUUUCUCACCCUCCUCCCUCUCUCUCAAGAUCAUUAUCUUGCUAGUUGGUGUCUGUAAGCCAUUAGAGGAGUGACAAUUGUGACUCUAAGCUCCAAGAAGAAGAAGUAUCAAGCAAGUAAUCCAAGGUAUUGUUCUAGAUCCUAAUUCAUAUGAUUAGAUUCAAUUGUUUACAUUAGAUCUAGUAUUGUAAGUCUUGGAUACAAUGCAUGUUCAAUUAGAGAAACCUAGAUCCAAGCAAUUAGGGUUUGCAUGUGCACAUAGGAAAGUUCUUAUGGCUCAAACCCAUCAGUUGUAUCAGAGCUUUGAUUGAUUUCUAUUGAAUUGAUGCAUUGGUUGAUUGCUUGUUGCUUNNNNNNNNNNNNNNNNNNNNNNNNNNNNNNNNNNNNNNNNNNNNNNNNNNNNNNNNNNNNNNNNNNNNNNNNNNNNNNNNNNNNNNNNNNNNNNNNNNNNNNNNNNNNNNNNNNNNNNNNNNNNNNNNNNNNNNNNNNNNNNNNNNNNNNNNNNNNNNNNNNNNNNNNNNNNNNNNNNNNNNNNNNNNNNNNNNNNNNNNNNNNNNNNNNNNNNNNNAUAUCGCUUUUAUCCCGAAGGUAAAAGGAAUGGAUAAACUUCGACUCAUAUGGCUUGUUCUACUACUUGUUGAAUCAUACACAAAUGCACGUUUUAUAACAUCGAGUUACCAACGUGUUUUCUUGCAAUCAAUGUAUAACCAAGUCAUAGUAACAACUCAUAUCUCAAGGUUUGAAGAAUAUAAGAUAUUACCGUCUCAUGAUUACUUGUGAUAAAAUCCAUGAAGUGAUUCCAAUGAGCGCGGUUUGAAUCCAAUACUCAGAACUUAUGAGCACUCAUGAGUGUUGUAGCACAACUUUGUCCACCAACUUUGUCACACCCCGGCCGUCGGCGGAAACACCGGGCAGUGUAAUGUCAUUUCUCGUAUCAUAGUUAUCAACUUCCUGAAAACACAUGCAAUUUAAAAUACGUCAACAUAAAUUUGGUGAGUUCACAGGUUUUGACUCCAUAUAAAAAUAAUACAUUUUUCCAAGUUCAAAAGUAUAGUUUUGAAAGUAUUAUUUUGAGUUUCCAACGUUUAGUAUAUAUAUCCUAGGUAUAAUGGUUUACUUACCAAAUAAGUAUAUACCUAUAAGUCUCAUAUAUUAUAAAUAUAAAUGUUUGUAAUUCCAUAAAAACUAAGUUGCUACGUAUAAAUCUUAUUUCAAUUCUAUACGAGUAAGUAGGAUAGGUAUAGUGGUCUACUUAAUAUACAAGUGAUAUACCUACUAGAUUCUUAUACUUAGAGUAUAAGUCUUUAGGAAACUUAUACUUAACAUUCAUACUUGUAUAUCGACAAAGUAUAAUGCUUCUAAAGUUGUUCUACCAUGAGUCUGUAGCCGCGACUGUAUGACUUAGUUUUAUACCUCUUAUUAUUAUUAUUACAAGGAUCACACAUUGCUGUAGUGCAAGGAUUACACCUUGUGGUAGUACAAGGAUCACACCUUGCGGUAGUACAAGGAUCACACCUUGCGGUAGUACAAGGAUUACACCUUGAGGUAGUACAAGGGUCACACCUUGCGGUAGUACAAGGAUCACACCUUGCGGUAGUACAAGGAUCACACCUUGCGGUAGUACAAGGAUUAUACAUUGCGGUAGUUUCCGCACGUUUCAUCAACGCCAGAACAAUAACAAAUAAAAGGAUAGUUCAUCACUCACUUUUGGUUGACUGUAGCUAACAGUCACGAGUGGGGUGGUCAACCCGUAUACUAUUUAUACACGACUUCCUCGCUCACACGGGAUUAACGAAUACAGGUCAGAGGACUUUCACUAAGAUCCCCAAUCUUAGAUGAUGAAUACAAUAGCUCAGGUAGACUUUGACGACGUUCUAUGGUUCUAACAACAAAAGCAUUUUCGUGUCUAAAACCCUAAGUUACUAGACUAUGAUUUUAAACAUUACUCCUAAUUUCAUAACAUUUAGGCAGUAUAACAACUAUAACUUGAAGUAAAACUAGGUUUUAUCUUGACAUAAAACCAACAAUAAUAACAUAUAACACACCAGGUUUUAUCUUGACAUAAAACCAACAAUAAUAAUAUACUUAGAAACUAAUAUAUAUAUAACUCUCGAGUAUAGCAUCGAGGCUAUAUCACACAUACUAUACAUAGAACUCCCGAGUAUAACUCAAGGUCUACAUUAGUAUAAUAACAUGCUAACAAGUUUACGAUAGUUGUAUAAUUUCAUAUACGAAAUAAGACUUAUCCCGAUUAUUAUAACUAUCUACGUUGAUACUAAUAUACUAUCAUAUAGACAUAAUAAUAACGUAUAUAUAAUAUUUAGCAUGCGUUUUCCCCCGAAAUAUUAGAAAGUGGGACCGUGAAACUCACCUUAGUAACGUGAUUUUAUGUAAUCUAGGUAGAAACGGUCAGCGUGUGAGAUUGUCGGGGCUCGGGAUGCAAGAGGGCUUCAGCAAAUGAGAGAGGAGAAAGGAAAUGUUGUAAGGAAGUGAAUGGGUCGAUCUUGUUAUUUAUAGUAAGUUUUUAUGACACUCACGUCGUGAGUGUCAUAAGACUCACAUCGUGAGUCUCAUGAUUCACUCCGUAGACUUGCCAUUUGCGUCCCUAGCUUCGGAUGGUGGCCAUGACACCUCACGUCGUGAGUGUCAUAAAGCUCACGUCGUGAAUUGGAUCUUAUCCUCUCGCAGCUUCUAGAUUCCGAAUUAUGACAGAAUGUCGUGAGCGUCAUAAAACUCACGUCGUGAAUUAGCUAGUUUAGGGUUUUUAAAAGCUAAAUCUUCGGAAUGCCAUAACUUUUGCAUACGAACUCCGUUUUUGACAUUAUUUAUAUGCAUGCGUAGGUAUUUACGAGUAAUACAACUCCCUUUUAGACUUAAAUAGCUAAUUCUAAGUCUAUUUUAAAUUCCUCUUAUUAUAGAGAUUUAUAGUGUUCGGUUUAUCAUAACUUCUUAAUGCGAAGUCGAUUUAGACGUUCUCUAUAUUUUUGGAAUCGUAUGGACAUAUACUUUGAUUUAUAUCAUAAAGGAAGUUAAUAUUUGUAUUAGAAUUUAUCAUGAACUACAUAACAUUCUUACCACAUUACUAGGUUAAUAUAAUCACAUUACAUGAUUUGCAUAAUCACAUGUGAUUAUCUAUAGACCUAUUUUGACUAGUGUUACAAACUUGGACCUCUACAAGACAACCCAUGACAGUAUUGAUUCAUAUAUACUUCCAACAUAUGACCGAAUGUUGAUGGUUUGAAUAACUUAGUCAAUCAGGAAGAACGACCUAGUUAUUCUGGAAGUCAAAACAUGCAAAAUGAAACACAAGAAUAAUUGAAUCCAAUAUGGUCUCAGAACUUAUGAAUAUAAAUAAAACACAUUUUAUUUAUCACCAUAUGAUCACACAUUAUUCAUUGUAUACUAUUUCAGCUAUCAACUUUAUUCUUGAAUUAAAACAAUUGCUGCCCCAUGCUCCAAGCAUGUACACUAUGUUUUCUAAACACUAGUCAUGCCACACACCAAGUAUGCAUACUAUGUUUGUCUAUGAUCUUUACUUUGUGAAAUAGAUAAAUUGAAUAUAACUCCAAUGAUCCUAUUUUCACAUUCCUAAAUCCUUACUGCAAAUGCAAGAAUUCCAAAUUCAUGCCAUUUACCGAAAUUUGUUAGAUUCUAAACUUAUAUGCAUUGAUCCUCUUGUAAUGAUUAUGCACAAAGUCAUAAAGACUUGACAACAAACAUUACAAAACAUUCCAAAGGAGAUCAACUCCUUGGAAACAGCCUUCUUGCAUUAAGUUUCCUAAUCUUACACAGAUUGAAUAAUUUCUAACUUUGAAACAUUUCCAUAUUCCAUUUUGACUACCACUUCUGAACACGAGUUUCCUUUUUUCAGAAUAAUUCAAUAUGGUCCUUCCACCAAUUAACACUAUACUUCCAACUGUCCUUGAGAAACCAAUCUUUGGUAAACCUUAGACUGUCCUCGACGAUUGCUUAAUCCUUUUAGUCACAUCUAAUUCUAGACCUUUUCCCUUCUUAAUGCCCCAGGCAUUUGGAAAAUUUUAGAAAGGAUGAAUAUAGCACAUGUAAUCGAUCCUAUAUCCGAAGCAUAUGGGACACGAUUCAUGAUGUCUCACAUAAAGACUAAACCAGUCUUUUGCUAUAAUAUUUCCAUUUCAAUUUGCCAAGUUCUCAUAAUUCAGAUUAUGAAAAGGGAUGUCGUAAUCAUAAUCGAAUUUUAGAACGCAAAUAAUGGACCCAUAUACAGAAUUUCCUUAUGUUGAGCCAUUCCAACAUGAAAUUCAUAUAUAUCCUUGACUAAAUGAUUAAAACCUCACGAUCUAAGCUUAUAGAUUUGAGAUGAAGUAUAAUUUCCUCUCCCUUAAUUAUAGCAAAACAACUUUUUCCCAAUUGAAACUUUUGUUUUCUAUAAUUAACAUUGCUAACUUGCAAUACUUAUCAUAAUUAUCAUGCUCCCACUAACAUGAUGAUUAUUAGCAUAACACUUAUGCUCCCACUAGCUUUGACAUGUACUCAGAAAUCAGUUGGACUUCUAGAAAUCAAUACUUUAUUGACUUUCUUACCAAAGUUCAGAUUUCUGAUACUAGAUUGCUUUGAUAAAACUUUAUCAAUAUCAUACACCUUAUCUUAGAUAGCUCACAUGUGUGUUUAAACAAUUUUAAGAACUAUGAAAAGGGAUGUCAUAAUCAUAGUCUUGAUUGUUUAUACCUUUUCCACUUCUCACUAGUCCAUGUUAGUGUGUCGGUUAACCACACAUGCUCCACUAACAACUUUGAGAAUGCAAAUAUUACAAUUGCUAUCUAGCUAAAAUCUACUUAGUGAAAAUGUUUCCUCACCAUCAUUUUCAUGAAUCGGAGAGAAACCUUAUGACACUUAGAUUUAAUGGUGUAUGUGUUCUUAUCCAUGUGAAUUGUCAAAACCAUAAUCACAAGACAUGGUUAGUGACAAAUCCAAACUCUUAUGGAUUGAACUUGUGUCAUCUUAACUUCUUGCCAUUUGGCAGCUCAAGGGCCUGACAUUGCUUCCAAGUUGUUGUACAACCAAUUGAGAACUCUAAGAACUCAUAUGCAAAUCCAACUUUAAUUAGAAUAGGCAACGAAUAUGUCAACACGAUAGGUUAUAAACCUCAAGUCGUGUGCUAGUGAAGAGACUUCAGGUUUUUAUUCUUGAUUAGUUCUUGAGACUUUCGAGACCUUUAAGACUCCCACUGUCCUCUUGACAUAUAAGACUCUCUUUUCAAAUAUUCAAAAUAUAGUGCGGAUUCUUUAUCAAGAUAAACACUUCACACAAUUGGCCUUAGUUGGUCUUUGUUUUAUCCAAAACAUCACAACUUACCAAUUUCAAAUGUACAAGAGUAGAAAACUUUUACUCUUACAUUUGACAAGUGUUUUAAACCUUCUUUAAGACAUGUCACUCAACUUACAGUAUUGGAGUAUGACUCUAAGACUUGUUUUGGAACCAAGUAUGACUCAUCUUCUUGAUUUGACCACUUCAACAAUUCAUAGCUCCUCUUCUUAUCUAUCAGAAUGCACUUAGAGGAUGAAUUGUGAUAAGGUAUCUUCAUCAUUAAGAUGAUCAUAUAACAUAAUACUAAAGUACUCUCCUAUCUUUUCAGAUUUAAGAAACUUUUAUCUUUCUACCUAAGUUGAUUCUUCUUAUUCGCUCUGCCAUACAUUGUAAUUUUUCUAAUGUAUCAGAAUUACACUUAAACCUGUAAGUAUAACCAUAUUUACUAAACUUUAGUAAAUCAUGAUGAAUAGCCUUAUCGAUAUUUUGUGGUGGACUUAACCAGUGCACAAGAAUGUGUACUCGAUCCCUUAGUCCUUUACUUGACUCACACAUCCAUGUGAACAAGUAAUUAGUCUUAAUUUUCCAAUGCUUGAAAGUUCUCAUUCAUCAUGCUAUACAACUGGCAUGAUUCCAAGUUUCUAUCCAACUGAAACUUGGGUGAUGAGAAUCUUUUCUUAUUUGGUAAAUUUAGACACUACCACAAAUGAAAGAAUCAAAUUCAUAUUUCCACUCUUGCUCUUAAUGGAAUCUUAUAAGCAACAAAAAUUUUCACAAGUGCCAUUGUAAGGAUAUUUUAAAAUAAAUAAAAUCAAAAUUUUUUCAUUUUAUUUUAAAAAUUGUGGAAAAACUAUCCUUACAGUGCAAAAGCACAUGAAAACUUUGUUGUUAUCUAUUCCUAAGCAAUAUAUCAUAACUCCUAAGAAGUAGCUCAAGAAUCCGAUCUUCAAACUAUGAGAUAGAAAUCCAUCUACGCGAUCAGAUUCAACAUAUUCUUUUUUUAAGUUUCUUUACUUUUUCUUUGAUUCUUAAAACAUCAACAUGUGACCCAGUCACAUAAUGUAUCAAGAAUCUCAUAGUAGAAACUUAGCAGAGUUAGAUAGUGGACUUUACCUGAAGUAGAGUCAAACUUAUUGACUUUAACAUCCUUAGGUAAAAUUGACAGCUUCGCAACUAAUGCCCCUUCCUUUGGCAAUGGACCCUUGAUAAUGGGACUAUCUUAGACUUAGCCUCUCUCUUUACCAUUUGGUCAACCAAGUUGACUAUGGAUGAUCCCUUUCCAUUGGGAAGAGAGAGCUUUACUGGAUAUCCAAUGUCACAUUGUCAAUGUCCAUUGAAAGUUUGGGAAGUUGAUCUUCCAAUCACAUUUGCUUUACCAGUGUUCCAAAUCAUUACUGAUUUAGCAAUACCAAGCAAAUAGAUAAGAUCAUUAAGAGUCUUGUCAUAGUCUGUUUCAUAGGAGUCCCAAAGGAACUCACUAUGUGACUUAGAAAGUGAUUGAGCCACCAACUUUCUCAAGACUUUGACACCUAACUCUCUCGGCUUGUCAAUAUGUGACUUCAUCUCCAACAUGUGAUCACACUUAGACCUUGCCUUUCCAAUAGGGCUUGAGUGACCUUAAACUUUUCUAGAACUUGUGGGUUAGGGAGAAUAAUUGGAGGAGGUGAAAUAAGUAUGAUUUCCAUGGGACAUCGUCUUCAUUUAGGAAAAUUUGUUUCAAGAGAUUUGGGAAGAUCACAGAUGUCUAAACCAUACAUCUUUUGGGAGAUAUUCAAGAUAGUUGAUUUAAAGUCCUUAAUAUAACACCCAAUAUGAAAUAUUAAGGCUAGGACCCAACACAAUACUUUUAUAAAUUGGAAGAGGGAUGUCGUAAUCCAAGCUAUAAAAUAUUUGAAGGUAGGUGAAUCACGAUUCACCAAUUUCCACCAAGAUAAACAACAUGUAUUAUUAGGUUUUAAUUGGUUUUUCAAACUCCUAGAUUCUUUUGAGAUUCAUUGAACUGUUCAAUAACAUGUUUCAAUCUCGAAUGUGCCCUUCAGGUUUUGUGACUGAGAUGCCGAGGAUCACAAAACAAGGUGUGAAUAACCACGCAAAUAUACUUGGUACCCUUAAGUGUUUACCCCUCAAGCGAUGUGCCGGUUAACCACACACGCUCCAUCGAUACUAUGAUAAAUAUUAAGUCACCCUUUACCUACCUUGUUAAAUACAAGUUAGUGUGCCGGUUAACCACACACGCUCCACUAACGACUUAGACAAAGUGUAAAGUGUAAUUUCAUGGAUUAGCACCUUAUUCACAUUUUCCCUAAGUAACUAAGAUUGGGUAUUAUUAAGAGUUUAGUUACUUAGUAUUUUCAUUAAUACUUUUAAUGAAGGGAGAAUUCUAGUCCUGUCAAACCCGUUCGGCUAACGACCCUCCACCAGUCAAGCAAGCGGUGGGUGAGAGUGGACACCCAUUAAGUUGCCAUUUUAUAGGCAACAGCCUUAUACCCACCUUAUAGUCCGGCUUCGUGAAUGAGGCGUACUAGCGGUAAGACUGACUUUACUCUUAUACAUAUAUAUAUUAUUAACUUAUAAUAUUAUAAAGCAUAAGGGUUUAAUUUAAACUUUUAAAAUUCUAAGGGCUAACCUGGAAUUAAAGUAUUCAUAAGAGAAAACUUUUCAAAUUACAAAACUUGAGAGCAAGUUUUGAAAAUAUUCAAAACUAAUUAAUUCCAUAACUUAUGUGAUUAAAUUAGUUUUAAUUAAAAAACUCUUCAAGUUCCAUAACUUGAGGACAAAUUAUGGAAGACUUUAAACUAAUAAAAGAAUGUAACUUUUCUUUAUUUUGUCACUUGUUGGUUUCCAUGUUCGUUCCUUUGGCUGAAGUUGCCAAUGUUGUUCCCACCUCCAUUAGGGUUGUUUGCAUUGAUUUGUGUCAUCGCAGCGGUUACUGCUACCGUUACAGCAGCUUGGAAAGUAGCAGAGUCCAUCUGCAGGAGUGGUGCCUCGCGGGUGCGCUUGUUAUUCUUGCGGGGCAGCAUUUUCCUGAUGCAUGUUGAUAAGCUACAUCGUAAUUAUAGUCAUUCCUGGUUGUACUCUAGAAAUUUUGCAUCUUGUUAUAUAAUUCUUACUGCUCCCAUAUACAUCCCUAUGAUGUAUUUAUAGUAGUAGGUAAUCACAUAUUUGGCACGAUCGUUACGUCUACCCCAGAGGAUAUGGAUUGUUUCGGUUUCGAGAUCCUUAAGUACCAUCUUAGUACACGAAAGAGAGUCAUAUCGGAUAGUGAGGGGGAAAAGAAAAGGUUGAUCCUAAUUGUGGCGGUAAGUGUCUGGUGGUGGUGCUGAUGAAGUGGGUGCACUUCGAAGAUGAGCUACUUGUUAUCCGGUAUCUCAUAGUUGUACUUCCCAAACUAAUUGUCUCGCUCGAGAGUCUCCAUUCACUUCCUAUGUCUGCCCCUCAUCUUUCUCAAUAGCAAACCACAUUUGUUCCGUUCGAUUAGUGGUGUCCUGAGCUUGGUUAUCAAUACCUCGGGUGCGUCGGACCAUGACUGGGAGGGCCCGGUCAGCUGGUCCUCUAUGGCUAAUGGUCGGAGAGACCUCGGUUCCUACCCUAGUGUGGUCGUAUCCCCUGCUGGUGACUCUAUCUCCAAAUAUCAUGUGCCUAAGGGGGGCAUGGGGCCACCAGGGCCCACACGAUAUGUCGAUACUCUGACUUUACAUGGAGGAUUGAUGUCAUUGGAUUCUACAUCUGAGUCAUCAUCAUCAUUGCCCUCUGGCUCUUCCUCUUCAAGGUUCACUUAUUGACUUGGCGGGUUCACCUGCGAGUUCUACUUCGUGUUCCUCCUGUGGUUCUUCCUCUGGGUCGAGCCACCCUACUAUUCUUUGACUAGGGAGAUAAGGUUUCCUGACUAAUGAUACUCGUCUAUAGCGUAUUGCACGAAGGGCUAUGAAUACUAGAAACAAAUAGCAUACCAAUUACUCCUAUAACUCUACGACUAUUGCAUAGAUUUAGUUGAGGUUCCCUUCUUGGAGAUUAAGAGGUAUGUUUUUAGAUUCCCUAGCUAUCACGAUUUAUUCAAGACAUGUGAUGGUCGUACUUUGGAGGGAAUGUAGUUGAUCAGGCUACAUCCACUCCUUGAUACAACUAAAAACAGUCUUGGAUCAACCGAGAUACUAGCAUUAUCUUGUUCGAUUCGGUGUUAGGUUCUCGUUCCUAAUACAAGCAAGGGUGUUUUAUUGUUAUGUUUACUUAUUUUGUUCAGAGUCUGGUUAGUCCCUCUUCUGGUUUAUAGUUGCAUAUCAAUGUGUGGUUAGAUAUGCCAGUUCACUAUAAACAGAGCUCUGAUACCAACCUGUCACACCCCCGAACCAGACGGCGGAAACGUCCGAGGGCUGUUGUGACUCAAUUGAAUACCAUCACAGUGAAUAUACAUGAAACAUAACAUCAUUCAUCACCAUGCAUUGAAAUAUUACAACCGGUAGUGUUUACAUUUAGUACAUUGUUUCAAAACAUUACAUUCCCAAAAAGUAAAUUGUUCGAUACUAGUUAAACAAACAACAAGACAUCACUGAGUACAUUUUUCCUUCGAUUUACUUGUUACCUGAGAAUACAAGUAUUUUGAAAAACGUCAACAUAUAAAAUGUUGGUGAGUUCAUAAGUAAUGUUUGAAACACAGUGUUGGUAUUAUUUUGAAAAACCACUAGAAAAUCCGAUAUUUUCUGAAAAGAUUGUUGCAAGUAAGAAAAAGUGUGAAGAUCCGUAAGUAUGCUUGUUUAUUUCUACAAGCGUGAAAAAUUGUUUGACUUGGUAUGCAUCACGUAGGUGUAAGUGUUGAAAUCUCUAGGAAAACCCGAUGUUUUCCUAAUACUUUAAAUUACGCGUUUUAUUUAUUGUUAUACCGUUGCGACAUGUGUAUUCGAUAAUUCCAGGNGUACUAUUCACUUAAUCCAACCACCCUAACUUCUCAUAGCCCCACAACCGAGGAGAAAAGAGGGUGCGAAGCCCCCGCUAUUUCCAUAAGUCGUUCAAGGCUAUCGUGAAUGCGAAAGGCCCUUGGCCCGACUCGCAUUGGUGAAUUCUCGACUUUGCUAGCAGUACCAAAAGACCCUUGGGGCCCAACAGCACAAAAGCCAGUGAAAGUCCUUUUACAUGGAAUUAGGUCAUAUAAGACCCAACAACAUGUAAGCGAGUUUCCUUCGGGCCUAAAGAUCAUGUCAUUGGGCUAGCUAGGCCCAACAAGCACGAUUUGAAACUUUCGGGCCCAAAGAUGGUGUAUCGACGUCUGGUGAAUUCCCGCGUGUGUAUUGACUUCCCGUAAUUUCAGCGUGUGUAUUGUAGUAUCGUCGUGUAUAGAUUUUUGAUUCAUUAUUGAUUCGAGACCGAAUCAAUUCGUUUGGUAACGAUUUUUGGUGUUGAAGGUGUAUUAUGUUUCAUCGGUAGUCGUGGUACUAGUAUUUCAUCAUAACGGAUUUGUUGUUUAAAACAUUAGAAUUUUUACUCUUUGCAGCCCCUUUCUUUUGGAUAAAUUUACACUUUUGACCCUUUGUAUAAAAGAAUUUCCAUUUUAGUCCUUAAACCAUUUUUCUUUACACUUUAGUAUCAAAACUUGUUGAAAAGGUAUUUUUCAGCUCAAAUUUAUUUGAAAAACAGCUUUAGUCCCUCAGAAUGAAGUUUUCUCGGCUGAAACCUCUAUUUUCGCAAUUUUUACACUUUUGGCCCAAAAUAGAAUUUUUUUGCAUCUUUGGUCCCUUUUAAAUAUGAAAAGUAUUUUUAACCCUUGAAAUGGACUUGGAGCACUAGUAGUCCCCUGUUUUACAGAAAAGUACCGUUUCAGUCCCUCUAAUUUGAAAAUCUCGCAAUUUGGGCUUUAUUGGGCCGAAAAAUUCAUUUUUGGCCCAUUAUGCUUAAAAAUUCACAUUUUAAUCCUUCAAAAGAGUAAAUUUCCAGAAAAUACAUUUUUGAAACUGUUUUGACUCAUUUCAACCAUCAGAAUUUGCAUUUUGUCAUUUUGGGCCCUUUGAAUUUAUAUUUUCAACAUUUUGAGCCCAAAAAUGGGUUUUAAGCCCAAAGAUGUUCAUAUUAACCAACUUGGUUAUUUUUCUAGGAAUGAUUUGUAUGAAAUAAUAUAAUUUGUAAUUGUUUCAUACAACUUAACGUAGAUCUCGGUUUUAAGGUCUUUUUGACUAGAUCCAACACCACAACCACAUAAGAAUAUAUAUACAAGCAUAAAAAUCACACAAAGCAUACAUAUACUCAUAGAUCUACACAUUUGCUUGUAUUCCCCCCCCCCCCACAAAACUUAGAAAAACCGAAAAAUAGGGGGUAUGAAGCUCACCUUGAGGUUUGGUUCGAUUUUGAUGAAGAUAUAUGAGAAGAUGAUGUUGUUUUUGGCUUAGCUUUCUUCCUUCAAAAUAUCUUGAUGAUGUGGAUGGUUCUAAGAACAUAAUCCACAAAUAUAUGGAUGUAAGAGGAGAUCUUUGAAGAGAUCAAGAAAUUAUAUCAUAGAUCUAAGUGGGAACUUACCAAAGUUGAUGAUCUUGAAUAAGAAUUUCUUGAAGUAUCCUCUAAUUCUCGAAAAUUUAGAGGAAAGUGUAGGAGUGUUCUUGUGAGAUUUCCUUAAGAGAUUUCUAAGUAAAAUAAGUGUGUUGGUGAUUUUUGGGCCCUAUGGCCGAGAUUAAGAAGAGAUAGGNAUUUUUGGGCCCUAUGGCCGAGAUUAAGAAGGAGAGAGGGGAAAAGAGAAGAGAGGUUUGAAGUGAUAGAAGUCUUGAUGCAUGAGAUUAGUUUUUGCAUGGAGGGUAUUUAGCAUGGGAACCCUACAUGUAAAAAUGAUGUGUCGCCAUGCAAUUUACCCUAUUUUUUUUAACCUUGGGCCGAAAAUGGCUCUAAUGGGAUGAAGAAAAAUGGUUUUGGGCUCAAUGUCUUGGCUUUGAUCGAACUUCAUAGCCCCAAUAUUAUUUUUCGGCCCAUUGUGCUUAAGGACGAUUCACGACCCCUUUUGAAUAAAAGAAAUGGAGUUUAUGGCCCAACAAGGCCUAUUAGAGAUAAAAAUGAAUUAUUUUAGGCCCACAUGGCCCAAAACAAUCUAGUUUCAUGACUGUGGGUCCAAGUAGAGCCCAAACAGUCGAUUUGAAAGUUUAUUGGUCCAUUAGGCCCAAUAAGAGAAUCCUAAUCCAUAAUGAAUUUGAGCCGAAAUUUCUAGGGUUUCCAACCCUUAGUUGAACAUAUGAGAUGUAUGUGAAUGAGAAUAGAUUAUAGUAAGUAUAGCCUUUUUCAAUGGAUGAUGUUUACAUGGGAAUCGAAUUUCCUAGCAAAUGCUAGUUGUGACACCUCAAAUGGUUCACACAACACCAAAUACACUUGGAAUAGAUUAGAGAGAAAUCCACACUUCAUGAAAAUUGGCUAGCCCUUUCACAUAUAUUCUAGUGCCGAUUUUGUCAACAAUAAGAUGCUUAUAUAGUUAGUGACAAUUAGGGUAAACCCUAAUUGUCAUGGCUUUCCAUUUCCUUGGAUCUAUGGAUUCAAAUACACCAUGGAGAAUCCAUGGAGCAUCUUAUGGGUUUUAGCCCAACUUGACAAUCCAUAAAGCAUUAGCCCAUUAUACAAGUAUGGAUAAUUUAUACAAUCAACCGAAAUAUUUAAUUAGUCUUCUUUUGAUCACUUAAUUAAUCCUAGAUUAAUUCUUGAUCAAUACUAAUUAAAUAAUCUUAUUAAUAUAUUAAAACUUCUAAUAUAUUAACAAACCUUAAGUGUUAUUUCUCUCAUUUUAGUCUAUCCAAAUGCAUGAUGUCAUGCAACCCAAAUGGACCAUGCUGGGUCGGGUCAAGUCUUACCAAUUAUAGUUAUUGACUUAGACAUUAAUCCAACAAUCCAGUCUGGGGGCAGUUUUGAUGCAACGUGGUUGUGUGAUUGCUUACGCUUUGAGGCAGCUGAAGCCUCAUGAUGCGAAUUAUUCGACACAUGAUUUGGAGCUGGGAGUCGUGGUAUCACACUCAAGAUUUAGCGGCAUUACCUCUAUGGGGUUCAUUGUACCAUCUACACGGACCACAAUAGCUUGAGGUAUCUAAUGGAUCAGCCGAAUCUGAACAUGAGGCAACAUCGUUGGUUAGAUGCGGUGAAAGAUUAUGAUUGUGAGAUCCUUUAUCACCCAGGGAAGUCCAAUGUGGUGGUCGAUGCUCUUAGUCACAAGGCAAUCGCGGCUCCAAUAAGAGAUAUAUGUUUGAGGAUGACCGUGAUUACUCAAUUAUUGGAGCGGAUUCAUGAGGCUCAUGCAGGGUAUAUGAAGGAAGAGCAUCGAAAGAGUGAACGCAUUGUAGGUUAGGUGGCUUCCUUCGAUUAUGGUAGCCAUGGAUUGCUGACUCUGCAUCGGCGAGUAUGGGUACCUUAUUGGGGUGGUUUGUGUCAGGUUCUUAUGAAGGAGGCAGGCACACGAGUCGAGGUUCUCCAUUCAUCCCGGGGCGACAAAGAUGUAUAGGGAUCUUCGUCCUAACUAUUGGUGGCCCUGCAUGAAGCGGUAUGUGGAAUGGUAUGUUGAGCGAUGCCUGACUUGCAGGAAAGUCAAUGUUGAGCAUCAGCGUCCUCACGGCAAGAUGCAGCCGUUGGAGCAUAUGGAAAUGGAAGACAUAACUGUGGACUUUAUUAUGAAGCUUCCCAGGACUGCGCGCAUAGUGGAUUCUAUCUGGGUCAUCGUGGAUCAUUUGACUAAGAUGACAUAUUUCAUUAUGAUCCAGGAGAGUAUUUAUAUAGAGAAGUUGGCCGAGAUUUAUGUCCGGGAGGUAGUGGCACGUCAUAGGGUGCCGAUAUCAAUGGUUUCAGACAUGGAUGUUCAUUUUACUUCCAGAUUUUGGAAGCGGUUUCAUGACAAGAUAGACACUCGUCUCCUUUUUAGUAUAACAUUUCAUUCAUAGACCAAUGGUCAAAGUGAGCGGACUAUUUAGACUCUUGAGGAUAUGUUGCAUGCGUGCGUGUUGGAUUUUGGUGGGAGUUAGGAUACGCAUCUUCCAUUAGCGGAGUUUUCGUAUAACAACAGUUAUCACGCCAGCAUCGAUCGACCUUCUUUUGAGAUGCUCUACGGGAGGAAAUGCAGUACCCCGAUUUGUUGGGGCGAGGUCGGUCAGCGAGUUAUGGGGAGUACCGAGGUGGUGCUCAAGACCACUAAGUUGAUUAAGCAGGUUCGAAGCAGGCUCCAGACAGCUGGGAGUCGGCAGAAGAGUUAUGUCGACAGGCAUCGAUCAGACUUAGAGUUAUAGAUGGGAUAUAUGGUUCUCCUGAAGGUGUCACCUUGGAGAGGUGUUAUCCCGUUCAGGAAGCGGGGCAAGCUGGGCCCCAAGUAUAUUGGUCCCUUAAGAGUUUUAGCUCGAGUGGGCCGAGUUGCGUAUUGUUUAGAUCUUUCAGCCGAGCUCAGUUUGAUUCAUAACACAUUUCAUGUCACUCAGUUGCAUAAGUGUUUAGUGGAUGACUUUGCAGUUGUACCUUUGGAGAAUAUUCAGGUGGAUGACCGUCUGAAUUAUAUUGAGAGACCGGUGGCAAUUUUAGAUCGAAAGAUGAAAACCUUGAGGAACAAGAUUAUGGAGUUUGUAAAGGUGCAGUAGUUGUACCACAAAGGGUCAGAGUGGACUUGGGAACCCGAGGAGGAGAUGAGGGAACAUUAUCCAGAGUUGUUCGAGACGGCGGACUUCAAGGAUGAAGUCUGAUUCAAGUGGGGGAGAAUUGUAAUGCUUGAUAAUUUCCAAGGUAUUUAUUUAAUUUGGAUUUAUUUAAUUGUUAUGAGUUGGGCCUUGAAUCAUUGGAUUUUUCUUAUUGGGCUUAGGGUGUUAAGUACGCAGGGUGUACCACCCUAUGUAUGCAAGGCGUACUGAUGUAGAAUGAUCGCGGGUGCCAUGCAUGUACACGCUGCGUACAAAGGAGUACGCACAACGUAUGUAUCUAGUCCCUAAAACCAUACUAUUUAGGGUUUUAGCACUAUUUAAAGAACAUUAUAACUUAAGGAUCUUCUUUAUCAGCCUCCAACUUGCCCCUAAAUAGCCUCCACAAAACCCUAGCCCAAUUGUUGAGUGAUAUUGAGCUUGGAAGGUCUUUUGAGUGCGUUUUGGUGUGUUUUGUCCCAUUUUCAAGGAAGAUAAGGUUGGAGCAAGGUGGUGGUUCAAGGAGAAUUUUAUAGAUCUGGAUUAUCUGCCGCAUUUCAAGCUUGUGCAAGGUAUAAAUCUUGAUCUUGAUCUUUAGAAGCUUAGAUCUCCAUGUUUUAGCUUUUGGACCCUUUUUGGUCCCAUAAAUAAGCUCUUGUGGAUUGUUUUCGUUUCUGAAGCUUAGAGUUGCUAGUCUUGGUGUUCUUUGGGUCCUAGAGGCAUAAAGUUGCCACCUUUGAAGCUUUAAUCCAACCAUGUUUGAGUAAUUGCCAUUUUUGUGGAAGUAGAAUGUUAUAUUUCAAGUUUGGGCUCAUUUGGGGCAUGCAAAGCCACCAAUUUGAUGACUUUAUGGGUUAAGACGUUGCAAAUGACUCAGAUUUGUGAUUGUAACUCUUGGACUUAAGUGGUUAAGAGAUUUUUGGAGAAAUGGCUUAUUGGGUGAGUAUGUUGGGCGUAUAAUUGGGGUGGAAAAUCGGACCAUCGUGUCGUGUUUUUGUCCGACACGACAUGACACGACAAAAUUUUAUGUAACACAAACACGACACGACACGAUCUCGUAUUUUUUUUAACUAACACGAAAACGAACCGGUUAAAAAACGACAAACAUGACACGACACGACAAAGAUAACAUGAAAUAACAAUUAAUGUAUUUAAUUAAUGUGUAUUUAUACAUAACACGACAAACACAAAAAACACGACAAAAAAUGUUAAAUCGUGUCAAUUUCAUGUCAAAUUUUGAACACGAACACAACACGACACGACUUCGUGUUUUUUACACUUGACACGAACACGAAUUCGAAUUUCAAUUUCGUCUCAAUUUCGUUUCGUGUCGUGUAUUUUUGUCGUGUCGUGUCAUCAAUCGUCACCCCUAGCGUACAGGCUCGUACAUGCAGCAUACAAGCCAUGCAGCGUGUAUGCUUGGUGUACAGCCGAGUACGCCUCGCGUACUCAGGCAGUUGGGCUUGGCGUUGUUUGGGCAUCGAGUUUGGCCAUUUUCUUGGACCUUGUUGCUUUGGGCCUUUUGGGCCAUCUGGAAUUAAUAUUUUGGAUUAAGGAAUUUUAGUGGGCCUUAGGCCAAGGGCCAUUUGGGGGUUUGAGCCCAAUUUGGAAAAUUGGGCCAUAAGUGGGCCUUUGUGGAUCUUUUGGUUUUGGGCCUUAUUGGUUUAUGGUUUUAGGCCUUAGUUUUGGAUCAAGCUAGGCCAGGGGUAAUAUGGUCAUUUUACCCCAAGUAUGGAUUAUUGAUUAUAGUUUGGAACCUAAGUGUUGAUUAGGUGGUAUUUUGUACUAAUAGCUCGGGGAGUCGUCAUGGUAGCAACUGGGGAUUUAUUUCUGUGAGAUUCAACAUUUGAGGUGAGUUUCCUCAAUGGGUUUAGCGGGUCUAAGGCACCAAUGCUGACCCUUAUUAAUUAUGUUAGGAUGCUAAGAGUUUGUGUGACCCUUGCAUGCGUUAUGUGUUGUUGUAUGUAUACCGGGCGAGGCUCGAUGCUAAGCAUGACAUGAGGAUUGGAACAUAUGCUAGUGUUAUGAUCAUUAUAUGUGUUAGCAUGAUUAUGUAAUAUUGAUUGUAUGUGUAUAAAGGGCGAGACCCAGUGACAUGCGAGGCAUGAGAAUAACAUAUUUGUAUACCGAGCGGGGCCCGAUGCCGGGCGGGGGCCCAAUGCAUGAUUUAUUAUGUAUGGUAUGGGGUAGUUUGGGGAACUCACUAAGCUUUGUGCUUACAGUUUUCAAAUUAUGUUUAGGGUACUUCCAGUGGCAAUGAGAAGAACUCGGGGUGACUGCAUUGCACAUACCAUAUGGAUUCUGUUUAUUGGGCACGCUCUAAUUUUUCCUGAUAUCUGACAUACUUAUUUUAUUUGGGUUGUAUGAACUAUGAUUGGAAAUACUGUUUUCACUUGAAUGAAAAAUGAAAAUUUUAGGUCGUAUUUUUGGGUUGUUACAUUGUUUGUUUUUUUGUCGGUCUUGAAUAUCAACGACUCUAUGUAAGUAAUCUGUUGUCCCUGGUUGAAGUUGAAUGUGUCCAGGUUCCGUAGGCGAAUAGUCUACAAUGUUUCGUCAUUUAUUUUCAAUCACCAUGUUAUGCAGAAUGAUACAUGCAUACAUAAUAUCUCGUAGAGUGUCCAACUCGUAUGGUCGUUCCGCAUGUUCAACUAUGUGACAUUUUGCUUUCAGAACUCUGAAAGUACGUUCCACGUCCUUACGUGCUCCUUAUUGUCUUCUCUUGAAAAAUUUGUUUAUCGGUUAUAUCUGGUGUCGAAACGCCAUCACAAACGUGGAAUAUGGUGGGUAUAUUCCAUCCGUGAGGUAAUACCCGAACUUAUACUCAUCGUCAUUUACUGUGAAAGGAGCAUCUGGUGCCUUUCCUGUCAAAAGGUCCUGAAAUAUUGGUGACUAAUGAAGAACGUUUACGUCGUUGUUAGAACCCGCAACUCCAAAAAAAGCAUGCCAAAUCCAUAAGUCUUGUGACGCAACAACCUCUAAUACUAACGAAGACGAUCCAAGAUGAUCACUUGUGUAUUGACCUUUCUAUGCCACAUGACAAUUUCUCCAUAUCGACUUUGUGCAAUCAAUGCUUCCAAGCAUUCCCGAAAAACUAUGUCGUUCUUCUUGCGCCGCAUAUAGUUAUUGCAUGUCAUUCAAUGAACGUUUGCGCAAGUAUUUGUCACUGAAGGUUUUGAUAACACCUCUCGCCAAUCUAUACAAACUUUCUCAUGCAGUUCACUCUGACAAUCUAUAAUAAUAUAAACAUAUAUUUAAUUUUUAAAACAACUGUAAUUACGGUACUUGCUUUCCAUUGCAUUGACUAUUCGUUGAAACACAUUUUUCCGCAAACGAAACCUUCUUUUAAAAUCGCUAGGUUGGUAGACACAAUUAUCCGCAAAAUAAUCGUGUACUAGACGUCUAUUCCCUUUGAUGCGUGCAAAUUAUACCUACCUAGCUACACCUAAUUUUAUAUUUAUAACCUAACUAACUUAACUAACUAAAUUGCACCUAGGCACUGUACUUAGUCAAAUUAUAGAAUAGUCGGGUAAGUCGGGUGUCGAUCAUAGGGAAGGGUUUUAACUAAUUAAUCUACCUACUAUUAAAUUAACCUAAUUUCUAAUAAAGUGGGGGGGUUUUUUUUAUCUAAUUUUGCAAGUUUAGAUGAACUUAAUUCGUAACACAAAAUUCAAUCAAUUAACAAACACUUAUGUUAGUUCAAAUCCACUUCCCCUCAAUGGUUUAUAAAUUAGUUAUGACAAUUACUGUUGGUUACCAAUUAAGAUAGUAUUAGCAAUUCAGUUCUAAAUUUACUAACAUUGAUUAAUUAAUGUAAAUCUAUGCAUUGUCACACAAUAGUUAACUUAAAAUCAAUUAUUAAAUGAAAUUGGAGCCAUGUAAGAUUGAUUUGAAAAACACACUUAUGGUCAUAAUAUGAGUUCUCUAGCACAUCCUAAUUCAAUAGUUCAAUUAUUUUUCUAAGAUUUGUUUGAUCUUAGCUCUAAUAAACUAGUGUUCACUGAAUUAUUAAGUAUUCAAAUUCAUGCAUAUUCAUAUUCACUAACUACACAUAAUAAGAAUUUAAAGCAAUCAAAUAUUAAAUCAAACAUGCUAGGUUCAAUCAAUCAAACACAAGUCAUAACCAAAAAGUAAAUCAAAACUAAAGUAUUGAAACCAUGAGUUCCAGCUUCAUCUAGCUAACAGAAGCAGCUAGAUUUAGCUGGACAUACUAGCAAACAAACAUAAACAAAUCAUAUUCAAAGACAUAUUUAAAUGUACCAAACUAUUAAGCUAAUAAUGAACUUCUCCUUCUUCCUUGGUGUUGAAAGCCAAUUCCAAACGUUUUCUCCCUCUGGAUUUUGUCUCCAGGAACCCUCCAAGUUGUCCAAAAGUCCCUCAAAGUCGUAAUGAUCAAGAGAAUAUAUAGUUAUCAUAAAAUUCACUCUCACGUCGUGAAUGAGUAUGACUCACGACGUGAAUGCAGUAGAUAUCUGUGUUCUACAAGGAUUCCUCCUCCGCGAUGCUUAUCUUCUGGAAUAGUUCCAUUCACGUCGUGAAUAGUUAUGACUCACGACGUGAAGUUAGCAGAUUACAGGGAUUUCCUCUUCUUUCAUUCUCCAAGCCUCCAAAGUUCCAUGCUUUGUCAAUUUCAGUCAUUUUCUCCCAAAAUACUUCAAUUUGGCUGCAAAGUACAAUUAAAGCUUAUAAGCAUCAUUAUUUAAUGCAAAUAACCAAAAUAUUAAUAAAAAUGUAAGUAAAUAUUGCCCAAAAACAUGUAUAAAUAUGGCAGUAUCACCCUUCUUCACGAUCUCUGUUCAACGCCGCACGUCUGGUCAGUAGUGGAGCUGGCUUUGGCGGUAACAUGUAUGUAACAUAUCGAUACAUCAUACCCACGAACAUAUCAUUCUCGUCGAUAUCAUGAUUAUAUGGAUGAAACGGGUCAAAAGGUUCCAUUUUUUUUUUGUAAAUAGAAAUAUAGAAAAUAUAUUAAACUUGAUAGAAAUGUGUAUUAGAGAGAAUUAGAUAAAUUUUCUAUGUAAAGAUAAGUUAGAAUGUGUGUGUGUGUGUAUAUAUAUAUAUAUAUAUUAAAGUAAUUUUUUUUAUUAUUCGUGACCGUUCCACAUCGGUCAGAAAGUAGACCGUUUAUCCCGUUUCGUCCCGUUAUCACCCACACACCGAAUAUCGUAACGCCAAAAAAACGUGUACCUGGAGGCGGUGUUUGCACCGUUAUACCAACAUUUUUUGAUGUACACGUCGGAUUAACGGGCACUUCGGUUGCCCAUUCCGAGUAGUCUAAAUGUCAAAAUGCAAUGAAGAAAAAGAUUCAUUACAAAUGUCAAUUAUAAGUAUGUAGAAGGAUAAAAUAUAAAAAAGUUAUUAUCUUUUGGGAUAUACACAGUAAAGUCCCAAUAUUUUCAUCGAUUUGACAAGAAAAUCCUGAACUUUAUUUUUUUGACAGUAAAGUCCAAAUUACCGGCAGUUUUUGACACUUUUACAUUUUUUUCCCGAUUAGCCGGUAAUUAGGACUUUUUUGUCAACAAAAUAAAGUUUAGGACUUUCUUGUCAAAUCGUCAAUUAGGACUUUACUGUUAAAAAAAAAAAUAAAGUUUAGGACUUUUUUUGUCAAAUCGUUGAAAAAAUUGAGACUUUAGUGUAUAUAUAAUUUUUUUGGUUAGAAACUUAAUGAUAUGAUACUCUUUACGCAUAAGAGUUAUUGAAACAUUCUCUAAUCAGCUAGAUCAUAUUGAAAUCCUUUACGUUUGCUUCUUGUUAAAUCGUUAUUUUAAUCUCAACAAACUGACAUUGAAAAAAAUUGAGAUAAUCAAGAAAGAAAGAAAGAACCAGGGUUGUGUUGGCUUUUUGCAGUCUCAAAAAUGGAGAAAUUAGAAACCUACAAAAACGAAAAUGCCCUGACUUUUUACAAAUACAAACAACACGUGCCUAGUCAAAAUGGUGUGAAUGUGGAGAAGGGAAAGAAGGACAAUUUCGUUUUUUUCGGUUUCUUAUUUCUCCAUUUUUGGGGUUGCAAAAAGCCAACACAACCCUGGUUCUUUCUUUCUUUCUUGAUUAUCUCAAUUUUUUUCAAUGUCAGUUUGUUGAGAUUAAAAAAACGAUUUAACAAGAAGCAAACAUUAAUGAUUUCAAUAGAAUCUAGCAUAUUAGAGAAUGUUUCAAUAACUCUUAUGCUUAAAGAGUAUCAUACCAUUAAAUUUCUAACCAAAAAAAUUAUAUAUACACUAAAGUCCCAAUAUUUUCAACGAUUUGACAAAAAAAGUCAUAAACUUUAUUUUUUUUGACAGUAAAAUCCUAAUUGACGAUUUGACAAGAAAGUCCUAAACAUUAUUUUUUUUGACAAAAAAGUCAUAAUUACCGGUUAACCAGAAAAAAAUGGUAAAAAUGUCAAAAACUGUUGGUAAUUUGGACUUUACUGUCAAAAAAAUAAAAUUUAAAACUUUUUAUCAAAUCGAUGAAAAUAUUAGGACUUUAUGGUAUAUAUCCCUUAUAACUAAAUAGCAACUAUAAUGUGUGGAGUUUGGUAAAUUCCGCUUGGGUUUGGUCUCUACAACCCAUUCAACCCCAAGGCUAUUCUAGUAAUUUCCCCACUAGAAGGAGCUAGGUUCCGCUGCCUUUUAAGUCUAGGUUUUCACUAUCAUCACUCUCACUCAUCGUUUUGUGGUUUCCUGUGGAGAAGAGCAGCAGAUACUCAACAACUUGCAGGCUCUAUUUUCUCAUCGCCAUCAGGUAUCUGUAGGUGUCCUAAAAUCUACGGUUAGGGUUUUGUUAGCACAGUAAUUCAUGGAAAAUGUUGAAAUCUCACUUGUUACCGUCGAUUCAAUCUUUAUUUUUUAGGAAAAAACAUCGGUUCACCAUAUCGUUAUAAUUGUUAUGAUGAUUUUGGUAUCAUCGAUGAAGUUUUAUGUGUUAUGUUUUCGUUGUAAGCUGGAUGUUUCAGGAUGUUUGAUGAUGUGUGCGAGAAUUUCAUUUUAGGGUUUAUGGUGUAUGUUUGCUUUCUUAAAUAGCGUCUACAUGUUAGCUAAUAUAAAUAGUUACCUUGAUGUUUAUAUAUUGGUUGCCACUCGGCUUCUUCAUCUUUGAAAACAAUGCGAUUAGACCCCCCUUAGGUUUGGAUCUAUGCUUAGAUGUGGAUUGUGUAAUUUUUCUCGUGAAAACUAUUGGAUAAACUUGCUUCGUUUUUUGCACCAUGGAAAGCUUAUUUAUGAUUUAAGCCUGGUUCCAACUUUGUUUGUGGGGUUAAUUUGCUACUUUUAAUGUCUAUAUGUAAAGUAUCAGUUGCUCUCUUUUAGGGUUUAUGUUUAGGUGUCUUAUUACCUCGACAACAAGCAAUGGUGAUGGGAUUAGAUCAUAUGUGAAGUUCUUUUGGGGUGCAUGGAUUAUUGCAUGUGAUGCCCUAUAAUAGUUUUAAUAUAUCAAUGGCUGUAAAUUAUCUGUCCAUAUUAUGCUAUGGUUAUCUGUCUAUUAAACUGUUUUCUUUUUGAACAUGUAAUGUGCAGAAAGAGUGCUUUGAGGAAUGCUGGAUUGAUUGGUCCCAAAUACAAAGAAGAUGAGCAAGAAGAACCCAUUUGUAUACUUGGAUGUGUCUAUAGAUGGAGAUCCUGUUGAAAGGAUGGUUUUUGAGGUCUUUAUUAUAGCUUUAACCUUCUAAGAUCUUUCUUUUAUUCUUUUUUCUGCCAGAUGGCAUUGCCACAUCACUUAUUAUCAAGCUGAAAAACUAAUUCCUUUUAUAUGGUGUUACAGCUAUUCUCAGACACUGUUCCCAAGACUGCUGAGAACUUCCGGGCACUUUGUACUGGUAAAAUGUUCAUCAUAAUUGGUAUUCUUUUUGUCAUAAGUUUAUAAAACUGGAUGCUUUUUUAAAUUUCAGGAGAAAAAGGGAAUAGUCAGAAAACCGGGAAACCCCUACACUACAAAGGAUCCUUCUUUCAUCGCAUAAUCAAAGGAUCCAUGGCUCAGGUAUGUUUUCUAUCAAUUACUUUCAUAAAUUAUAUUGUUUUUUUUUUUUUGUUUUGUUAUUUUAUUUUCCACUUAGUUUCUUCUAGUUCUGGAUGUCUUGGUGGUGGUCUGUCUUUUUAGUCGGCUAUCCUUGUUUAAUCUGUAGGAUACAGGGUUGAUGGUUCCAACUGCUUUUCUUGUGAUGUAGUUUUUAAGGUUGUAAUUAUUUGGUUGUAUUUGUAAUAUCAUCACAUUCAUUCUGAAACAUAUCAUACAAAAUUUACAAAUCCAUCUUUCUGCAAUGAUUUCUGAAUAUAAUUUCUAUAAGUGAAUUAAUUCUUUGUAUUUUUUUUUUGCAGGGUGGGGAUUUUUAUAAACGUGAUGGUAUGUACAUUUUGCCACCAAUUUUUUUUAAUUUUUGUAUACAAAAUCCAUAUCUCAUUGGUUUACUUUUGCAGGAAGUUAUGGAGAAAGCAUAUAUGGAGGGAAGUUUCCAGGUGAGAAAAGUCACUAUGUUCAUUACUUGUGUUUUCUGUUUGAAUGUUGAUGAUCAUAAAUACAUAAUAUGUCUUUAGGUAGUUGAGGAUUUCAUUUAAUUUGUUUAAAAAGUGUAUGCAAAAGAAAUUGAAAUAAACCUUUUAGCUUCUAUCUCCCCAAAAUUUCUAUAUAUGUUUAUAUUUUGAGAGAAUGGGUUUCCUUUUUGAAUUGCCUGUGAAGGUGGGGGCUGACAUUGGUCUUAUUCUCGGUGCAUGGGAGCUCAACCCACAAUGAAAUGGGCAAAUUGUAAUUGUCUUGAAAAAUGGUGGGUGUAUGAAUAUUUUGUGUGCCUUUCUUUCUAGGUUUGAAAUCUUUGGUAAAAUACAAAGUAUUUGGUUUGGAUGAUUUAUGCAGCUAGUUAAGUCUAAUGUAUAAUGUAUGCUUUAUAUUUAUGCCCAAUACAUUGUCAUGAGUUUUUUUAUCUGGCUUUUUUUCCAUGUUAAGUUCCUGGCUACCUUAUUAUUAUUAUUUUGAAUUGGUUAUAAUCAAAAUUUGUUACAUUUCAGAUGAAUCCUCCAAACUGAAACAUGAUGCUCCUGGCCUUCUAACAAUGGCAAUUGCUGAUCGUGAUUCACGUGGCUCUUUAUUUAAUGUGACAUUUGGCGCUAAUCGCCACCUGGAUAGGUUUGCUCAUCUUUGUUGUUACAAUUUUAUGUUGGACAAAUUGAUAGAAAUAGCUACAUACCUUACUUUUGUUAUGGUUACAUAUUGCUAUUAUUGAUAAAAAAAAAGUGUUAAGUAUGUUGCUAUUACGGGUAAAAAAAUAAAUACACUGCAUGUAUUGGUAUUUCCUACAUGUUAUCUUUUUAUAUUUAUCUGAAAAGUUAGAGUUUUAGCAACAUUAACUGUCUAACUUUUGAUGGAAAAGGAAAUUUAAGUGUUGGAAAUGGAAUUUCUUGAACAGGAAGUAUGUUAUUUUUGGAAAGCUUGUUCAAGGACUUGAUGUAUUGAAGAAGAUAGAAAAUGUGGGUGAUGAAGAUGGAAUGCCAACUGUGACAGUGAAGAUCAUUUAUUGUGGGGAAGUAAACGAGAGUGAGAAUCAAAGCUCUGGUAUGGUGGAUAAUUAUUGCAUUUUUAAUGACAUAAUUGUUUGUUUAUUUUUUUAAAAUAAAGUCUCUGUUUUUGAUGUUUUUAUAGAUAAGAAGGCAGCCAGCAAGUUGAAAAGUGGGAAAGAUGUUUCUUCAGAGGUUCACAGCCAUGAAGUGAAGCGGAAGGGAAAGCACAAGAAAUCUUCAAAAGAUAAAAGGAAGAAAAGAAAAAGAUAUUCUUCAUCUGAUUCAGACAGUUCAUCUGACAUGGAAUCUGACUCAUCUGAUUCGGAUAGUGAUUCCGACUCUGAUGAUUCAUCCUCGUCAUCAUCUGAUGUCAGCUCUUCAAGUGAUGACAGGCGUAAGAGAAAAAAGAGAUCCAGAAAGGAUCGACACAAACGUGGAAAAAGAAAGGACAAAAAACGCGAGAAGAAGCGUAGGAGACGCGAUAAGAAAUCCAAACGUAAAUCAAAGAGGUUGGUAUGGUAUUUUAAUUUUAGUUAAACCUUAAAUAAAGUAAUGUUUUAUUCUUUAUAAAAGUUAUUAUAUAUCAUUUUGUAGGGUGUCUGGUAGCGGAAGUGAGAGUUCAAGUGAAAGCGAACAUGCGUCUGAGGACAAUAAUGGUGAUGUCAAAAAGCGAAACCGGAAACAUAAUAAUAGUAAUAAUAAAUCUCCUACAGCUGAAUUUGAAGAUGGUAAAACAGGAGAUGCAUUUGCAUUUGAUGGACAUGUAAAGGAGGAAGAAGGUGAAUACCCGAAAGAAAAUGGUGGGGACCGCCCAAGCAAUGGUGUUGACCUGGCGAAGGCUGAUAUAGUCGAUGACCAUCUCGGAAACUCUAGGUUCAAUCAAAUUUAAUAAAACUUUAUUAUUAUUAUUAUUAUUAAAUUCUUUCUAAUCUUAUUUUUUUUUUACUAAACAGAAGUAGAAGCAAAAGUCCUCCUCGAAGGGAAUUGAGCAAGAGUAUGAGUAUUAGCCCAAGGAGGAGUCAAAGUGUUAGUGGGACCCCUCCUAGACGGGCCCCAUCACGUAGCCCGGUCAGAAGCGAAAGCAGCAGCAAGAGUCCGGUUAGAAGCAUAAGCAGAAGUCCAGUGAGGGGCAAAAACGUCAGAAGCAUAACUCCCUCACCAUCACCUCCACGAAGGAGUGUUUCUAGAAGCCCACUGCGAACAUCGUCUAGAAAAUCCUCACGAAAAUCAGUAAGCAGAAGUCCGGUUAGAUCUUCCAGAAGAAGCUACAGCAGAAGCCCAGUCAGAUCAUCUAAAAGAAGCUUGAGCAGAAGCUCUGGUAGACCGCCUUUAAGAAGAAGCCCUAGCAGGAGUCCGGUCAGACCGCCUAUGAGGGGUGGUCGCCGGAGCUAUUCCAGGAGUCCGGUAGGUGGGCGUAGGGCGGCUAGGUCACCGGAGAGAAGCUUGUCUAGAAGCGCUUCACCUGAUGGCUCUCCCAAACGUAUCAGAAGAGGACGCGGUUUCAGUAACCGAUUUUCUUACGCACGCCGAUACCAUUCUCCCGAUCGCUCCCCGGUCAGAUCUUAUCGCUAUAGAAGUGACCGCGACCGUGACCGUGACCGGUAACAAACUAACAGCUAGCAAUUUUAAAUUAAGUUUUUUAAUAUAUUUAAUAUAAAAACAAUUAAACCAAUAUUUUGGUUUGUAGUUAUUCAAGCUAUAGAAGGCGCAGCCCACUGAGAGACAGAAGUCCACCAAGGUAUUUUGGAGUAAUAAUGGAAUCUUUUUUUUUGGUGAGAAAGUGAUUAUUUGAUUGUUAAAUUCAAUUAUUUACACAGGUACAGAGGGAGAAGAAGCAGGACACGGAGUCCGAGUGUGUCCCGGAGUCCUGUCCCUGUGCGGUACCGCCGGCGCUACAGUCGGAGCCGGUCGCCGGUGGAGACAUCAAGGUACAGGCCAUCACCGCCAGUGGAGAGGAGGAGGGCGCCACGCAGCAGGACCCCGCAUUCUCAAAGUAGGAGCCCGUAUGAACGUAGGUCCUCUCCAUCACCAUCUCCGAGAAGGAGCGUGAAGUCAAAGUCAAAGUCAAAAUCGCCAUCGAGAUCAAGGUCAAUGUCGAGGUCAAGAUCUAGGUCGUCUUCUGGAAGCCCACCUGGGAAGAAAGGACUGGUGUCGUAUGGAGAUGGUUCUCCAGACAGUCAGAAGUGAGAAGAGAAGAGAAAGAUCUUACUUUUGAGGGUGAAAUGAUUUAUAGACUUGGUAAUUGGUACACUAUGUAGGGUGGGUGUGUUUUGAAUAAUUUGACUAUUUCUCUUGUAUUUCUUUCUUCUUCUGUGGAGUGACUGUUGAGGUGCUGCUAGACUAGUAACGAUGAUUGGAUAUGUGUUUGUUUUUAAGAGGUUGGUUAGACUGAGGGGAAUGGGACCGAGUAUCAAUUAUGUUAUGUUUUAAAAAGCCUCUUCUGUUUUUAUCUUUAUUGUUAUGGUUUGCUCUUUGAUCAGUGCGACUUGAAGGUAGUUUGUGCAUUUAUAUAUGUAUUAACAUAAUCUUGUGUGCUUGAAUUGAUACAUUAUAUUAUAAUCUUUUCAAAGAAUAAGCUAACAAGUUAAAAGGAGGGUCAUCAAGAUGUAUUGAAUUAUUAAGUAGAUUGAGAGAAGAUUAUUUACCAUCUCUUUAAGACCGGUAAUAAUUGCGACAUAUGUAUUGUAUUUAGUUAUUUAUUAUUUAUUAACCGAUAAAAUUGGAAUAAGUUACCUAAAAUUUAGGGGAAAAUAUGAUUAAUUACGUAAGUUCAGGGGGUAUUUUGGUUUACGGCAACAGCAGGCGACGUGUAGAAGAAGAAUCUCGGGAACCCUAGCAGAGGUUUGUUUCUCAAUCCUACGCCGCUACGACCAUUGCCGCUUUCUCCACUCCACGAUGAUAACAAAGAAACAUCCGUCGCCGUUUCUCAAUCCAACGGUAAUAUGAUUUACUUGUUCGUUAUUAUUUGAAUCUAUUAAACACAAGAUAUAAGCCGAAGCAUUUUGAUUGAAAUAAGACAGUAACCAAUAAAUACUAAAAGCCAAUCUCUUUUCUGUAGCUUGGUAACAUUUGUAUUACUAAUAAAUGAUGAAUGUAUUAUUGAUUGUACUUGGGUUUUUGAUUGACAGGGUAACAUUAAUGAUAUUGAUCGUAAUGUUCUAUGCAAUGUGUUACACAUCAAACAAUGCUCCAAAGCCUCCCAAUAUAUGGUGAAGUUUACAAAGCAAAGGCAUUGGAAUCAUCAAACAAGUAUGUCUCUACCUUUUAUAAGCUUCUUCAUUUUCAGUAACAUUAUAGGAAUUAGACACUCUUUCUUUGUCACCACUGCAUUUGUGAUGGCAUUGGCAGCUGGUAAGCUUUGGGACACCAUUUCUGAAUGCAUCUCCCAAAUUCAAUCUGAUUGUGAUGAUGAAGCUAAAGAGAGGGCACUUCAAACCCUAGUUUCCAUCACAAAAGCAAGCCCUCCACACAGAAAUUUAGUCAUGCAGAAUCAGGAAGCCAUCCCCGCUCUCCUCUCCCUGCUCAAAUCCUCCUCCCGUGCUCUUGAAAGACUCUCACUUUCCAUCCUCUUCAACCUCUCAUUAAACCCUAAUCUCAAAUCCACCCUUGCUGACAUGGCAACCAUUCAACACCUCAAUACUGUGAUCCUGUCUCGUGGGUCACUCGAGUCUAGCAAACUAGCAGCUUCUUUGAUAUGCAGCCUGGCAAUGCUAGACAAGAAUAAAGCAGUGUUUGGGGUAGCGAAUACUAUUCAAGCAUUGUUGAAGGGAGUUUCAAGGCCUAAUAGUCCUGUGACACAUCACCUUCUCAGCUCACUUGCUGAGUUGGUGCACUUCCAUGGGAAUUGCACAUUGGCUGUUAGAUCAGGUGCAGUUGGUGUUCUCCUGAGAAUAGUUGAGAACAAAGACAGUGAAGAUCUUUGUGGGACUGCUCUUAGUAUUCUUGGGCUUCUUGCUAAGUUUGAUGAAGGGCUAAAAGCUUUGACAAAUACACCUAGUAUUGUGAGUAGAAUGCUUGAUGUGUUGAAAGGUAGGUCCAUGUUGAAUAAUGAAGGUGCAGCCGAGGUACUUCUUCGUGUUUUUGAUGAGAGUGAAGAAUGCUUGAGAGAUGCUAUCGGAUUGCCUGAUUUCAUGUAUACAUUAGCUGAGCUCUCGGUGAGAGGAUCAACGAGAGCUCGGGAGAAAGCUUCUCUACUGUUGAGAAAACUUGAGGCUAAUGAAUCAUAUGUAGAUGAUGAUCUGGUGUUCUUGAAAUGGUAAGGUAGGAUGCGUGUCUUAAGAAAAGUAACAUAAUAAGAGCUUUUGUUUGUUUUGUAGCACAUGAGUGUGCACAUUAUUAGGUCCUCUUUGAAGGUUUAGGUAAUGAAUAGAUGGGUUUGGUGUUAAAAAAGGCAUGGAGUUUAUAGGAUUGAAGCCAUGACUCACAAAACUACGAACUACAUAAAAAAUGAAUUUGAGAGUUACAUAAAGCCAUAAAGUUAAAUUUAUAAAGAAAGCAUAACUAUCUUGCAUCCAAAUACAACAACAACAACAAAUAAACCCAAAUCCCAUAAAGUCUUGUGAGGUAAGUGGGAGGUUUGAUGUAGGUGGUCUUAGUGUCUUGCCUCCACCCGUGGGUAGAGAGGCUACCUCUAUAGGAGACUUUCGCCAUGAUCAAGGAUGCACCAUACAUGAGCAAAUAAAAGCAAUAUACAAUUAAAUAUACUAAUACUAGAAAUAGUACUAAUUGUAAAAAUGAAAUAACAUAAGACGAUAAAUACUUAAAUGCCUAAAUGAUAAUACAAGAAACAAAACUUAUGCUACUACACUAACCUAAUUCUCCGUCUCCACUCCUACCUAUGUGAGGUCUGUAGAAGGUGCCAACUCCUUCGUGUCUAACCUCACACUAUAGUUACGUUGCGUCCUCGGUCGACCUCUCCUCUUCGCCUUACCGUAGAUGUGACGCCUCGAUCCAUUGAGUACCGUCAUCUAUCCUUAGUACACUUUAUUUUAAAUACAACUAAGAUAAUACCUUAGAUUUCAUCUUCAUCAUGGUUUAACAAAAUUACAUAAGCAAAAGUGCAUAAAAGAAAAACUAUUUUAACCGUUUAUAAUUCAUCCAAAAUUUCUGUUAAAACACUAACUACUUGUGGUCCUUCUUCUUUCCUGAGAUACAUACAUGAAUACAUAAGCUUUAAGUUUAGUGAGUAUUUUGGUUUUAAUAUUUAGCAUAAACAUUUGAUGGAAAAAUAACAAUUAAAUGCUUGAAAACAUUAAUUUGAGAUCUUAUAGCUACAUGUAAGUAGGCCCAACUUCUGGGAGGUUUGCUAACCUUGGGAUUCAUAUAAGGCUGUCCCAUAAGGUCCGUUUUUAAGACGUCCCUUCAUCCCAUACCCAAUGCGUUGGGUUACUUGGGUAUUUAAAUGACCGUACUUAACAUGAAUAAAACUUUCAUGCUAACUUCAUAAUAUGUUGUUAAAUGUCUUUGAAAAAUCAUUUGAGCAAGUGAACAUGGCAAAUAAUUUAAAUGCAUUGAACAUAUACGUAGCAUGUAUGUAUCCCAUUAAAUCACAUAAAUAUACUCACCUUUCUUUGAGCUUUUAGGCUUCUUUUUAAUCUUUUAAGUCACCACCAAGCUUGAUAGUGUAUUCUAGGAUGAAAAAAAAUGCUUAACUUCACUUGCUAUGUCUAGUAAAAUUGUGUGCAUUGCUUGCUUGUUCUUUAGGCCUAAAACAUAGUACAUUGUUGAUGAGAUGAUUACACCUAGUGUACUUGUUGUACCUCAUCUCCUUAGAAGCUUACACCUCAAGCCUCUAGCUCUUCUAUGUCAUCUUCCAGCUUAGCUUAAUCUCCUUAGAAGCUUACACCUCAAGCCUCUAGCUCUUCCAUGCCAUCUUCUAGCUUAGCUUAAUCACUCAAAAUCUAGGCAACGCUUAUCUCUACUUGUAUAUGCUAGCUUGGUUACUACUUUUAGCCUUGAUUUGUCAUGCUAAGCUUUGGUUUACUUGUAGCUGGUGUUGUGGUACUUGUAAGCAUAUGGUAAGCUACUUGUGUGCUUGCUUAUUUUCAACUUUUCUUUUUACAUAAAAUUUGCAACAUUCUUCUAUAACAACUAUUCUUAAAGUGUCCCUUAUGUUCUUUUAUAUUACAAGGGUGUUAUGGUAGAUGAUUGCCUCCUCUUGACAUAUCUAAACCACUAAAAUCUUUCUUUCCUCGAAUUUUCGGUGGUUCACGCAACUCCUAACUUAUUUAUGAUUAUAGCAUUCAGUAUUUUCUCCAACAUUGUUGUAAAGCAUAAACACUGAAGGAUCCUCAUUUCAGAAAUUUCCAUCUUCCUCUCAUGCUCUUUUUUUUCCGGCUAACAUUUGAAGCAACUACCACCUUGUAUCUUGCAUCCAAAUGAUGCCAAUGGUUGUUUUAAAACAAUUUUGGCUAAGGGUGUAGACUAGACAAAGCAAAGUAGAAGGAGAAACGAGGUUUAUUGGGUAGGGUUUAACAUGGACUAGGCUUAUAUAGACCACACUUUUAUCAUGUUAGAUAGUAGAUAGUUUUUUAUAAUGAUUUCUUAUGCAUCUUUAGCGUGGUCGUACAAUUAUGAAUAUUUAUAAUAGUUGGAUAAAUUUAUAAAAUAUGAAAGUGUUGUGGCAAAAUCUAGAGAUUUGAAACAUGUGAACCUACAUGUUUUAGACAUGACACUUUAGUGUCUUGUUUAGGGACCUAUUCCGUGUAAAUGCAUGUAAUUAUCACAUGAAGCUUGCAAAUUGAACUUAUUUUACUAAAUAUUAGGUGUAGACUACCAGGAAAGAAAUUUAAAGCCCAAAUUUGCUUGCCUUUUCUUUCAUUUCCUUUAUCGUGAGUUCGUGACCUUUCCCCUUUAUUGUGCCCUCGACAAUCGACAUAGGACAUCGCCGAGUGGUGCGUUUGCUAUCGUAUCUUUCGAUUGCACCUCAACUACACCUAAAACAACAAGAAUUUGUUUAUCGCAUUGAUAUUAAGGUAUCUUUUUCGAAUACUUAACCUUUAGAUCUAGUUUGAUCCCAAAUCGAUUAUUCCAAAAUUUUACUUGUAAUGCUUUAGUUAGGUAAAUUAUUUUGCAACCGGAAAGAAUUGGCUAGGGUUGUUUGGAAUAAAUGUUUGUGUGCUUCCGAUUACGCUAUCAAUAUUUCUUUACAUUUUUGUUAAUAGGAUUAAUGUCAAUGAACUUAACUUGUAUAUGGAAUGUCAUAAUUAUGAUUUCCAUUCCAUGAUAAACAAUGUUAGGGCCUUAUUAAUGAGAUAAUUCUUUAAUUAAGGUAGUUAUUUAAUUACUUAGAAGCAGUGAUGAUAGUUUGUUAAGCUUUGGUGUCAUGGAUGGUGUCACUUAGAUCAUGAGAGAGAUAGAGAGAAGGGAAGGGGGGGGGGGGGAUCUUAUGGGCCAUCAUUUGUACCCAUCUAGUAGAAUGACGAGAGAGUCGAGUUCCAUAGGUCUUGGAUAUUUCUUCCAUUUCAUAGUGGAUGAUAGUGGGUAUCUUACUAUGAUUUCCUUCUUUGUAUCUCCAAAUUAGCAAAGGGUUUAAAGGCAUUUAGCUACAACUCAUUGCCUUAUUGUGGUUGUAAAUAAUAUGUCCAUCUUUUUGCACAUGUUAUGCUUUUUUCGUAAUCUAGUGGGAAAUUGUGUUAGAUCUUUUGAUAUCCUCGUUUAUAUAGAGGGACACGUUUGAGAACAUGAACCAUAAAUUUUGGAUAUAAUGAUAUUAACUAUGUUGAGACAUCUUUUUGGUUUUAAGAUGAAUUUUGGUUUUACUCCCACCAUUAUCCCAUUUUCUUUGGUUUUUCCUCUCAUUUUUGGACCAUUGACUCUAGUCGUAGUCAAAUCUCAUCUUUACCAUUUUAUAUGGACCUUGUUGCUCAAACCUCAUCUUUAAUAUCGCUAUGCGGCGGUGUUUGGGAUUGCUUUUCAAAACAACCUAUUGACUUAUUGGCUUUUUGAAAAGCCAAUAAGUCAAAAAUAAUGUUUGGCAAACUCAAAAGCAUUUUUCAAAAUAACUUUUCCAUUAGCUUCAAAAAGGAGAUUUCAAAAAGCAGGUAAAACUUGGCUUUUUGAAACUCCUUUUAGCUUUUUAAUCAUAAUAGCUUCAAAAAAGAGAUUUUAAGCCUAACAUUUUUUUUAAACUUAUUGCCUUAUUGGAUUUUGCCAUCUCAAAAGCUAAUCCAAACACUUUUUUAAGUCAAUAAGCACUUUUUCCCAACAACACUUUUGGAAUUCAAAAAGCAGUCCCAAACACCCCCUUGUUCCAACCAUGUGUUGUCAAUGCACCAAGAUCUUCAGUUUUGAUCUGAGCCUUGGCCUACAUUAGUGCUGGCUUUGACUAUUAAGUUCUACCUGAGUUGGGUGUCACUAGCAUUUUCUCAAGAGAUUACUUGAUCUUUCAUUAUUCUACCUUGGUGUCUUUUAGCAGAGCAUCAGAGUUUUCUCUAUUGAGUCAAGAAAUUCUAAACCUUUUAUAUUGCUGGUCGCCUAUAGAUGUUUUUUCCAAUCCAUGACUUGUAAACUACGGCGUUCUCUGUUCUUAUAGAUUUGGUCCUUGAAUUUUAUGCAAGAAAUAUUUUAUAAUGCUUAUUUAAAAAAGAAAAAACUAAUGUAAUGCAAUGUUUAGAAGAGGAAGAAUGAGCAUGGUGGGAGAUUGGAUUUGUGGGUCAUGCAAUCACUUAAACUUUUACUGGAGAGAAUCAUGCAGGAGAUGCAAAGAGCCACGAUCCCAAGACAUGAAUGCAGCUGUGAGUGCGGGCCCCAGGGUGUUUGCUUUUAGGCCCGGGGAUUGGUUCUGUGAUGUUGGGAUUUGUCAGGCUCACAACUUUGCAAGCCGAAGAUUCUGUUUCAAAUGUGGUGUAAUUAAAAGCAUACCAUCUUUUGGUCCUACUGUAGGACUAGGAUACUACCCUACCCUUCCCCUUCCCCCUCCCCCUCCUCCUUUCUUGAGUUUCAGUUUCAUGAAUCCCAGAAUCAGCCAACGAGGCUGGAAGCCUGGCGACUGGUUUUGUGGCAGGGGGUUUUUUUUUUAAUUUUUUUUUUUUUUUUUUUUUUUUUAUUUUAAAUAUUUUUUUUUUUUUUAAAUAUANUUUAUCUUUUUUCAUAUUUUUUUUUUUUUUUUUUUUUUUAAUUAAGGUCAUAAUCAUUAUUCAUUAAUACUAGUUGAUUCUCAUUCAUAUAAUCAUAUGAUAUGAUAUAGGCCUGGCUGUAAUGCACACAACUACGCUUCCCGAAUGAUAUGUUUCAAGUGCAAGUCUUCUAGGGAAUUGGUUACCAAUGUUUCUAAUUGAUUCCUUCCUUGCAUUCCGAAUUCUGGUAAAGAUUUUUGUUUUUUUUUUUCUUAUGAAUGUGUGUGUAAUUUAUGUCAUGUUUUUCAGGUCCUAUGGUUAUGCUAUCACCUCUGUUAGGAGAGAGGGAGAGUCAGAGUUGUUGUUUUUUCGUUCAGAUCUUGUUAUAUCUUAUGUGUUUCUUUUUAUUUCUGUUGGUUGCAUUGCAAUGGAGUUUGAAUCUGGUAUGAAGUUUACAUGAAUUAAUGAAGGAUGUAAUUAUAAGUGGUUUCUUCAGUUUGAAUGUGAUGAUUAUGGAUGGAUGGAUGGAGUUAUAAGAUUUUUGUGGCAAUUUGGUUGGAUCAUAUGUGUAGUUGUAAGAAAAGUUCAUUCAACUGGGUUGUUGAGUUUCAUACACAUUCAUUUGCAAAUGGUAAUUUGACAAGGAUUUUUUUUAAUAUAGCUGAUUUUGGAAAUUUUGGUCUUCAAAUGAUUUUUUUGUUUUUUGUUUUUGUUUGUUUGUUUGUUUUUUUUUUUUUUUUUUUUUUUUUUUUUUUUUUUUUUUUUUGUUUGUUUGUUUGUAAUGGUCUAUGUUCCAAAUAAAAUGACUUUUUUUUUUGUUUCCUAAGUUAUACCUGAUUUUUGCAGUUUUAUCACAAAAAUAGUCAUUUUCUUGGUACGAGGACCAAAAUCAUUAAAAAGAGGAUCAAAAUUGCAAAAAAAAAACUCACCUCAAAAUUGCAAAAGAAAACUCACAGACCAAAAUUACAAUUCAAAAUUACAAAAAGAGGACAUACUACCUAAUUCAUUGAUGAUUAAAGUGGGACAUUGUUUAGUCGUAUUCAAUAAUAUAUAGAAGUAGGAUCGGGUGAUGACUUGAAAAAUAGUGAGGAUUGCGAUGACAAAUCUUGGAUGUUUGUUGGUUUAAAUGGGUGGUUGAGAUAAAUCAAAAUUAAUAAAUAAACAAAAAAAAAAUCGUCCAAUGACAUUUUUGUAAAUAAAAUCAAGUUAGGAUCACUUUCCAAUUAAAGGGCAAUGUCUGGGGGUCAUAACUGUCAAAGGAAAUAAUAAAAUUUUGUUGCUGAAAUGAACUCCACGCACAAAAGGUGCGUCGCCAACUCUAUGGAUCUUACUCUUGAACACGUUUCGCCACCAGGUUUACUUGGGUUUAUUUAUUUAUUUUUAUUUUUCAUGGAUCUUACUCUCGUAUGAACUUGUAUAAGUAGUCCCCGGAAAUGUAUUGACCUGAACUUCAUGAAUAUGGCUUCGUAAUCUGGUUUGGAUGGGUUCUAACGGGAAAAAAACAGGUCUUGAACAAGCUGUUGUUUCGAGUUAAAAUCUGAAAAUUUAACCUAGUUGUUUAAUUAUAUGUUUAAGGUGAAUAUCCCUAUUUAAUCUUGAUUGUUAUUCUUAGGAGUUUUGAAAGGUGACCGGGUGCGAAUGGGUUCUGGUUUCAGUUGGAGGUUUACUCUACUACUUGAGGUGAGUUUCUCACUACACUGUGUAAUGUUGUGCAUUCUUUGCUUUAGCUCGUGUGUGUUAUAGUAUGUUUAUACGGGUAACACUAGAUUGGGUUAGUAUCUAGUGGGAGUAUGUUAUUUGUUCAUGUAUUGAAGAAUAUGUAUAGAAGGGAUCGACGUAUCCGAGCAGAGGAUCGGGCAUAGCCAGUGUGUCCCAAGGGGUCGACGAAUUGAGCAAGGGGGAUCGGGCAUGACCAAUGUGUCCCAAUGGGUUCGGGUGAUCGGGCUUAUCCAAUGUGCCCCAAUGGCUCGAUGUAUCGAGCAAAGGGGAUCAGACAUAACUAAUGUGUCCUAGUAGGUGUAUGUUGUUAUUGAUUCGCUCUUUGACAUGCAUACGUGUUUGUGUGGUUGAUAUUGUUGUUAUAUGUGUAUUAAGGGUAGAGCUUGUAUGAUAUAGACAUAUAGUAUUGUGUAUGUGUGAAAUCCCCUAAGCUUUGUGCUAUUCCCUUUUCCCUUAAAAAAAUACCAUUUCAGGAUUAACAUGUACUUAGGAUGGCAGGGUGUGAUAGUACACACCGGCUCAGUACGGAUUGAUGAAGUUUUCAUAUUACCUUGGAUUAUGUUUCUUUGAUUUUGGAAUUUAUAAUUAACAAAUGGUUUUUGAAAUUUAUUGAUCUUGGGAUUAUGGUUUUAAAACUUAUUUUGAAAAAAAGUCAUGGUUUUGAAUAUACUUAUAUUGUUUUUAGAAGUUCAAAUUUAUUGUAAAUUUUAGGAUGUUACACAAUUGUAUUGGAUUGAGUGCGAAAUUUGAAAAUCCAAUUGGAUUACUUGAAGGCAAUGUUACUUUGUUAGUCUUAUUUAGCAUAAUUGUGUGCGGUUUUAUUUUUAGUUAUCGUAGUUAUAUUUGGUUAUUCGAUAGAAAGAGAUUAGAAUUGGUUGGAUAAUGGAUAACUACUGAAUUAAACCAAUAAAAAAAUAUCCAAUAGAUAGAAUCGAUCUAAUCCAACAUCCAAUUGGAUCGAUUUGGUUUGAUUUUUUUAUGAUGAAUUGGAUUGGACCGGUUGACAAAUCCAACAUCUAAUGGAUGAUUAGAUUGGAUUGGUUCCAUCGAAAUCCAUUGGAUUUGAACCGCUGAUCACCCAUAAUUUGGUUAUUAUGUUUUUUUCAAUCAGCUGCUGGAACAUGAUGGUUCUAAAAACAUUUUGCAAAAAGGUAAGAAUCAGCCAUAAAGUCACAUUACCUUUCAUUGUUGAUGGUUGUGGAAUGUGAACUACUUUUUAUUAAAUUAUAAAUUAUCUAAGGAUGAAACUGCAUUUCCUUUCUUCAUAUCACUAUAACACAUUACAUUAUUUUUGUAUGUUUUUAUAACAUCAAAUCUUUGUUGUGAAACAAGGUUUAUUAUUAACAUGAGUUGGUUUGAGCUUUAACAAAAUUUUAAGAUAAUUAACUAUUUCAUACAAAUGAUUGUUCCAUGGAUUAUAUCAUUAUUAUUAUUAUUAUUAUUAUUAUUAUUAUCAUUAUAAAUCUUAUAAUAGAAGUCACUUGUGACAUAUAUCCUUAUUAUUAUCAUUAUCAUCAUUAUAAAUCUUAUAAUAGAAGUCACUUAUGACGCGGUUCAAGAUAACUCCCUAUAUUGAAGUGCAAAUAAUAAAGAUACGAAUGAUGGAUGUUACGUAAUAAGAUUAUAAUUUGAAAUAGUAUGCUAGAAAGUAACAUGACAAACAAAUCCUGAAACCGUAAACAACAAACAUACAAAAGCCAGUUUGGUAUCAAGAACAAGGUUGGACCGAAACCGUAAACAACAAACAUACAAAAGCCAGUUUGGUCCAAAACCCGAAACCCGAUUUAGUACCCGGAACUGGACCGGACCGAACCCCGACCCGCUACACCUAAAAACGGUCCAGUUCUCGGGUAAGGUAAUUCAUGGUUUUCGGUCUUCAGGCUGGUCCGGUUCGGGUUCUGCUCGUUGCUCUAUAUUGAACCAUAUUAAUUUGAAACUACGAAAACUCUUCGGCUUAUAUUUUAAGUUUCUAUUUGGUGUGUUAGCUGAAAAAACUAGUUUUUAACUUAUAAGCUAGUUUAUCCAUAAACUAUCUCGGAUAACUUAGACAAAACUGCAAAAUUGGUCCUUGUGGUAUGCAUUUUUUCUGAGGUUUAAUCCAAACCUCGAUUUUUUUGGAUUGGUGGUCCUUUUUGGUCCCUUGAAAAAUUGAAAAGACUAAAAUGCCCUUCUGAACAGUUUAUAUGUUAUUUUCUAUUUAAUUUAAAAUUAUAUUAAUUAAAAAUAUAGGGCCCACCUCUUUCUUUCUUUCUUUCUUUCUCUCUCUCUCUCUCUCUCUCUCUAUAUAUAUAUAUAGCCAUUUGGGUUUGUCUUUGACAAACAUCUAAUAACAUCUUCAUAAAUUCAAGAACACUCAAGAACAUCUUAUGCCAUCACCACCAUUCGACCACCGUCCUCCACCACCACUGUCUGCCACCUCCAUCUCCACCUGAACUUUUUAUACCACUUUAUAUCCGCCUAAAAUCAUCCCAAAAACAAAAAUCAUACACAAAAUAUGGGUUUGUUCUUGAGUUUCCCCUUAAAAAUAAUCACUAGAUCUGAUGCCUCAUCAAGAGCUCAUGAACACACACACCCACCCACAUUCAAGAACACAUUCAUGAACCCCAUAUCUGAUGAGCACACAAACACAAACACACAUUAUAUCAGAUCUGAUGAAGGGUUUUUGGAUGAACACAUUCAAGAACAAAUUUUUGAACCCUAGAUAUAAGGAACACACGAACAAAAUCAGAUCGAGUUCAUGGGUUCUCGGGUUCUUCAUCCAAAAAACAAAGAUCUAAAACCAAAACGAACAUUUGACCCCUCAGUGGCAGAUUUCUUCGUCCCCAUCUUCCAAAAACCCAUAUUGUAUGUGUGUAUUUUGUGACAUCCCCGAUUUCACGGCCACAAAAGACCGAUUUGAUUAUGAUUAUUUAAAUCAGAAUAUUCUUUUCAAAAGAGUAAUAAUGUGGAAUUUGUUCCAAAAAAUAUGACAAUAUCAUUAUUAAAGCAUUUCCGAGGAAAUGUAUUUCAUUUAUAUUUAAAAACCUUGGGAUGUCAUGGUCAAUACAACAACAUAAGCAUAAAACGUAAUAUUACAGGCCUUACAAUAGUUUAUUAUUCUAUUGGCCUAUUCUCCUUUAAAUCUCACUCCAAAUUUAAACUCAUCACACCUAUGCUCUUACGCUGCUACCUGUGAAACAAAGAAACUGAGUGGGUUAGGCUUCGGAAAGCCUGAUGAGCACAUAGGGUUUUCAACCCACAAUAAUUAAAUUUAUUAAUUUCAUCAAUCAAUCAACUCGGUUAUCCGUUCCCGUUAUCCUCACUUUUUGUCCCUAAAACAUCUAAAUUAAGGGACUUAGCCUAAGGAUUUUUCAUCGGGGUGACAGCACUGCAUAGGGGAUUCCUCAACAAUAUAUGUUAAAAGGCAACCAUAGGGGAAUGGAGUACAUCUGGUGAACAUUUAGUUCAAAAACACCUACAUGUUUCGAGCCUACCACCGUUCCACUAGACUGUCUAGAAUAGUUUGUGGUCGUCAUCUAUACUCCGCUAGAUGACUGGAUCAUCUUAAACACUCUAGGCCUAUCAUUAUUUAUUUUAUCAUCUAUAUCAUCUACCCAUCUUUACCCUUUAUAUUUAUAGGUACAAAAUACAUACAUAGUUUAAAUCGAAUAAAACAUGUAUAUUUUGUUCAUCCAACAUACAUAUCAAGAACACAGAUAAUAUACACACAUAACACGUAAUUUUUAUUAAAUACUUCAUAUUUAUGUAUAAGAUGAAAAUAACUAUGCACUCACUUGACUAGUUAGUGGUUACUAACUAUGUUCUUAAUCGUCGUUAUAUCACACUUUCUUUAUUUAUGACUCCUUGCUCGAAAAUUCUGAACUCUAAUUUCAAAAUUUCUGGCCCUUCUUUAUAUCGAGUAUAUCUUUGGCUAUUAUUGUUUUCUAUCAUAAGAAUUGCUCAAAGGAUACCUCUAUUUAUAUAAAGGAUUUUUGAAUCGCCCGUACAAUAUCAAAAGAUUAGUCACCCAAAAAAAUUACACGUAUAACUUCAAUAAAUUAGAUGUGUACGAACAUACUUGAAAGGUUAACACAUAUUCUUCUGAUAUUGACUCUAAAUUAGAAGGUGUAUUAUUACUUCUCUUUUGUCAACACAUAUCAUUUUAAUUAAUAAAAUAUGUACGACAUGUAUUAUAUUUCUUACAGGUAUGUUGGUUUGCAAUUUACAAAUCAAUUAUAGUUACAUUUAUGGUCCAUAAGUUAUUAUUGUAUUAACACAAUAUAUCAUUCAAGUUACACUGUAGUCCCUCAGCUGCAUGGAGCCCCUAAUAAGAAUAAAGAACAAGUAAGAGACGAUCACCCACUUAUUUGUUUGGAUCGGUCCGAUCCAAUCAAAUUAAGUAAAUUCAACUUAAUUCCGGUUUACAAAACAUUGAUUCAAAUAGUUCAAACUAAAUUCAAAUUCGGUAUGAAUUAAUCAAAUUACAAUUCGAUUUUCAAGAGUCGGAAUGUUUUAAAAUAGUUAUAAUUUGAAUAUUAGCUGACUUUAUAAAAGAAAUAUAAUCAAAUGGUUAGUUGUAAAUUAAAAUUUAUAAACUGUUAAGGAAAAUAUAUUUUGAUUCAUUAGAUAAAAAAAUCUUGAAAAAAAAAUACAUAUUAAGGUUUUUAUUAGGAGAGUGUUUCUAACCUAUUUAAAAAACAAUUCAGUAAAUUAAUAAAUAAUUAAAAGUAUAUAUUAAAAAUUAAAAUAUAUAUAUCUAUUCUAAUAAAUGAAAGUGUUUUUUGUCACAUGUUACACUCUCACUCAAUUUAUCAAAUGUCAUUUUGUGGUUAUUUUGAAUUAAUUUAUUUUUCCAAAUGUCAUGUUAUGUUUUUUUUUUUAUUUUAAUAAAGUUCACAUAAUAUUUAAAUGUAAUAAUUACAAUAAAUUUAGUAAUAAAUAAAUAUAAAUUUCAUUAAUGGAUAAAAAAAUCAAUUUUAAAAGAUAAAAAAAAUCAAUUUUUAUAAUUCAUUAUUUUUUUUUUAUAAAUUCAAAGUUCUUAAAUAUUUAGACAUUUAUAAUUAAUUUUUUUGAUUAACUCAUAUAAUCCAUGAGUCUUAUAGUUUACAAAAUAUUUAUCAAAUAAAGAUAUACUUGCAUGCUGUAAGAUAAUUUUUUUUACUAAUUUACCACCCCGGCCUUUCUAACAAUAAUUUGUAUUAUAUAAAAGACAAUGUUUUCUAAAUAAAUAAAAGAUAUUAGUUUAUUUUAUAUAUAGACAACCACAUAUCAUUUCCAUAUAUAACAUGAUGGUUGUUCAGAUCCGUGAUUAUUUAAUUUAAACUAUUAAAUAUGUAUUUUAUGAGUCGGUGAUUUCUAACACUAUUAAAAAAAGGGACAUUGUAACGAAACUAAAAGGCCGAGUUUCCUGUAAGCAGCUGACUGAAGCCAGACAGUCAAGCCAAGCUGAUUCUCCCCGCUCUCGACCAAAAUCUAUUACUAUUUUCAUCAUCACCGACACCCUCCCCCUCUCUUUUCUUAACAAAUCAAUACAAAUGAUUAAUAUGCAGUAAUCAUCGAAAGUGAGAUCAAGAAUGGGCCCUUUUCUUCUCACGCCAAUGCCCAUCAAACUUCAUUGAUUAUCAAGUUCCUUCAAAUUCAAAUCAAGAACGAAAAAAUCAAUUUCUAUCAUCUGGGGCUCUUCUUUAGUCCCCUGUUUCUACUUUAAUUGGAAUACAUGGAGGCAAAUGCAGGAUUAGUUGCCGGAUCUCAUAAGAGGAACGAGUUGGUGAGAAUAAGACAUGAUUCCGAUGGAGGGGUAUGUGUUCUUUCGAUUUUUCUUGAAUACCCUUUUGGAUUUUGAGUGUUCAGAAAUCAAUUUUAUCGACUCUUGUAUAGAUCUAAGUGAUUUAACAGUAGGCUAUUUUGUUUAACCCAAGUUUGUUUAUUUUGUUUGGAUCUGAGUGAUCAGUGUGACCAGUGAGCUCAGUAAUGAGUGAUGAUACGACUUUUGACUUAUUAAUCCUACCUUUUUGUUAAAUCUUCAAAGAGGGUUUUUUGUUAAAUUUGUGGAUUUAGAUCUGAAUCAUCGAGAUGAAAGUUUCUGUUUUCAGCGCCCAUCUUGAUUAAUUUGACAAAAUUUUCAGCUUUAGCACAUGAUGAUUUCUUAAAUUAUUUAAUUUUGAUUGUGACGUUGAGUGUUGAUGAUGCAGCCGAAGCCUUUAAAGAAUAUGAAUGGACAGAUAUGUCAAAUCUGUGGCGACACCGUCGGCCUGACUGAAAACGGCGACGUUUUUGUUGCUUGCAACGAGUGCGCAUUCCCGGUUUGUAGACCCUGCUACGAGUACGAAAGAAGAGACGGAAAUCAAGCAUGCCCUCAAUGCAAAACUCGAUACAAAAGACACAAAGGUUAGUUUUUGAGUUUUUGUUCGUAUCAAGAACACAUCAAACAUAUGAUUUUUGUAAGAAUUAAAGAGAGAUACAAAUGUUUUUAGGGAGUCCCCGAGUUGACGGUGAUGAUGACGAGGACGAUGUUGAUGACCUGGAAAACGAGUUUGAUUAUGCACAAGGGAGACGACAAUGGCAAGGAGAAGAUCCGGAUCUUUCUUCAUCUUCUAGAAGACAUGAAUCACAGCAACCAGUUCCCCUUCUCACUAAUGGCCAACAAGUAAGAAAAUUACUUAUAUACCCUUUUGUUCUAAGCAUUACCUUUUUAACUAAAUUCAGAGUGUUAUUUUCAGGUAUCUGGUGAAAUCCCAAUUGCCACACCGGACAAUCUAUCUGUAAGAAGUACAUCGGGUCCAUUAGGCCCUGGUGACAAGCCUGUCCGCUAUAUGGAUCCAAGACAACCAGGUUACUUUCUUUUUUUUUUUUUUUUUUUUUAAAAAAAAAGUAUUAUUAUUAAUCAGAUAAUGUUGUAGUAAUUAUGCUAAUGAUGCCCUUUUAAUAAAUAGUUCCUGUAAGAAUUGUGGACCCAUCAAAGGAUUUAAAUUCAUAUGGGCUUGGGAAUGUGGACUGGAAGGAAAGGGUAGAAGGCUGGAAACUAAAACAAGACAAAAACAUAAUGCAAAUGGCAAACAGAUACAAUGGCGGUGAAGGGAGAGGAGGUGAGAUUGAAGGCACGGGAUCAAAUGGAGAAGAAUUGCAACUGUAAGUAGUAAACUAAAGGGUACUUUAGGAAUAUCAUAUUUGUCGACUUAUGAUUUGACUUUUUUUUUUUUUUUUUUUUUUUUUUUUUUUUANUUUGUUUUGUUUUUUUUUUUUUUUUUUUUUUUUUUUUUUUUUUUUUUUUUAAAUAUAUAUAGGGUUGAUGAUCCAAGACAAUUAAUGAGCCGUGUGGUGCCUAUUUCAUCUUCUCAUUUGACUCCAUAUCGAGUUGUGAUUAUAUUGCGAUUGAUUAUUUUGGGAUUUUUCUUGCAAUAUCGGUUGACUCAUCCUGUUAAUGAUGCGUAUCCUUUGUGGCUUGUAUCUGUUAUUUGUGAGGUGUGGUUUGCUUUUUCUUGGCUUCUUGAUCAAUUUCCAAAAUGGUCCCCCGUUGAACGUGAGACCUUCCUUGAUCGCCUUGCAUUGAGGUAAGUAAGUAAUGGGAUUUAGAUUUUGGGCUAAUUGCAAGAAAUAGCAAUGUACUUUCAUUUGUAGUCAUCAUCAUGGGCAAUUAGGUAAUUUUAGCUUAAACAAUGAAAAUUUGUUGUUUUGUAGGUUUGAUAGGGAAGGAGAGCCUUCACAAUUGGCACCUAUAGAUGUCUUUGUGAGUACAGUGGAUCCAUUAAAAGAGCCUCCUCUCAUCACUGCAAACACAGUGUUGUCUAUUCUUGCUGUGGAGUAUCCUGUUGACAAAGUCUCCUGCUAUGUAUCUGAUGAUGGAUCUGCUAUGCUUACAUUUGAGUCUCUUUCUGAGACAGCAGAGUUUGCAAAAAAGUGGGUCCCAUUCUGCAAGAAGCAUAGCAUCGAGCCCAGAGCCCCUGAGUUUUAUUUUGCUCAAAAGAUAGAUUACUUGAAGGACAAGAUCCAGCCUUCUUUCGUCAAAGAACGUAGAGCAAUGAAGGUGAGUUUUACCACUUUUAUGUUUUAUGUUUUAUGAUUUCUUCCAGUGUUUUACCAAAUACCUAAAACACCCUUUUAUGGCAGAGAGAAUACGAAGAAUUCAAAGUUCGGGUCAAUGCACUUGUAGCAAAAGCACAAAAGAUGCCGGAAGAAGGCUGGUCUAUGCAGGAUGGAACUCCUUGGCCUGGAAACAACCCCCGUGAUCAUCCUGGAAUGAUUCAGGUAUUUGAAUGAUUGUUUGGUUGCUGAAAAUUUGUAUAUCAACAGUUGAUUGUUGACUUCUCUUGUUUAUGAUGAUUGGAAUUGGAUAGGUGUUCUUGGGGCACAGUGGAGGUUGCGAUACAGAUGGAAAUGAGCUACCUCGUCUUGUUUACGUGUCCCGUGAAAAACGUCCUGGGUUUCAACAUCACAAGAAAGCCGGUGCCAUGAAUGCUUUGGUAUGGAUCUCUUAAAAAAACAUGGAAAUUUUUUGUGUUUAUUGGUUGUUUAUGGAUGCGAUGCAAUUUGGUGUUACAGAUUAGGGUUUCGGCGGUUUUGACGAAUGGCGCGUACCUUUUGAACGUCGAUUGUGAUCACUACUUCAACAACAGCAAAGCUCUAAAAGAAGCCAUGUGUUUCAUGAUGGAUCCUGCCUAUGGAAAGAAGACAUGCUAUGUUCAAUUCCCACAGAGAUUCGACGGGAUUGAUUUACACGAUCGAUAUGCUAAUCGCAAUAUCGUCUUCUUCGAUGUGCUUUUCUGAACUUUACAGAGUCAAACUUAAAAAAAAAAAUUCAAAUUCAAAUUCCGAUCUUGUUGGGAUUUCAAAAAUCAAAAAUUGACAUUUCUAUAUAUAUAUAUUUUGUACAGAUUAACUUGAAAGGGCUGGAUGGGAUUCAGGGGCCGGUUUACGUGGGAACUGGUUGCUGUUUCAAUCGACGAGCUCUGUAUGGAUACGACCCUGUUUUAACAGAGGCUGAUUUAGAACCAAAUAUCAUUGUGAAAAGCUGUUGUGGUUCACGAAAGAAGUCGAGAAACGUUAACAAGAAGUACGUGGAUAAAAAAGCAGUGAUGAAAAGAACGGAAUCCAACACUCCAAUUUUAAACAUGGAUGAUAUCGAUGAGGGUGUUGAAGGUUUGAUUUUGAGUCUUUCACUUUAGUUUGUGGGUCCAGUGAAUCAUUAAUGUUGACUAAAUUCUUUUGUUUUUGAAAGGGUAUGAUGAAGAUAGAUCGUUACUAAUAUCGCAAAAGAGCUUAGAGAAGCGAUUUGGUCAAUCUCCUGUAUUUGUUGCUGCAACUUUCAUGGAGAUGGGAGGAAUUCCCCCCACUACCAAUCCAGCUACCCUUUUGAAGGAAGCAAUACAUGUUAUUAGCUGUGGUUAUGAGGAUAAAACCGAGUGGGGUAAAGAGGUAAUUUUACCCUUCUAGCUUCCGAUUCUUGUUAUACAUGGUCAUCGGAAAAACAAUAAUCUUCAUGUUAUUUUGUUUUGUGUACAAAUGCAAGCAGAUUGGAUGGAUUUAUGGGUCUGUGACAGAAGAUAUUUUAACUGGAUUCAAGAUGCACACAAGAGGAUGGAUCUCAAUAUAUUGCAUGCCACAACGUCCGGCUUUCAAGGGUUCUGCUCCGAUCAAUCUUUCCGAUCGUCUGAACCAGGUCCUCCGGUGGGCUUUAGGUUCAAUCGAGAUUUUACUCAGUAGACAUUGCCCCAUCUGGUAUGGGUAUAAUGGUAAAUUAAAACUCCUGGAGAGGCUCGCAUACAUAAACACCAUCGUCUAUCCCCUCACCUCCAUCCCUCUUCUAGCCUACUGUGUACUUCCGGCCGUCUGCCUUCUCACCGGAAAAUUCAUCAUCCCCGAGGUACGUUAAUCAUGCUUUAUGAGUUGUACGAUAUGCAUGAAUGUUUGUACAUGUUGAAAAUUGGGGGUUUUGCAACAGAUAAGCAACUAUGCUAGUAUGUGGUUUAUUCUUCUCUUUAUCUCCAUCGCUGCAACCGGAAUCUUGGAGCUCCGGUGGAGUGGCGUGAGUAUUGAAGACUGGUGGAGAAACGAACAGUUUUGGGUGAUAGGAGGCACGUCCGCUCAUCUAUUCGCCGUCUUCCAAGGUCUUCUCAAAGUUCUCGCCGGAAUCGACACCAAUUUCACCGUCACAUCCAAGGCAAACGACGAAGACGGUGAUUUUGCAGAACUCUAUAUAUUCAAAUGGACGGCGCUCCUCAUCCCACCCACCAGUGUUCUGAUCGUAAACCUAAUCGGCAUAGUUUCCGGCGUUUCAUCUGCAAUCAACAGCGGUUACCAGUCGUGGGGCCCACUUUUUGGGAAACUGUUUUUUGCAAUCUGGGUUAUCGUCCAUUUAUACCCGUUUCUCAAAGGUCUGUUGGGUCGGCAAAAUCGAACCCCCACCAUUGUUAUCGUGUGGUCGAUUCUGCUUGCUUCGAUUUUCUCCCUUUUGUGGGUUCGUAUCGACCCCUUUACCACAGACGAUACUCUUGAUGCAGUUAAAGGACAAUGCGGGAUCGAUUGUUAGGUAUAUAUAUAUAAAGUUUCUGAUUUGCAAAUUUGUGUAAGCCGUGAUGUGAUGCGAUGUGAUGUGUACGAAUGAUAUAAUUAUUUGAUUUAUUGUUGUUAUCCCACGAAUUCAAUGAAAAAUUUAAGUAUAACCUUAUCUUAAUAUGUCGGUUCAUUACAUUCAAUUAAGUUGAGUUGUAUGCAAAUUUCUUGUUAUUAUACAGUAUAUUACAAAAUUCAAACACUAUCUUCUUCAUAUUUAAUUUCAUGAAUUUAGUCUUCAACAAGUACAUAUAUAUAAAACAAAACAUGAAAUUCCAUACACACCAAGGUUCAUGUCAGAUCCUGAAACAAAAGAUUAAAGAAAAUAAAGUUAGAUGGUUGUAAAUUGUAACCUAAUGAAAUAUAAGAAAAGUUGGGGUUUUACUUACUCAAUAUAUUCAACGUUGAUUUUCUCCCUUUGAGACUUGGAAAUGGCAGAAAAAGCAUCAUUUGACAAAACAAUAGUCGAAGGACACGGCCUUUUGGAACAAAAAUCUACCACCUUAACAUCAAUGGUACCAUCUCUACAUGGUUUAUUAUUUCCACUCAAACACUUGAGUCUGUAUCGCCUACCACAUGCUGCACCGUUAUCCCAUAGUCCUUCGCUCACUGACACAAAUAAGUUCCCCAAUGGGAAUUGAUCUGCUCGGUUGCCAUUGCACCUUGUGGCUACAUUAAAAAUACAUAUAAAAAAAAAUACUUCAAUUUAACUAUUAUUUAUUUAUUUAUUUACAAUGUCAAAAACAUAAUAAUUAGAAUCAUAUUUAAACUUACGUGUAUAAGGAGGCUCAUAGGAUGAGGCAGUGCCAAUUUCACUCAAACCACACUUGAUGUUAUUGAAGAUUAACAAUAAAAAUAAAUUCACAAUCACUCCAAUUCCCAUCGCUACAAAUUCCCUUUUCUUUUUUCUCUCUCUCUGUCAAAUACUAUGGUAGUAAGAUGCACCCCCUUGGAUUAUAUAUAGAUAUCGUAUGGAUUUAUUUAAAAGAUAUAGGUAUAGUUUGAGAUAUAUUGUCACGUGUUUUUUAAUAGAAAUGUGCUUAGCAUGUAUAUAGAAUGAAUGAAAAGUUGGUGAUCAAAUUGGAUAAACUAUAGAUGUUUAAUGUGAUAUAUAUCUACCUUUGCGCAUGAAAAAUGGAUUUAAUAGGUUUUGGUCAAUUGUGAUAUAAAGUUCUUGAUGCCUACCACUAAUUAGUUUAAGGAAAGAUGGUUUCUAACGUAAACAUAAAACAACUUUUCUAUCGUCUCUUUUAAACAGAAAAAAUAGUCAAUUUUGACAAUGGCACAAAAAGGCAAUGGAAAAGCAUAUGUAAGGAUUAUUAGAUAAAACGAUAGUGUUUUAAUGGAGAAAAAUUAUAUUUUCGGUGAAUUUUUUUUAGUUGAUAAACCCAUUGUUGGUGUCGAAUCUAUGAAAUUAUUUUGGCUUAUACGUCGGCUGACCGAUAUGAUUACCAAAGAAAGGUGCAUCCAGUACAAUCACCACUAACUAAAACCAAUGGCUCUAAACUGUUCGCAAUUUUUUAAGGAAGGGAAAUUCAUAUUUGAAUUCGUCACUACAAAGUGUUACAUGAUUCGUUAUUAAUAAAUAUUUUAUAUUACCUUUUAUCAUAUAAAUAAACAAUCCAAAUUUUAUUUUUAGAUGCAUAUUUCACAAAGCUUUUGUGUUUUUUUCGGUUCAAGUUUGUGUUAAAGUAAUUCAAUAUAGAUGGAGAAUGUCGUUCAAUAAAAGUAGUUUGUGUUAAAGUAAUUCUAUACAGAUGGAAAAUGAUGUUCAAUAAAAGUUUAGAAUAUCAGAUAAUCAAAAUUAGUUUGUCGAUAAGAUUUAUUAUUUUAAAAGAUGGGAUAUAUAUACUAAACUCUCAAUAUUUUUAACGAUUCAACAAAAAAGUCUUAAAUUUUAUUUUUUUAGAGUAAAAUCCUAACUAGCGGCAGUUUUUGACAUGUUUACCAUUUUUUGCCAGUUAGCCAGUAAUUAUGGUUUUACUAUAAAAAAAUAAAAUUUAUGACUUUCUUUUUCAAAUCGUGAAUUAAGACAUUACUGUAAAAAAAAAUUAAAGUUUAGGACUUUCUUAUCAAAUCGUUAAAAAUAUAGGGACUUUAGUGUAUAUAUCCAUUUUUUUGUUAGAAAUUUAAUGUCAUUAUAAUCUUUAAGUAUAAGAGUUAUUGAAAUCUGACCAAUAUGCUCUGGUCAACUAGAUUCUAUUAAAAUCAUUAACGUUUGAUUCUUGUUAAAUAGUUUUUUUUUAAUCUCAACAAAUCGACAUUGAAAAAAAUAAAGAUAAUCAAGAAAGAAAGAACCACGAUUGUGUUGAAUUUUUGCAUAAUGAUAAUCAAGAAAGAAAGAACCAGUAUCGUGUUGAGUUUUUUGCAAUCCUAAAAAUGGAGAAUUAAGAAACCGGAAAAGAAGAAAUUGUCCUUCUUACACAUUCUCCACAUUCACACAUUUUUUACCGGACAUGUGUUGUUUGUGUUUGUUGAAUUUGUUCCUCUUUUCAGUUCAAGAUUUGACGGCGAACCAAGAAAAAAGUUUUACAAGUCUUCUUACCCUCUAUCGUUCUCUCUUUUGCAUCAGUUUCCCAGAUUGUGAUCGUAGCAAAGUAAGAUGAUGAUGGUAAGAAAAAACAAUGGUGUUGCAAUAAAAAUCACAAUUAAAAGUUCUUGGGAUAGGAAUUAGGUCUCAUGAGACUGAUAAAAUUAUUUGUUUCUAGGGAAACCAAACCUAUACACUAAAGUCUCAAUAUUUUUAACGAUUUAACAAAAAAGUCAUAAACUUUAUUUUUUUGACAGUAAAACCCUAAUUACCGGCUAACCGGCAAAAAAGAGUAAAUGUUUCAAAAACUGUCGAUAAUUAGGAUUUUACUGUCAAUUGAUUUUAAUAUUUUCAUGCAAAAGACAACUGUAUUACGAAAGAAAUAACUGUUAACCGUAACUACAAUAAGGUAUUAAAGUUAUAGAAGUUUCAAUCCUAAUAACGCAUAAUUUUCACUUUUGGUUUAAUAUGUUUAUAUUAUUUAUCUAAAAAACAAAAUCAUAAUAAAUAUAUUUUGAUUAAAUGUCACAGAAAAACCACGCCCAUGUCAAUUUUGAUUGUUACAAAAUGACAAUUUUUUUGAAAAGAGAUAUCAUACCGUAUUAAUAAGGUGGUGUUUGUUUUUUUUUCAAAAGCUCUUCUAGACCUUUUAUGUCUGCAUCGCGUAGACGACCCACAAACUUUUAGUCCUAUAGACUGUUUGUUUUUUAGAAGACCGUACGCAUAAAAAAAUCUGUCCAUCCUCUUCUUGACGUAGAUGUGAACAUAUGUCUUCUAGUCUCUUUCUUAAUCUUUCCACUAAUCUUAAGAGACAAUAAAAAAGCGCAAAAAGAAUAAAAAAAUGAAAAAAAAAACCUAUCAAACCUCAUUCGUGCACCUUUUUUUUUAAUUCAUUUGCCAUGUAAACACUUUGUAAAUAUAUUAUUUUAAUGAUUUUAGCUUUAUAAACUUUAUUUGGUCAAAUAAUUUUUUGGUAUUCAUAUUUUAAAAAACUUUAUGCAUAUUUAUCCGAUGACUUUUUAUAACAGUAAUUAAAAAAGUUAAAUAUACUACAAAACUUAUGAAAGUAUUUUACGAACGUGUUUUUUUUCUUCAUAAAAUGGACAAUUAAUUUGUUAUAUAUAUAUAUAUAUGCUUAUUAUAUGAUAACUAGGCUCGUGCGUGUGAACAAGUCUCCGUUUGCCACCUAGCACGGUAUCUNNNNNNNNNNNNNNNNNNNNNNNNNNNNNNNNNNNNNNNNNNNNNNNNNNNNNNNNNNNNNNNNNNNNNNNNNNNNNNNNNNNNNNNNNNNNNNNNNNNNNNNNNNNNNNNNNNNNAUAUAUAUAUAUAUAUUGAAAAUAAGGUGGUUGUAUUAUUAAAUUACAAUGUUUUUAUAUAAGAAAUAUUGAAAAAGUCUUUUAAAUUAAAAAAAAAAUCAAUUUAUUUAGGUUUUAAUUUAUUUUAGCAGUUUGUAGAUUUUAAAAAACAAACAGUCUUCUUGCAGACUGCAGACGUUUGGUCCAUAUCUUCUACUGCAGAUGUCGUCCGCAGACUGCAGACAUUUUGCUUCUGAAAAACAAACACCAUCUAAGUUUCAAACGCAUAAACAUUUAUUAACAAAAGACAUGUAAACGUGGAUUAUGAACUAAUGACAUAGAUAUACGAUAAGUACUAUAAAGAGGAAAAAGCAUAGUUAAGAUUGACCCAAAUUGUAAUGAUUAUAGUCUUGCUAAUGUAAAUAUUUAAUUAGUUUUUCUUGAUAAUCAUGAUAAAUGAUACUUUUUGACUCAUGAGUGAUGAAUAAACAAUAGUAUAUAUAGAUUUACUAAGACGAAAAAAGACAUGAGUUUUAAUGAUAGAAUAUUAUUGAAAAAAUAAUAAAGAAUAUGAUCAACUUUAAAUUAGUGCCCGGAUAAAAUCGAAGUUUUAGAAAGUGCUGAUUAGUGGCGAUCCUUCAUUUUUUUAUAACUUUAUUUCAAAUUAAUGGUAAUCAUGUAUAAUAAUUAAUAAACUUACAAUACGCUAAUAUACAUUACAAUCAUUUUCAUCCUAUGUGAAAAUAAUUUUUGACAUAUUAUUCGUUUUCAAAUUAUAUAGAUGCAUAGGCAAUAAUAUGUCUUUUAUGUGAAAUAAUGUGUGUUUUUUUUAUGUGAAAACAUGUUUUUUAUAUAUAAAAAUAUAUUUUCACAUAAAAAAAACCUGUUAUGCAAAAAACCUUUUGGACCAAAUUUAUAUAGAAACAUAUUUUUCACAUAUAAAAACCUUUUUAUAACAAAAAUGUUUUGUAAAAAAGGUUUUUAGUAUAAAUAUGAUUUUAUAAAGCAAAAAUAACAUAUUUCGAAACAAAAUUUUGGAAAAAUAUAUGUAAAAAAAACAAAAUUUAAGAUGAAAUUGUAACAAAAUUUUAAAAUAGGGACAAAAAUAUAAAAAUUGGACCAAAUUUAUAACAAAAUUUAAAAUCUGAGAAAAAAAUGUAAAUUUUAAAACUGGGAUGACCUUAUAGCCGGGAAAAAUGAUGAAAAUGAAUAUAUUUACCUGUAUUCGUAUCUUAAUUAAAAAAAUAAUAAUUUAAAUACUUAAUUGAAUAUAAGGUUAAAAAUAUAAACACUUUAUAGAUUUUCCUAUACUAAAUACUAUAGCAAAAUAUGUGGAAUUUGGUAUUUAGUAACUUUGGUCUCACUUUUGUUAAAUUUCUAUUUUCUAUCAUUUUACUUUUUGAAAAUUCGUUUUUACCUCUCGAUUUUUCUACUUAUUAACUUUGGUCCAUCACUUUUGUUAAGUUCUCAAAUUUUCAUCCUUUUUACUUUUGAAAUUGUUGCUUUUACCCCCUUUAACUUUCAACUUUCUAGAUACUCAACUCACUCAGCAUGAAGUAUAAGAAAAAAGAGAAGAGAGAGAGAGAGAGAGAGAGAGGAAGCAGCGGGCUGAAGAACCCACAUGAGACGUCUUCUGGCGGUAACCACCAAGGCGUGGAUUUGUUACCCUAGCCGUCGCACGACUCCGUGCACCCUUGGAGAGUAAUCAGUGUUAAAACACUAAGUUGCUUGAAAUAAGGAAUUUGAAGUUAAAUUGAAAAUUUAAAUGUAGAUACGAAAACACAUCAUCUUGCUAACUUGACAACUUAACGCCAUCUUAAGUGGAUACCAUAGAAUGACCCACGAGUGGCGAAUUUAAAAAAAGAAUCACAUGGUUCCUAAUUAAGUGAAGCCAAUAAAAAAAAUCAACAAUACUUUUGGAGUCGGGUCAGGUCGGCUCAUGUACCUUAAAAGAACUGAACAAGUUCAAUCGGCUCAUGUACCUUGUAACGACCCGUCUCUGGUAUGUUGUUUCCAUGUUAUUUAUUUAGAAGUUUUCAAGAGGGACUCGGGGAGUCUAUAGCCCGACUCGUCGAGUAGAGACGGGAUUUCGAGCACGUGUAAGUCGCCGACUCAACGAGUCCAUAUUCGAGACUCGGCGAGUCCGCCUGCUAGGAAGAAACCCUAAAUCCCCGGGUUUGCUCACUAUUUAAGCAAUGUUAUGUGCCCCAAACUCGCCUCCUUCACCCUCAGAGAGCUUGAGAGAAACCCUAAACCAUUCCUUGUAUGACUAAAGUGUUUUGUGUGGAUUCUUGAAGGAAAAAGAAGAAAGGACCCAAAAAGAGGAAGUGUAGAGCAAAGAUCCAAGGCCAAAGUCAGAGUUCAUUGAGGUAUGUCUCGGAAUUAUUCUGUUUUGUGCUUAAAACCUCCAUUAGAACACCUCUAAGGCUAGUUUAAUGUAUUUUCCAAGCUUUAUAGUUGUAUGGAUGCCUUGUUGGGUCGAGAUAUCCCUAGAUCUGUUCAUUUAGGAGUUUUAGAGCCCUGAUCUAGUGCCUUUUCGAAGUUUCUUUGCUUGAGAACCCUAGAUCUAGCCUUUAUUAUGCUUUUUGAGCCUUUUAAUCUUCAUGGGUGCAUAUGGGCACGUAAAGAUAGAAUCUUUACGUGUUAAUCGAGCUUAGGGAGCCCAGAUCUAUAAGUUUUAUGCGUUGGAUUCAAGCAGAAUCGAGUUUAUAGUAGCUGCAUGCAUGCGACUCGGCGAGUCGUUCUUCCGACUCGGUGAGUCGAGUCGUGAGUCCCCGAUUUUUCCUCUUUUGAGUAAUGCCGAGUGGGGACCAGUGAGUAGUAGAGUGGACUUAGUGAGCUGGAGGUCAGACUCAGUAAUGGAGGGACUCGACGAGUUGUUCAUACAACUCGGCGAGUCCAAGGCAAUCUUCUUAGCUCAAGAACAACUCGUCGAGUUGUUCAUACGACUCGGCGAGUCGGAUGCAGAUAGCUUGAGUUCUAGAAUCGAAAGGAAACUCGUCGAGUUUAUGCCAUACUCGACGAGUAGCAGCGAGUAGGGUUGAGAAGUGAGAAUAGGGACUAGGCGAGUUGGCGGCCCAACUCGGCGAGUCAGGUCAACUGUAGGUUGACUUUGACCAGGAGAGUUGACUUUGACCAGGGGUAAAAGAAUCAUUUUACCCCAAUACAGUGAUUAGUAUUUGAUUGAGUGUGUUUAUGGAAUUGUAGCCGGAGAGAUACCAGAGCAGCAGCAGAUAGCUUCCAGAGCCAUACAUUCAGCAGCCAGUUUACGAGGUGAGUUUCCUACCAGUAGGAACGGGUCUACGACAACAAUGCCGGCCCGUUUAGCUAGCAGUUAGUUCCGGACUUCGGUCCGAAGCAGUAGUUCAAGGUGCUUGAUGUUGUGUUUCGGGCAUGUCUAUGUGUUAUGUUAGCAGAUACGUGUUUAUGUUAUGCUAUGUUCAGACAGUUCCGGAUUUCGGUCCGAUGCAGCUAGUUCCGGACUCCGGUCCGAUGCAGGGGACAAGGUCCCAGUCAGUUCCGGAUUUCGGUCCGAUGCAGACAGUUUCGGACUUCGGUCCGAUGCAGUCAAUUCCAGACUUCGGUCCGAUGCAGUGGGCAAGGCCCAGUAUGUGCUUUAUUUGUUAUUGUGUGGUAUGCGGUAGUUUAGGGGAGCUCACUAAGCUUCGUGCUUACAGUUUCAGUUUUGGUUUCAGGUACUUCCGCAAGUAAAGGGAAGAACUCGGGAUGAUGCAUCGCACACACCACAACUUCAGUUUUUGUCGUGGGAGUUGAUUCAGUUUCUUAGAUAUGUUUUGAUACUGUUGUGACACAUUUUUUCUCACAGUAUUUUAUUAUGUGAUACUCAGUUUUAUGAUCUUUGUUAUAAUAUAAAUGAAAUUAUCGGGUCGUAUUUUUGGGAUGUUUCAAGUACCUUGUGCCACCGAUUAAAAAAAUUUUAAAAACCGAUUGAAAUAUAACUGAAAAAGACAUACAGCUUAACGAAAAACUAGUUGAUUAUUAGUCCAUUGAUAAAGCGGCGAACGCAGAGUGAGAGUCUUUGGCAUGUGGGCUUUCAUUUUAUUAGAACAACUUGUUUAUUUAUUAAUAUUUUGAGAGUGCCGAUUAAGAGUAGUUAACUUUUUAUUAUCAAUCUCAUAAUUUAAAAUAACAAAUUGUCCCUAAUAACUUAUAUUUUUCUCUUUUUAAAGUGGUUUUUUUUUUUAAAAAUAAAAAUAAAAAUAAACUCAAUGUAGGUUCUCUAUUUUUUUAAGACUAAAUUACACAGAUGGUCCCUGUGGUUGGCACGAGAGACCAAAGAUAGUCCUUAUGAGGAAUUUUGGACUUGUAUGGUCCCCGUGGUUCCAAAUUGUUGCACGAAGAGUCCUUAUGACAUACUCCGUUUAAUUGUUGUCGUUUAUUUAAAUCACGUAACCCUCACACGAGGGUAUUUUGGUCUUUUGCUUAUCCCUUCUCUCUCUCAUAUCUUUAUAUGAUCUGCAAAAGAUUUCCCUUCCCUAUAAAAAUUAAACCCCCAUCACUUCCUUCAUUAUUUUUCGUCUCCUCUAUUCUCUCUUCUCUCUUCUCUCUGCUGUGUCUUUCUAAGAAACUUUGCUUAAGAAUGGUAAAUUGUUUUUGUGGAACGCAAGCGGUGAUAGUGACAUCAUGGAUGGAUCUCAACCCAGGUUGUAUGUUUUGGAAAUGUCCUAGCAGUUGCGGUUUCAUUGCCUGGUUUGAUGAGCCGAUGUGUCGAAGGGUUGUGGCUGUCAUUCCAGGUUUGCUAAGAUCCAUGAACAAGCUUCAAGAAUCUCUGCUGCAAGCAAGUUUUGAAGCAAAAAAAGUGAAGAUGAUGCUAGUUUUUAGUUGGGUUUUCUUUUUCAUGUAUGUGUAUAAAAGAUGCUAAUAGUAUUAGUCUGGAGAUGAUGGUUCUUUUGCUUGUGGGUAGAUGAUGGUUCUUUUGCUUGUGGUUAGAAUCAGAUAAUAGUAUUAAUUUGAAGAUGAUUUCGUUUUGUUUGUUUGUGAUGCAAGAAAUGUUCGUAUGUAUGAAUGGAAUGCUUUUUAUUUGGGAAACUUUUAGUCUGCUACCAUUGUAAAAUAUUGGUCAGGAACUUAAUGAGUGUAAAAUAUUGGUCUGCAACUUAAUGAACCGUGCAGAUCCAUUAAAGUAUAAAAUAUGAAAGUGAAAGGUUUUUGUAGGCUUUAGACCAUUGUAGAGCCAUAACAACAUUAGAAAUGUUCAAAAAUAAAAUGCAAACUUUUGCAUAGUCAUAAAGUUCAUUACAUAACCUUAAAGUGCAAAGUCAUAAUACCAAAAAAAUAUCAAAAGAGCUUGCAGACUAAUGUAUCAUAACCAAAAGAACCAUCUUAGUCUAGCACCCUGUGUGAACCAUAAUACCAACAAAAGAUAAAGACACACAAUAACCAACUUAGUCUGACCUUUCUAAGGUACCAAAACAAACAACACAAAAGACCUUUCUAAGGUUCCAUAACAAACAACACAAAAGACAACAAAUCAAACUUUUUCCUUCAUUUUGGAUUUAUCCUUAAGUUUGGUUUUCUCCUUCAUUUUGGGUUUCUCCUUUUUUCCAUCUCCCUGCUUCUUUGCCUUGCUAAGCUUCUUGCCCCCUGCCACCACAUUUCUAACUUCAGUUUGUCCCCCUUGUCCCUUGCAACUCCUAGAGUUGUGACCCUUGUUAUUGCAUUUGCUACAAGUAACUGUAAGGAACUUCUUGGUCAAACUUUUACCUUGAUUAUUUGGUUCUUCAGUUUGAGCUCUCUUUCUCUUCUUUUUUGGUCUCCCCACCUGCAUAAUUAAUAAAUUAUAAAACAGUAUAAACGUAUACUAACUUGUAAAUUGAAAAUUAUUUACCUGUUUAGUAUGCUUAGGAGGUGUUAGUGUUAUGGGGAAAUCUGACUUUGGCCACAUACUUCUUCCAUUGAUAGGUUGAACUUUGUACUUGUACAUUUCAUUCCAUGUGCUUAACCUAUAACAUGGAUGUACCCACUCCUCAAGAGGUGGGACAUUUUUUCCCAGUGCCUGCAACUACAAUUCCUGUCCCUCCAAUUAACCACAAAUUGUUCCCCCAUUGUCCCAGUAACUUGAGUCUUAUCAGCACCAUUAAAUAUGCAAGUGUAUUGAGAAGCAUCUUUCUUAACUCCAUCUAAAAGUUUUGUGGCUGGGGGGGGGAGAGGGGCNUUAUCUAUCACAUUUUGCACAAUACAAAUUCGUUUCAUUAAGUAUUCCCUAAUAUAUUCUAAACAUGUAAUUAUAGGUUUGUCUCGAGCAUCUAACAACUUUGAGAUGAAAACUUCACAUAAAUUAUUCAACAAAAUAUCUGUAUGUGCUCUUCCUGUACAAUGCAACAAAAUAUCUUAUAAGAAUCUGUCAAAGUGUAAAUCUUCCUUGAAUCUGUCAAAGUGUCUAACUGUUGUUGCUGUUGCACAUUCCCAUAAAUGAUCUCUGUGCUCCUUCCCCCUCCAUUGUAGCUUCAUGUUUUCGUGAAUAUGUCUUAAACAGAACCUGUGUUCAGCGCUAGGUAAUAGGUUGGCAAUGGCAGAUAAAAUCCCCUAAUUAACAAGUAACAAAAAUGUUAUUUUCUAAAUGUAGUAGACAAAAUUACAAAGAUGUCAUGAACAAGUAUCAUAAGAAGAUUAACCUUUUGCCUGUCAGAAAUAAAUGUGAAGUUUGAAUUUGUAGAGAGCUCCAAAUCUUCACCUAGACACUCUAGAAACCAACUCCAUGAGCUUUUGUUCUCGGCUUCAACUAUGGCAUAUGCUAGUGGGUAGAUCCGAUUAUUGGAAUCAAGACCCACAACAGUGAGAACCUAUCCAGUGUAAGGUCCCUUCAUGAAAGCCCCAUCGAAACCUAAAAAAUCUCUUAAACCUGCCUUAAAACCCAGUUUUAAUGCACCUAAACAGACAUAAAUUCUCUUAAACAUCCUAGUUUCCAAGUCUGCAUUUGGUUCACUGUAUACAUCAAUCUUCACAAUUGUUCCUGGGUUGCACUGUUGUAAUUCUAAUACGUAAUCCCUGAGAAGGCUGUAUUGCUUUUGAUAAUCUCCAUAAACAUGUUUCUGUGCAAGUUGUUUAGCCCUAAAGACCUUCAUUCUUGACAUCCCCACCUCGUAUAUCUUUUGUAACUCUACACACAAAGCUUUGACUGGGAUAGUUGGGUUUCCUUCCACUUCUUGAAGAAUGAUGGUUGUAAGAAACUUAGGCCUCAUUUGAUAGUUGCCGAUUGAGAAAGUGCUGACUGAGAAAGGUCUGUCUGGGUAAGAAAUCCUGAUUGGGUAAGAAAUCCUGUUGUUUGAUUGUACAUCUGACUGAAUGUGCUGAGUGAUGAAAAAUGACCAUUUUACCCUGCUGUUAUAUAUAUAUAUUGAUGGAUUAAAUUGCUGAAUAAUUAUAAAAACAUACAUAUUGUCAUACAAAAUGUAAAUUACACACAAAUAAAAAAUGUCAUACAAAAUGUAAAUUAAACAUAAAUCAUUUAAUAUCCAAAUAAAAACAUAAUGAAAUUUAAAAUAACAUAAUAAUUUAAUGUAAAGUAGGUGAAAGUAGUCGAUUUGCAAUCUGAUCACGCAAAACACGCAUAUAUUCAACGGCUUCUGGACCCCAUUCUAUGCCUUGUAUGUUUUCUCUAUCAAUUCCCCCACCUUGGACGUCAGGAGUAACCAUAGUGUCCUCCUCAAAAUUUCUAAACAAGUCAUCUUCUAUAUUGUAUUUCCUUAUAAAAUUAUGGACCGCGACACAAGCAAUGACUAUGUCUCUUUGCACUGUAAAAGGAUAAGGAGCCAUUUGUUUUAAGAUUGGGAAUCUCGCCUUCAAUACACCAUAAGCACGCUCAAUAACAUUUCUAAGUUGUGCAUGAGCAUGAUUGAACCUUUCUUCUCUAGUUAAAGGUCUGCCUCUUCGAAAAUCGGCUAACCAAUACCUAGUAUUGCGGUAUGGAGCCAUAAACCCACGAGUGUUUGUAUAUGCGGCAUCACAAAGGUAAUAUUUAUCUGCAAACGAAUGUGACAUAUUAUAUAAUGACACAUAUUAUAUAAAGAAGAUAGAUAAUAAAAAUUAUAUAAAGAUUACAAACCUGGUGGAGGAAAUGGAAAUCCAGAAGUCGAAUUGAAUGCAACUUCUUUCAAAACUCUUGAAUCAUGUGCUAUACCCUCCCAUCCAGCCCAAACAAAGGUGAAUAUCAUAUCAAAAUCACAAAUUCCUAUUACAUUUUGAAAACAUUCUCCUUUUCCUCUUCCUCAAUAACGAGUUUGUUGAUCAACAGGUACAACCGCACGUACAAGAGUUCCAUCUAAUGCACCAAUUGCUCCGGAAAAAAUAUUUUUUAACCGUCUAUGUCGUUCUGAGUUAUGUCUUGUUGGGUUAGGAGUUGUUGGUACUAUAAUUUCUUUUGCAAAACACAUCAUUGCUGUUAGGACCUCGUGAAAACAUUGAUGAAUCGUUUGUGUGGAGUGAUGAAAUCUUCCCUUAACCGCGCGAAAACGUUCAUUAUGUCCUAUAACAUGUAAGAAGAUAGCCAUCUUCUCUUCAAUGCUUAUUGUCCUACUAGCUUGCAACCAAUUUUUUUGGGUAAAAUGGUUGCAUAGUAAUGCAAAUGCCUCUUGUGUAAGACGCAUCAUAUCGAAACAUUGUGUAGGGUCUCCGUAUAUCAAAUCUUAUGUAUACGCAUACCCGCUUGAAUCGUUAUCUCUAAUUCUAAGAAUUCUGAUUAGUCUGCGCCGGUUUGACCUCAACCAAUAAAACACAAGUAAAAGAAAAGCUACAACUUCACCAUCAGAAACCAUACUUGAUCUAUUACAAACAAUUAGGUAAUAUGUUAAAGUAAAAAAAAAAUCAUGCACCAAAAAAAUUAGUAAACAUCAUUAAAAGUAACAAAAGUCGUAUAACAAACGUUGUAUAACAAAAUACUAGUAAACAUCAUCCAAAAAAGUCAUCAAACUAUAUAACAGUAAACCAAAAAGUCAUCAAACAUAGGAUCCAAAAAACUAGUAAACAUCAUCCAAAAAAAGUCAUCAAACAUAGGAUCCAAAAAACUAGUAAACAUCAUAAAAAAAACUAGUAUCCAAACUUUUCUACCCGCACCUAUCAAAGGUAACUAUACUUCCUACCCGCACCCAUCACCCACGACUCACAACUACUAUGCGAAAGUCGUAACCAAACUUUUCGAACAUCAGCACUUUCACCAAAUAGCAAAAGAGCGGUCUUGUGUCUUUCAUCUUCUUCUCCCCAUUCCAUUUUGUUCAAUUUCUCCAUACACGCAUCAACAUCCUUAUCCAUUUCACUUUUUUCAAUUCUUUCAUUUUUUUUCCACUAAUAACCUUACAAUCUUGACAAUCUCCUCUUCAACUUCUAAUGCCCUUGCAUCUCUUUUUUUUCCACCAACUCUUUUGUUUCCACCAACUUCCUUAUUUUUGAACGCCCCGAAGAUUCUUCACUUGCACCUACGUGUUGUGUUGAGGUUUCCAUUAGAACAUCAUCAUCAAAAUCAUGGGGACUAAACUCUUCUACAGGACAAGGGAGUGUAGAAGAUGGCCCCCAACUUUGAGAUCCGGUUGAUGUCAACCCUUCAAAUAGUUGGGUGCAAAGAUCAGGGAACAAUAGGGGUUUAGUUUUCAAUGACAACACGAACUUGUUCAACUGUUUACAAUUUUUAUAAAUAUUAGUAUAUGUUAUAAAAAUAAUCAUAAUAGUAUUGAUUAAAAAAAUAAAUUUAAUCAAAUAGUAUAUGUUAUAAAAAUAAUCAUAAUAGUAUUGAUUAAAAAAAUAUUACCUUCCCCUCUUCUUUCCAUUGUUCAUCGGUCAAAUUAAAUUUAUUUUUUAUAGGAUCAUAUAUAUUGCCGGUUUUGUUUUUGAGUUUCACCCAAGCAACAUACUUUGAUUUGUAGUAGUCAAAGUGGUUUCUCAUUUGCUUCUGAUCAACCUCUUUACCGUGUUCGUUUAUCAAUUUUUCGCGUAUUGUCUUCCAUGAACUUGCCUUAAGCCCAGAACCCUCACGACCAUUAGUGGUUAGUUCAUGGAUACAUGCAUCAAGAAAAGUUUUGUCCUCACUCUCGUUCCAAACCAACAUCCUAAAACAUUAAUAUUUAAAGUAAUUUAUCAUAGUUUUUAUCAAGUUAAAGAACAAUUUUAAACAUAAAGCAAUUUUCAACCAAGGAAGUUAACAUCAUCCUAAAUUAUGAUUUGAUAACUUAUACACAAACAAUUUCAGAUGUCACAAAACAUCAAUAUUCAAGCUAACAAUUUCACAAAAGAUAACAAGCUAACAAUUAAGGUCAACAAUAUCAAAGCUAUAAAAUUAGAAAGAAAAAAAAAACAGCCCAAUUUUUGAUUUUAUAGCUUAUACUUUUGAUACUAAUACAAGCUCAAUAAUUGGAAGACAUGUGAUGUUGCAUGCAUUCCCCCUCUCGCCCACUCUUCAAGGAACAAUUGGAUUAUUAAAAAAGUUAGGUUACCAUUAAUCUUAUAAUAAUUAUUUAUUAUUAAUUUUACUUUUGUACUUUACACAUAAAAACACAACNAAAACCAAAAAAAUAAAAAAAAAAAAAAAAAAAAAAAAACAGCCCAAUUUUUGAUUUACAAACCUACUUGUAUUUUCCAAUUCACAUUCAAUUUCAAUUCACAAGCUAUAAAAUCAAAAUUCAAAAAAAAAACCUUCCAAUUCACUUUCAAUUUCAAUUCAUAAGCUAUAAAAUAUGAACCGGAGAAAAAAACUUCCAAUGUGAAUUGGAGAAAAAAACUUCAAAUUCAGAAAAAAAAACAAAAAAACAAAAACAAAAAACAACUACCAAUUCACAUUCUAUUUUAGAAUUCAUAACAUUAGAAAAAAAAACCUUCAAUUUUCAGUUCUUAUACACAAAGAACUACAAAACAAAACAUAAACAAACUUCCAAUUCACAUAUAAUUUCGAAAUUCAUAUAUUAGAACAAACAAUUUCAGAUUUCAGUUCUUGUACACAAAGAACUACAAAAAAGAACAAAAAAAGCUUAUCAUAUGAACAUACAGGUUGAGAAUUCAUAAUAUUCUAACAUAUACUAAUUUGAUUUCAUAAAGAACUACAAAUUUCAUACCAUCAAAGCAUAAAUGGUAUCUGAUUUUGAAAAUUAUUAACAGAAAAAUUAUCUAACCUGUGUGAUGGAUCGAGAAGGCGUCACUGAUGGCGGUGGCGGAGGUCCGACGAGAUGGCACAGGUCCGACUGGUCGGACUGUUUGGCGUUCAAUGUUGUGGAGUUCUUCCUAGCGGCUGCUGUGCUUUUAGGUCACUAGAAGGGAAGCGAAUGGGGAAAGAAAUAAUAACGACGCAGGGGCAAGAUAAGGGCAAGAUUGUCUAAUUUCCAGUCAGCAACUGUUUAAAAACUGAUCCAGAAAGCGAUUUGGGUCAGCAGAUCUUACCGAGAAAGCUCAAAUCAAACACCAAAGGUCUGACCGAGUCAGCCCAAUUUGCUGACUCGACCCAGUCAGACAUUUAUCAAACACUCCCUUAGAAGUGCACUCUUUAAUAGACCUUGACUGCACACAUCUAUGCUCAUGAACCAAAGUUUUCACCAUCCAAUCGCUUUCUUCAUCAGAUCUAGAAAUUAAUACCACCCAAGGGCAUGUUGCUUUUUGUGAGCUGACUGUUUUAUCCUUGCAUUUGAUUCUACUUUUUGUCCAUGGCCCACCUGUCAUUUUCGGGACCACACCCCUGCAUUUUGCCCUAAUUCUUUUUUUUUUAUCAUUUUUUGAAAAGUAAAUGUUUCUCCUAGUUCGAAUUGAAUGCAUUUUAAUGUAGUCCUUCACUUCUGAUGAGGACUUAAAUAUUUGACCCAGAUGGAAUGCAGUUUCAUGUACUACUCCUGAUGAACAUGUGGUUGGUUUGUUUAACCUUCUCAUUAAUUUCUUCCUCUCAUCUUCUUCUACACCAGUUGAUUCAAAUAAUUGUGUAUCUAUCACCUCCAAAUCCUCAUCAACUGUGACAUCAGGUGCAUUGAAUGAUUGGUGGUUAUCUAGAUUUGGAAAAGAAUAAACACCACUGUGGAAGUCUUUCAUAUUCACUUCGACAUCCUCCACCAUAUUAAGUUCAUCCACUAAAAAGUCACUAUCGUCGCUUAUACUUCCAUCGGUACUAGUCUCAUCACUAAUAACAUCUCCAAUUUCUUCAUUUUCCCCCAUCUGUUGGUAAUCAUUAUGAUCCAUAUAAAAGAAAGGAUCAAAGUCUUCUGAAGGGACAACAUCUUGGGCUUUGUUAAGCUCCUCACUUGCAGGAUGAACUCGAACAUCUUUCACUACAUCUCUAUCAAAAUGUCCAAAAGGUACAACAGACCUAGAAAAGUCAUAGUUCUCAUUCAAGUCCAUUUUUCUACUACAUGAUCCUACCUUUGUACUUGUAAACUUUUUUCGAUUGAGUUCCGGAGAAAUAGGCUCAUUGAUUUCUUCCGAUACGACCUUAUUUGGAGAUAUAAAGUAUGCAUGGAGUCUAGUAGUUCCAUGUUCAGUAUACACCAUAAUCUCUUUAUGAUUAGCAACAUGCUUACUUAACAAAAGUACGUCUGAGUUGUUACCUAAAGGAAGUAACCCAUAAUCGAUUUCAAUCUCAGGAAUCAAGAAGUGGUAGUAGAUAGGCUCACCGUUGAUAUAACCUAUCUCCUUCAUCAUAUCGUCUAACUCAUGUACGGAAAACACGUCCAUGUCUACGUAGUCAACAUAGUCAAUACUCCCACCAACGUAACGUCUUCCUGGGUAUUUUGUGAACAUACCCCCAUGGUGAAUCUUGAAUGUGCAAAAACUACUUAACUCAACUGAAAAACAAAUAAAUAAUGAUAUGAGGAAAGAAUGAAGUCUCAAAAUUGAAUGUGCAUAAAUUACUUAACAAAAUUGAAAGUUGUUAACUGAUCACUCACCAUAAGCUUUGAUCAGGUCAGGAUUUUCUGAGAAUUUUGAACGGACAUUCCACAAAGUUAGAACGAUCGCAAAAGAUGAAAAUGAAAACCCUAGUUUCCGUUUGAUGUUUUGAAGUGAUGAAGAUGAAAAACCAGAGGAGAAAAGAAAGGGAUGAUUUCUUGGGGUAAUGUAAAUGGCAGCUAGAUGUAAGGAUCAUUUAUGAAUAUGAUCAUUUCGUGUAACAAAGCAAAAGACCAAAAUACCCUCGUGUGAGGGUCACGUGAUUUAGAUAAACGGAAACAAUUAAACGGAGUAUGUCAUAAGGACUAUUCGUGCAACAAUUUGGAACCAUAGGGACCAUACUCGUCCAAAAUUCCUCAUAAGGACUAUCUUUGGUCUCUUGUGCCAACCACAGGGACCAUCUGUGUAAUUUUGUCUUUUUUUAAAGAUAGUUCAUAAUUUUUCUAUUAUAUACAUUGUAAAUGAAAUUGAGAACUUAAGUAGGUCCUAGGACCUACCUAAGCACAUGGUGGAUACGCCCCUGUUACCCACACUAACCUCAUACACUUACAACACAAAUGAACUUGAACGGUCUAAGACCAAACCAAGAUAUAAUAUGAAAUGUGUAAGUAUAGUUUAAUAGAUGAAAGUGAGGUGUUGUUUGGGCUUGAAAAGUAGGGGUGAGCAUGGUGCGAUUUUUUGAGAAAACCGAACCGCAAACCGCAAGAUGCGGUUUCUAUAGGGUAAAACCGAUAGGUGUGGUUUUUGUUUCGGCGUGGUUUUACAUGCAUUUUCGGUGUCAUUCGAUGCGGUUUCGGUUUUUAACUGAAAAUAUGUGUUGGUGUGAUUUUUCAUACAUGUGUUGAUCUACCAAAGAAGUAAUAACCCCUAAAGAAGCUAGAGCAAGGCCUAAUUGAAAAUGAAGCCAAUUAUUAAUUGUGUCAUAAAGACCCUCAUGCCCACGUCUCAAUCGCCCUCUUGGAGGGAUAUGUGCAUCUAAAAGAUCUUUCAUACUGUGCCCAAUCCCAAAAUUAGUUCUAUACAUAUGCCCAACAAUAAGAAAAAGAAAUGCAAUAGCUAAAUAAUGAUGAGUCAUAUCAGCAUGUCCAAACCCGACUUUUCAGUUAACUUUCCUUUAUUUCCGGUACAGAUUCUCAUUUAAAUGUAUUUAACAUGCUUGUGAAAUAGUUAUAUGUUAUUCUUAUCAAAAUAUAGACUUCUUUAUGAUAUUACGAUUUUGAGAUUUGAAUUAUAUGUUUGAUGCAACAAGGGAUUUGGUUUUAUAAUCUCAAAUUCCAUUACUUAAUCAUUAUUGUUUAUACAGAUAGAGGCGGCUUUUGAUUCGAAUUGCAUUUUGCUUGUGAUAAGCAAAAGGAAAAUUGUUAAUGGUACGCACUUUGAUACAAAUGUCAAAUUUUAUAAAAAUAUAGCAAAACAUAAGGCAUGCACAGUGGCAAAAAGAACUGAAGAGGUCGAAGUUGAACAAAAUAUACUUUUAUUAAUAAGUAUUAUAAUAUAUUAAAUAUUGUCAGGUUUUUAUGGUGCUGUUUGGCAUUGUCCAAACCGCACCACACCGAAAAAUUACCAAUUAAGGUUGGAUUGGAAUGCAUAAUUAUCAAUUUAUCCUUAAUAAGUCAUAAAUCAACAAAAAUGGCCCAACAAUUUUCUUAAUCUUAAUUGUUGCCUUUGGAUUAGAAAUCAUCAACGAUCAAGAUUGGUUCUCACAAUUCUCUAAUCUCUACUUUUAUGUUGUUUUCAUUUGAACUCAACCCAAAAAUCUCACCAGUAAUCACCACACGAACAAAUCCCGUUCUUGAAAUGAUGAAACCUAUUUGUAUCCCGAAGAAUAAUUUCCCGCUCAACAAUCUUGGAAAUAAGCUUAGCAGCAAUAUGACAAUCCUCACAAACACGUAGAUUUUUAGUAAUCCGUAUAGGCGUAAAAGCUUUAGUAUUUAUAAUCACAAACACAAUAGCAAGCUUCUCACUAUGAACAGCAAGAUGAUUUCCUUUAUCUUCAUCUUCUAUAUCAUGAAGUGCAGAAUCCACUUCAGGAACAUACCCAAAAUCCCUCAUCUUCCCCACAAGUACUUCCAACUCUUGAUAAAUCUGUUUAGAUUGUGGAUGGGAUUGAUCUCCAGCAAGAAACGAAUGAACUUGAUUAUUAAGCUCAACAUUACUAACACCGGGCUCUUUUUUCACUCCUUUUGAUUUCAUUAUUGAACGAAUAUUUGUCACAUCUUUAAAUCUACCUGCUUUUGCGUAUAUAUUUGAUAAUAAAACAUAAUACCCUGCUUGUUCAGGGACCAAUUCAAAGAGAUGAUCUGCUGCUACAAGACCAAUUUCCAUGUUGGAAUGAACUUUACAAGCACUUAACAAAGCACCCCAGAUUCUAUCGUUUGGUUUUGUUUUCAUUUUCUUUAUAAAAUCAUAAGCUUCAUUGAUUCUUCCUGAUCUUCCUAGCAAAUCAACCAUGCACGCCAAGUGUUCGAGUCUUGGAAUGAUGUUAUACUCUUCGGUCAUCAAUUUGAAGAAAUGUUUUCCUUGGUUUAGUAAUCCGGCAUGGCUGCAGGCUGAUAGAACUGGAACGAAGGAAAUGGAAUCAGGGGCGAUUCCGGAAUUUUGCAUAUUUGAAAAGACUGUGAUAGCAGUUUCACCAUCUCCAGUCAUGCCAUAAGCAGAGACCAUGGAAGUCCAGGAGACGACAUCUCUUGUUGGCAUUUCAUCGAACACCUUGCGUGCUUCGUUUAAAGACCCACAUUUAGCAUACAUGUCAAUCAAGGCGUUCUCUACUGUUAGAUUAGGAAGAAGCCUUUUUGUUUUUACAUAUGAAUGAAUCUUUCUUCCUAGUAAUAAAGCUGAAAGAUCUCCACAAGCGGGUAGGAUGCUAGCAACUGUGAUUGAAUCCGGGUCGAUUCCGUAAUUCUCCAUUUGUUGAUAAAGAUUAACUGCAUCUUUAGGCAUCGAGUUGUUGACGUACACAGCUAUCAUGACAUUCCAAGAAAUUAAACUCUCUCGAGCGUGAUUCAUGAACAUUUCUUUCAUAAACAUCACGUUGGUAGAUGAAGUAGAAGUUGUUAAAGCAGGGGAAAGGCUGGCCAUGGUGCCUGCGUUGGGUUUUGAGGUAGAACAUUGCAUCAUUGUCUUACAAAUCUCCAAUGCAUCUUCAAACAUCCGGUUUUGGGCGUAGGCAGCAACCAUAGCAUUCCAGGAGACGAUAUCUCUACUAGGCAUUUCAUCAAACACCUGGCGUCCUUCCAGUAACCGGUUACAUUUUCCAUACAUUGUAAUCAAUCCAUUCCCUACAUAAAGAUUUGAAUGCAGACCCUUCUUGAGAACAGCAACAUGGGUUUGUAAUCCGACCCACAAAUUCUCAGACACGGAACAUGCUUUUAGAACUUGAGGAACUGUAAAAUGAUCAGGGUUAAUGUUGAACUUGAACAUGUUUCUGUACAUACGAAGUGCUUUUUCGUAGAAUUCAUUGUUUACGUAGCUUCUAAUCAUCACAUUGAAGAAGACUACAUCUUUUUGAGGAAAUUCAUCAAACAGUUGGCGGGUAACUGCGAUUUGGCGACAUUCAGAAUAAGCUUUCAUUAAUUUCAGAGCAAUAUGCGAUGCUGAGACGAGGUUUCCAUCAAUAAUUAACCUACAAUGUAUCUUUUUCAAUUGUUUGAUAUCUGGGCACUUGUCCAAGAUUUUGAUACACAAGUCUUCUGUGAUUAACAUGAUUGUUAAGGCGAGAUUUGAAUGAAUUUGAACUUAUAUUCCUUUCGCCAUGUUGUACCUGAGGGGCAAUCAAAUAGAAUGGACGAAGAUAACGAAGGUUUACUUGGUGGUGUUCACUUAAAAACAAGAAAUAUGAAGUUCUAAACGCUAUUUCUUGUUAAACAGAAAAUAUUUUGUCCAAUCUAAAAAUCCAAUUUUUGAGUAAGUUCAAGCUUAAGCUCAAAAAUAGUAAGCAAAACAUGUUUAAAAAAUAAAAGUUCGUUUGAAACUCUUUGGAUAGCUCGAGUAUAACAAUCAUCAUAAUUAUAGUCAAUAAAUCAGGCUCAAACAACCAAACUUGAUGUCCAGCCCUUGAUCAUCCAAUUGCCAACUGAAAUCAACUUAGUUUCCGGUUUUAGAAUCGCCCUAACAUUACAUAAGCACCAACUAGUUCCAAAAGUAGUUUUUAAUUCAAUGUCUCCCAUACCCGUGACUUCAAGGGUUUCCAUGUUACCCAACCUUACCAACUUAAGAUAAGUUCUUUACUUCAAUUACUAUAACAGAUCGAUGAGUCAUGUUCUAAUGACCUCUCGUCAUAUGAUGCAAUGCUUAGACUCGAGUCUUUUAAAGUCAAAUUCUAUAAUGAAAUAUACAUUCCUUCAAGUUUCUAAUGUGAUAUAAUCACAUUCUAGCAUGUAUCACUUCUAGCUACAAGCUUCUUACUUUAACAACAAUCACAAUACUUCUAUUGAUCGCUUUGAUUAUCUUUCAGUUCAAUCUUCUGGCUUAAGUCAGAUGCUACAUCGAUCUUGGUUCUCUGAACCACGUACAAUACUUAUCCUAGCUGUAAUCGAUUUGAUAUGACCACUAGGGUCGGAAUAACAAUCAUCUUCUUAGUCAUUACCGAAAUUAUGGUAAUGACACAUGAACAAAACAGAAUCAAUUACUAGCGUCUUGGUAACUCGUGACUUUCCCUGAUCCAAGUGCGAGUCGUGUGCUUCCAGUAGUAUAUGCCUCUACUACCUUUCACACCUACUCAUACUUGUCCCAAGUAUUGUCUUUCAGUUCUCCAAGUCACCAUAAAAGAAUUUCACAUAGUCAUUUAACACAUCGAAUAACAAAACUAAGGUUUAUAUUAUUUCUUGAAACGAUUACAUAGAUAUUCAAGUUCACCUUAUACCAUGCCUUUUAUAUUAGGCUACACCACAUGAUACUAUCUAUAUGGCUACUUUAUAUCUCGAUCUUCAGAUAUAUAUAGAUCCCUACUCCUAAUCCCUUGUAUCGUCACCUGCUUCAUCCAGGUUAGACUUCGAGAAUCUUCCUUUCUUAUCGAAUCUUGAGGAUCCCUCAAGCUUCUUCUUUUCUCAUGCCUUGUCUUAUUCCAGACCCUUUUUCCUAAAUUAGGUUUCCAUAUUCUUGGUUGCUCUAACGGUUGUCUUCAAAGUAGUUGCCAUUUUUACCAUUGCGCCAAAUUAUGCUGGCAAUCCGUUAGCAAAACUAUCUAUCUUGGAGAGUUCAGUAGCACCAAGUAGGGGAAUAACUUCAUCUGCUCGGUGAAUACGGUGACAUACUCAUCAACACUCAUCUUCCUUUUCUUCAAGUUCGAAACUCGUUGUUUAGGUCUAUCAGAUCUAUCUCUGAGCAGUAUUGCAUUUUCAACUGCUCCAUGAAUGCUUCCCACCUCAGGGCUUCUCCCCCAUGGCUUUGUAUCUGCCAAUAACUUCCACCAACUUAAAACUCUGGUCUUUAGUUGUCUGACUGUAAAGACGGUUUUCUGCUUGUUGCUGCAAUUGCAACUUUCAAAUGUCAUCUCUAUCUCGGAGAUCCAAUCCAUGAUCUCUACUGGCUUCGGGCUUCCAGAAAGACUUGGUGGUUUGGCACCUAAGAAGUUCUUAUACAUACGUUCAUCCUUAUCAAUCGCUUUUUUCGGGUCGUUCCUCCUUGCCACUCGGGGUUCAGCUUGACUCACUGUACGACUGUAAUUUCCCUCCUCCGACAAUUCUUCAUUCAGUUCGGGUUGCACGAUAGGCACAAUAGGUUCAUCCCUAUUAUCAAGAAACAUUUUUCUCAUCUCCUCCCUUUGUUCGGCCAUCAUAGCCCAAAUCAUUGCUUAGACUCUUGCCAUCGUGAUUGGCUCGGGUGCAGCUACUACCUCUGGUGCACAUUUAAUCACUCGUGGUUCAGGCUGUUAGUUUUCAUUAGCAUUUUCUAAUAUGUUGCGAGUUCUCACCAUUUCGAUCUAUACACUCUAGAGAUGUUCAGUGUACAGUGACGAGAAUUAAGAUAUGGAAAGCUUUAUUUACGACAGCCAUAUAAAUCUUCUUAUCACUCGUAAAAGUUAUAUACUAGUUCUAAUACCGUAAUUAAAUGUUUGGAAAUUUUGAGCAAAUGACGGUUCAUCAACAAUAGAGCGAAUCUCAUUUAGGAAUUCGUUGAUAGGUCGAUUUCCUUUAGGAUUUUUAGCAAGUUUGGAUUUUAAAGAGAUGAUUCUUGAGCAGGAGGUGCUGGCAUAGCUUGUGUUGAGAUGCUUUCAUGCUUCUUUUGUGGUAAAUACAGAGGUAAUGAUAGGUUGAAUGAAUUGCAUCUGAGCAUGAACCAAGAAUUGCAUCGAAUACUACAUGAUCUUGGCGAUAGCAAGUCGUGUAUUCAUGAUUAGGUUUGGAUUUGUCUUUGUCGAUAAUGAAUUUUGUGGUAGGAUCAGUCACCCAUGUGAUGUAAUCUUCCAGACCUAGUCCAAUAAAUGUGGACUGCACUUGUCGCCUCCAUACAUGGAAGUUGUUGGUGAGUAAUUUGGUAGGAAAGUGACUUGAGGCGGUGAUUUGUAUUUGGGAUGAUUGUGUCAUGGUGAUGUUGAUGAAAAGGAUUAGAGGAGAAAGGCAAGAUGAUCGAUUGACUCUUUAGAGUGUGUGUGCUCUGAUACGAUAUGAGAUUUGAGAAUCAAUGGGCUCGAAUGAAUAAUUUCAUUUACAAAGAUCGAUACAUAUAUAGAUGGUAACGAGAGUUAAAGAGCUAUACAUGGAAUUUACUAAGAAUAGAUUGCAAUUACAUACAAAUAGAAGAGAUUAUUGUAGAUUAGUCAUGAAGAUGUGUACGAUGUUAUAGUUAGAUUGCUUAUUUGCAAUCCAUGUUAGCUAAGUAUGUCAUGUUGAAUACAAAUUGUAUUAAAACAUUAAAGUUCCAACCAUUAUAUGUUGAAGAAGAAGCAAAUACGCCUUAGUCACACCCAUUCUAAAUGAUAUGGAUGUUAUGGUUGUCGUUUCUAUGCAACCAAAUCGUGAUUCCAAGUUGCAGUUGUCUUACCAAUAUAUCAUGUUAGGAAAAGAUGACAUAGCAUGAAAUAUUGUAUGUUACAACAAAAAGAUAUAUCUUAUAGAUGUCUUGCACAUGGGUUAUUCCUUUUUAAGCACUUAUAUAAAAAUAAUAUCACGUAUGUAUGAUAUCUAUUUUGAGAGAUUUUUAGCAAGCAACUCUUUGUCUAUUAUUGUUAUUGGAUAGAAAAAGUAUCAUCUUCGUUGGGAAGAUUUUACUAGGAUUAGAUUCAUAAUAGUUUGUCAAAGAUUUUACUAUUAUGUAUUUAUAAACCCAUGAAGUUUUCUAUUAAAUAAAUAAAUAAAUAACCAUUCACCAUUUAUAUCUUUUUGGAAUAGAGUUUGUUAAAUUCUAAUAUAAAUAAAAAGAGUAUUUAUUUAGAUUCACACAUUACAAAAUUACAAACUCCAAGCAUAAAUCCGAAACUUAUUUUUAAACUUCUUCAUUUAUAUUACAAGUUUUAUUCUUUUUUCCCAACCCACUUGGGGUUUCGAAACCCUAAAAAAGUUCUAUCCAUGGAAGUUCAUAUUUAUUUCUUAUCUUAAUGAAUUUAAGGUCUAAAUCAAUAAAUGGCAAUGUAGAAUUAACCGCAUAUAUUAAGUUAUUUUUGGAAGCUUUCCAACACAACACAGAAAGGAAAUGAUGAGAAUUUAUGGUACCAAAUAACAAAAUAAUCCCGGUUCCUAUAAAAAUUUAUUAAAGCUCUACUCAUGAUUUCAUAAUCUCCUCUAAUAUGAGGGUUACGUUAUUGUAAUAAUAACUAUGAUAAUGUAAAAGCCAUAACAUAAAUCGUCUUAAUUUAAGAAAUAAUAUAAAUCCCAAGAUAUUGUUUUUAAAAUAAAAAGGAAAAAAGUGGGAGUCCAUUAGAAGGAGCCAAGCUGAUUAUUUGAGCCAAGAGAGCACCGAUUUGUUAUCCUUCCACUGUUCGAAGCGAGAGGUUAUCGCAGCUCUGUGAAGCCAGCCUAACGCAUUGCCCUCUGCUCUAGGAACCAAGAAGCCCAAGCCUUCGCUCAAGCCACUUGAUCCAACUCCGAACUUGGAACGGGCAAACCAGAUUUUGCAACAGCUUUGACCCAACCAAACAAGGCUCGAUCUCAGUCCAUCCCACUUUAGAGCCCUCACUUGAGUCACAAGCUCGCGUUACCAAGCUCGGCGAUAAACGAAGUCCAUUUGAUGUAUAAAUAAUCGGAAAAACUUUCUCCUCCAAGCGAUGUGGGAUGCGAAACGAAAUAUUUUCAUCUUCAUUCUCUCUUUAUCUCUGUCAAAUACUGUGAUUACUGAUUACUGACUACUUAAACACCCAUGCAACGGAUUUCAAGUAUUUUUUUCAAUCCAUGGAUUUAGAACUGUAAACU